UGGGGAGCUUGGAAGCAGGGGAAAUGGCACCUCAAGGGGUUCAGGUCUCUAUGAUCAAUAACCACAAUUUUGAUCUGAAUGAGCUGCCGACUGAGCAUGAGUAGCUCAAGAAGGAGUAGUCACCUCUGGAGCAAGAGUAUCCGCCUAUGGCACAACAUGAGAUUUAAUAUUCACAAUGGUUGGAGGCUACUCAAAUCCCUCUUGUGUGAGCAAAGUUAACUCUUGGCCCAAAGUGUAGCCCUGUCAGAAAUUAUCGAAACAAUAUCCUUAUCCCAAGGACGAUUGUAAAGCUUAUGUGGAACUUUUGAAUUUCUCACUUCCUAUUUUUUGUUGAUUGACUGACGCUAUUGCUAAACUUGAGGGAAGGACCUUGUAUACUGCUUCAUGAUCAACGUGUCAACUGGAAAUGGCUUUUCUAUUCAUUUCCCAUGAUGGUUUUGAUAUGUGGAUUGUUUGAACAAGCAGGUGUUCAUUCGGUAAAGCUUUGUGAAACAUCAACGGUGGAGCUAGGUCUCUGGUCAUGUGAAAUGAUAGUAGGUCAAGAAGUGUGUUGGAUCAUGAGAUAACAUAUUUUCUAAGUUGUUAAUCAUGUGUGUUAACACCAUGGGUAGUAUGAGAGAAGGUCAACAUGCAUGUUUGGGUCUGAAAUGACCUCAUGACCAAAAAAGGGAGAGAAACAUGGCUAAUAGGAAUACGAACGAUAUGGAAGUUACUUGUUGCAUGGAUGUUAACUGUGGUUAUGAAGCCACACAAGAUGUCAGAGGACCCGCAUCCUUACAUAUCAAGGUUGACUUCACAUGCCAACUGGAUUUCGUCUAAAUUAUUGUAUAUGUAUGUAUGUUAUAUCUUGAAAUCUUACCAAACAAAAAACACCAAAAAAUACACUAUUUACUUCUCUUUGAUGCAUACUCUAGUUGGAGGGUAAUCAAAAGCUUAUGUGGAUAUUUGUCCAUAAUAGAAUAUACAAUGGUCUAGUGAGGCAAGGUGUAAAUGGACAGGACAAUAGUCGAACAUGAAAACAUCCAACAUUGUGUUAUAGUUGCAUCAAGUUGUCUAGUGAGUUAAUAUGGAAAUGGAGGAGGCUCAUAGGGCAACACGAGAACACCCAACAUGUAGCUCUACUUACUUCCUAUUGGUACGAAGAGACCGAGACUAGUGAACGGUUAACCAUAACACAUGGACAAGAUAUCUCAUACAAGAUGAAAAUGGAGUGAGUCUUGUAUGAAAAUGAUAACAAAGUAUGAGUGUGCAUAGCAUGCCAUCCCACAUACAUCAACUAUCCUACAUGUGAAUCAAAUCCACAUCCUACAUGGGCAUUGGGCUUUAGUUGGACUACCACUUUAUGGACAAGCCAUGUGCUCCAUGUAGUCUAUAUUGCAAAGGCGGGAGGACAGGGAGCAAAUAGUUUUCGAUGGCUGGACAUUGAAGUUAUUUGUCAAGAAAUUUGUUUCCUGACAUGGUUUGUUUAUUUCAUUGUUUAGUAUUCGAUAUCGGUUCAAUGCUCUAGUAUGUAACCUUCUUCUCACAUUUUGGGUCUAGCUCUUGGUGUUCAUGAGUUCAUUACUUAUGUUAACUAUUAUUGUUGUGCCUACUUGUUCAUAAGAGACUAUAAAAAUAACUAAGAUACUCCCGUAUUUAUAUUAAUAUAGUUGGCACUAAGGUAAUCAUCAACAUUGAAUAUUGCUCAUAUUUGUCAAAUAGGAGGUCAAGCUGGAUCUGUCUGGCGCAUCAUCUAUGGUCACAUAUGGUGUAUUGUCUAUUCUAAACCCAAUGAGUAUUGCAGAAUGACAUGUGCCUGCGGGGAGGAAUGAGUCACUGUUUUGGGUCAAGGGGUGAUGCCAUGCCUCAUAAUUGACAAUAAAAAAUUAACCACCUACAUAAAAAGUCUAACCCAAGACAGGGAAUAUGCGCCAUUGCAAUUUUACUGCACAAAGUCAUCGGUAUUUUGCAAUUGAAUGUUCCCCAUGUUGUGACUGAGAACACAAAACACAAAACACCCCACAAAACACUAUUCACUUCUCCUCGAUGCAUAUUCUAGUGGAAGGGUAGUCAUAACCAUAUGGGAAUAUUUUACCACAAUAGAAUCUAUAAUGGUCUAGUGAGGCAAGGUGUAAAUGGAGAGGAUAAUAGGCGAACAUGGAAACAACCAACAUUGUGUUGUACUUUCAUCUAGUUGUAUAGUGAGAUAAUAUGGAAACGGAGGAGGCUCAUAGGGCAACAUGAGAACGCCCAACAUGUUGCUCUACUUACUUCCUAUUGUUACCAAGGGACUGAGACUCGAGCAUGGUUAAUCAUAACACAUGGAAAAGAUCUCUCAUACUAGUUGAUAAUAGAAUGAAUCUUGUAUGAUAAUGCUAACAAAGUAUGAGUGUAGAUAACAUGCCAUCUCCUCCCUUUCUUGUUGUAUUUUCCUUCACCAACCCCCAUAGUACCCUGAUCAACACUAUUAAUUCGAUAUGCUUCACAUCUGAGUUAGAAUUGUGAUUGGGAAUAGUUGUAUCAUUAUCUAAGUAGACUUAUUUAAGGGGAAAUAACGGACAUGUCUUAUCUAUUAUAGCCACAUUCCGGAUAGGAAUAAAAAAAGUUGACAUAACAAUAUAAUUUGUUGAGAUUUGAAUCGAAAAUUCAACAUACAUCAACUAUGCUACAUGUAAAUCAAAUCCUCAUCCUACAUCGGCAUUCGGCUUUAUUUGGACUACCACUUUAUGGACAAGCCGUGUGGUCCAUGUGGUCUACGUCACAACGGCCAGAGGACAAGGAGAAAAUAGUUGUCGAUGAUUGGUGAUUGAAGUUAUUUGUCAAGAAAUUUUUUCCCCAACAUGGUUCAUUUAAUUCAUUAUUUAGUAUUUGAUAUAGGUUCUAUGCUCUAAUGUGUAACCUUCUUCUCACGAUUUGGGUCUAGCUGACAGUGGUCAUGAGUUCAUUACUUAUGUUAACUACUAUUGUUGUGUCCACUUGUUCGCAAGAGACUAUAAAGUUAACUUAUAUCCUCCCGUAUUUAUAUUAAUAUAGUUGGUGGUUAGGUAAUCCUUGACCUGGAAUAUUACUCACAUUUUUCAAAUAGGAGGCCAAGCUGGAACUGUCUAGUGCAUCAUCUAUGGUCACAUAUGGUGUAUUGCCUAUUCUAAACCCAAUGAGUACUACAUUAUGGCAUGUGCCUGCAAGGAGGAAUGAGUUACUCUUUUAUGUCAAGGGGAGCGGCAUGCCUAAUAAUUGUCAAUGAAAAAUUAAUAGUCUACAUCAAAAGUCUAACCCAAGAAAGUGAAUAUGUGCCAUUGUAAUUUUACAACACUAAGGGCCUGUUCUGAUCUUGUCCAGCUCCACGCUUCACAAAUUCCUGGAGCAGAUACGAGCCGAAUGAAAUAGCAGCGAGAAGCUAGCUCCAGGAAGCUAGGAUCGACUGCAGUGCAAAAUCAUGAAGCAGACUCGGCCCAGCUCCACCGAUCUGGAAAGCUGAAGUUAGCCCAUAUUACAAGUGAACUGCCAUAGCCAAAUCAUACAAGCCGAACCGGUACGCUCGAUCAGUUUGAUUGCUCCUCGUUCCCUCGCUCGUGCUCCCUCACUGCUCCUCUACAAGGCCGAUUUGGGUUGCCUCCAGUCAGCCCAACUAGCUCGAACAAGCCACAACCCUUCUAGUUGGGUUGCAGUGCCGCGAGAAGCUACAAACCGAGCAUAACAGAUUUUUCAUCGCUGCUUGGAGUGAGAAGCUACUCUGAAAAGUUGAAUUUCUUAAGUUUUGGGAAGCUAGAGGAGAUCAUAACAGGCCCUAAGUCAUCGGUAUUUCAUAAUUGAAUAUUCUCCAUGUCGUGACUUUUGAUGGUGUAAACCCAAAUAAUCGCCAUUGUGAAAUUAAAUUCCUCUCGUGAGUCGAACCCACAUCCAUAAAGAUGUGCCACUAAAAUCCACCUCCAGGCUAUCUUGGAGUCCUUAAUAUAAUCAAGUGUGCCCAAUAUGGUGACUUAAUAUGUAUUUAUUGACCCUACGAAGCUAAUCACCUCCAUCAAGACCCAUUCCUGGUUCUCCUAUAACUAGAUUCCCCGAAACCACGAGAAUCCUUAGAAUGGGAUUACAACUUAGCACCUUUCGUUUUCACAUAGUAAGAAGAGUUGCUCCUUGGAUAGCACGGUACGAUCAAAGGUGCAACCUGUGUUUCGGAGGGAGUUAUUGUCUCGAAACUUUGUUCUCAGCUAUUCCGAUUCCAUCAAACGGAGGCCAUUGGGUCAAUGCUGUAGUGCACGCCCUGUAGUUUUCAAGUGGGGUGAGACAACUUUAGAUAGGAACCUAUUUUCAUUCUGACCAGCUCCCUGAAAACAAUGUUCGACUUCAUGUGUAGUCGGUGUAGAUGUGUCAUUGCAAUGCCACCACUAGGAUAUCAACAAGUCAUAUGUAUUACAUGACAACAUAUGCCACCAUAUGGUGACUUGAUAAAUUAAAUGGAUUUCACCAAGCUUUCGUGUUACAAUUAUAGUGAAGAUAGUGACUCACAUGUCAGCCUCCCUGAUGGGAAGCAAAAUCACUCUGACUUUGGCAACCUAAUUUUUGGUGGAUUCAAGCAAACAUGUUGGAUUUGUAUUUUAUUUAUUUCAACAUAUAUAAUUCAUAUAAAUAAAUCAAUUCAUAAUAGGUGUCUUAGAGACACCCAUGUCAAUAAUGUGAAAUUAUGGGAAAUCUUAUUGUGUGCAUCAACAUAAGCCAAAACUCGUGGCUUAAGAGAUAUGUGUACAAUCUUCCAAUGGUUAUUCCCCCUACUAAAUUCAUGAUGUUAACUAGUUCCCAGAAGUUGAGAAAGAAGUUUAGUCAUGGGAUCAAUGUCCAGUGCAUCAUAUUUCCAGUUCCCAAAAAAAUUUGUUAUGGAAGUUGAGAAAGAAGUUUGGGCAACAUAUUUCCAGACACCUGUCAUGUCUAGGAUCUUCUCAAGCCUAGGUAAGCUUAGUCAUGGGAUCAAUGCAGGCUAUUAGUACAUUGACCUGGUUCUUAAUUCAAGUCCUCCUUGCUUGAUACAAUAUUGAAUGGAAAGUACAUAAUCAAUUUACUUAAGUGGGUGAACAAUGUUGGCUAGUAUAUUUCAACACUCACCUCACAUGCAUCUUUUAGAGGCAUAUAAUGCAUCGUGAUGGAAACAUUUUUUCUAUAGACUAAAUUCCAAUGGAAAAUUUUAAUUAAUUUAAUUAGUAGCAAUCUCGUAUCGCAAGGAUAUAUGGCAAAUGAAAAUGAGGGCUCAAAUGCUACUUGUUGGCACACAAAAGUCAAGUUGUCUUUUUCCUCCCAUGUUGAUCCUCCGUGGUUCGACAUUGGGCAUUACAAAGAGAUCAAGUUAUCUUUACACACCGCUAGAGCUACCAGACCCUGGAUGUUCCAUCAUGAAUGUCCAUAUGGUGCAAUGAGUGAUAGCGAGGUAUAUUAGAACAUAUAGUUUACACCGUUAAAGUAAUUAAAUGGGCUAUUUUUCCUACUAUGAAAAAUAGUAUUUUAAGAGAAAACUAUAUAAGAGUUUGUGAUCUUUGUAUGUAAAAGCAUUAUUUGCCUUUGCUUGGUGUUCACGCAGUUUGAUUUAUGGCAAAAAUGGAAAAUCAUGGGACAAUAAUUGUUGAUAUUUUUUGCCGGAAAGCCAGAUCUUUUCACUUUUCAGAUCACACAAAGUAUUGUUUUUCUUAUAGGGGUGAUAUACAGUGUUCUAAAUCUGCACUUGUGAUUCGUUGUCCAUUUAAAUCUGGUUUCUUCCACAGAUUAUGUUGGUUUGUUGUUGUAUUUAUCUCAGCACUAAAGUAUACUGAUGUUAGCUAAGUCCAAUCAAAGGCCCGUGUUUUUAUCAUGUUAUACAAAUUAGUAAGCUAAGAUCUUACCAAACUCAAGUUACAUAAGCCCAGACUACGUGAAAUACACAUCAUGCAGUACACAUGUUCAUCUUAGUGUUAUGUUAUACUUGGCUCCGAGAUAACAAAUGGUAUCAAUUAUUACUAUCUUUUGCAGCUUGUUUCUGCCUGUUCAUCGUAGAAUUAUCUUAUGUGGUCUCCCAAGGUUCAUACAACUUGGAUUUUUCAUACUUUGGUAGUAUUAGUGUUCACUAGGACUAGGUGCCACUCUGCAGAACCUGAGGAUACAGAUGGAGAAAGUAGUCAUGGUUUUUUUUUCAAAAAGUUUGUUCAUAUCUAUAAGAGGUUUAUGAUUUUUCAGUGUAUAGUGUUGUGAAACCUAGAGUGUUUUAUCUCAUUUAACAUUGAACUACGCUUUCAAGGAAAAACCUUCAUUUGACAUCGAACUAUGCAUGCAGGGCAAACACCCCGUGCUUCGGUGCCACCGCGCCGCGAACCCUGGGAGCUUGAACCUGGAUGGGUGUGAACUUCAGAUUGAUGUCAAGGUUAGGGGUCAGUCAUGGAUAGAGAAUAAAGGGGACUUUGCAAAACUGUUAUUAAUAAUAUGGAUGAAACAUUGCCUUGUGGAGAGAAUAAGAUAUUUCCAGAGAUAUUUAUAAAUGGAUGCAUACUUGAAAUAGCAGUACAAAAUAUGAUGCUAACAUUUUAUUUUCAUUGUUGUUCCCAUUAAACUUCUGGUGGUGGCUCCAUUAUUCACAGCCUCGCACAUGAAAAUGUUAUUUCGUUCGGGUAAAUGUUGCGUGUCGUUGCUCCUGUAGUUUUGCGGUUUGCAUCUCCUUGAAACUUGUGAGUUGGAUUUUUCGAAGUUGCAAUGCAAAUUUGCGAUGCAGGGAAGAUAAUAAACAAUGCUUUCUAAGAGCAUUGGAUAUUGGAUGCGACUCAGAAAGAACGGAACGCAUGCAGAUGCAAGAUGCAAGACGUAGUAGGCAGUAGGCACAUGUCCAGGUUUAUUAAGAGCAUCUACACCGGACGCCUCAUAUCUGCCACAAACGCCAGGCCGAGCUUCCCGGUCAUUACUAGGACGCAAAAUUGCCACCCAACAGGAUCUGUCAAACCCGGCCCAAACGUCUAGACAUGACCGCAUUCCCCAUAUCCAGCCCAUAUCUCGGACGGAUAUGUGGAAGCCCAGAGGCGCUCGGACACACCUUCCAGGUAGGAUCCGGCCGAGUGCGGCCCACCCGAUCCCACAUAAAUUGGACCCUAUCCACACUCCGAGCGAAACCCAAGUGGCAUUCAACUCCACUUUACUCCUCGCCAGGCCACUCCCGUCCACCCACAAGCCCCAUUUGCGGAUCUCCCACCAUUUCGAGCCGUUGAACCGGAGAUCGUCCAACGCGGCCCCAAGGAGGAGAUGGUCGACUGCCUUGCGCUUCUCCACUACCGGAGGUGUCCGCCUGGCCGCGGUCGAAAUCCAUCUGGCGGGAAUCCAUUGCGUCUGCCACAAUGGAGCAUGGAUCCUGCCCGAGGGCAGUCGCCGCUGCCUUAGCAGAGGCAGUGCAGUCCGUCUGGCGUCCGAACGCCAUGGAGGAUACGCGACCACUUUGUUGGCGCACUGAGAAAGAGAUGCACACCUGCUUAACGUCUGAUACAAAUAUGGUGUGGCACAUCCACUGUGUUAGGCAGUGGGCACAGGAGCCUGCGGCAGCCCUCGUGCCAGAUGGCAGCGGGGCAGACUCACACUCUUCGAUGCCUCGUAUCGUGCCCGGCAGCCCUUGGCGCCGAAAUCAUGUCGUGUUGGACGCGGCCGGCUCCACCAUCAUGGAUCAACUAUCGACCUCACAUCCACCGAUGACAUGAGGGCAUGGGCUCCGACGAGAAAGAGUAGGCCAUGGGAGAUGGCGCCGACUCGAGUUUCUUUUGCAGGGUCGUGUCCCAUGUCCUACUCUACCUCACCGGAGACUGACCCUCCACUUCGACAGGCUCAGACAGCCAUCGGACAUGGACAGGUUCGGAACGACAAGGACAGUCGCUGGCGCAAAUUUAGACUACAGCCGUCGACGCGAGGUGAGCGCGCCACGAGUUAAUCGCUGAAGAGGUUGGGCCGUUCUGUCGCCGGUGGUCAUACAGUUGCCGACGUAGUCGUCCAUGACCACCAGAUCAACGCCGCCGCCACUGCAAGUCUAGGCAUCUCUAGUGGUUGAUGUCAUUUUAGUGUAUUUUCUUUGUAUUGUGAUGAUUGCAUACUGUGUUGCAUAUUGUGGCGUAUUUUCUUUGUAUUGUGAUGAUUGUAUACUGUACAAUGUAUUGUGGCAUAUUUUUUGUGGUCUAUUUUUGAAAAAGAAACUAUAAAUAGCUAAAAGUGGUGUGCAGAAUAAAUUUGUACCCGCCACUACAAAACAAAUGCCAGUACUGACAUAUAUUUUUGCCCACCAUUAAUAGUAAUGCCCGCCACUGCUACAAGAUCGAGGUCGAUGGCGGGCUGUUUGUAACGCCCGCCACUGUUAUAGUCAUUUGUGGCAGGUGGAGCGCCCACCACUAAUGCCAUGUUGCCAGUGGCAGGCGCCUCUAAGAGCCUUACCCGUCAUUGGUAGGCUUUUGAUGCCACCACUGCUACGCAUUCCUGCGAUAGUGUGCAAUUGCGUAUCUAGUAGAACAUAUAUAACUAUCGUCCCAACAAACAGUUUCGUCCUACCAUGAAGUUAUAGUCGGGUUGAAGACAUUCAUUUAUAAUCGGAAGUGACGUUGCAGUUGCAUAUCAAGUAGGAGAUAUUUAACUACCCUAAUGACAAAACACUUUUGUUCCCUAAAUUACAGUCGCAUUGGAGACAUGCAUUAGCGAAACGACACCACCUGUAGUUGUGUGUUUGGAGUUAGACAUGCAACUAGCUCCACAAUAAUAAUCUGAAUUUUAAGUUUUAAUGAAUUUUAAAUUAGAGAAAAAAGAAAAGAUGAAGAUAUAAAUGCAGAAAUAGAGAAAACAAACAAUAGGAAAAAUCCUAAAAAAGGCAAAAACAAAGAAAGGAAAAACCUGUUUGAAGUUUCUAGAAGCUUCAUAUAACCAGUAGAAAGAGUCCUACAUGGGGCGGCCCACUCACACAUGUAAAAAGAGGCGGGCGAGGCGUAUGUCGACUAGCUCAGAGUUGGGGAAUCCUAUUCCGUGCAUAGUCGCUACGUAGCGACCAAAGGCGUACCCCUCGGGUUUGUGGUCCUCUUCGGGUCGGUCCAUUCCAGGUUCUUCCGCAUACUGGUGCUUAGGAAGGUUCUAGACCUUUUUUUCUAUUUUCUUUGUUUUCUUCUAGUUUUUUCUUUCUUUUAUAUUUUAGUUAUUACUUCUUAUUUUCUUUUAUUUUAAAUUUUCCGUUUUGGUAUUGCAAACAUAUUUUCAAAUUCAUAAAUGUUUAUUGAAAUCGCUAACAGUUUUUGAGUUGACAAACAUAUAUCUGAAAUAAUGAACAUUUUCUAAUUCGACAAUACAUUUUGAAAUCACAAAAUAACAAAAAAAUAACUUUUGAGGACAUUUUCAAAAAAUUCUGAACAUGUUCGUCAAUCGGCCGACAUUUUUUGAAUCGAUGAACAUUUCUAUGAAUUGACAUGAUUUUUUUGAAUCGAUGACCAUUUUUUGAAUCAAUGAAUAUUUUUUACAUGAAUGAACAUUUUUUGAAAUUCACAAUAAAAAAAUUUGUGAACAUUUAAAAAACUUGUUGAAUAUUGCUUGUAUCUCAACUUCCGUCCUGAUUAAUUAAAUAAAGUGGUGAUACCCAUCAAAAGAAAAUAGCUACGGUUGGCACAAAAUUUACUGCAAAUUAAUCAUGUGAUGAAAGACUUAGACGUGACAUAGUUUUUAUGUACCCUGAUAAGUGCCACACGUCAGGGUCGUUCUCAUGACAACUUUGAACAUUUUUUAUGACAAGUUUAGUUGCACGAGGAUGGCAAAUUUAAUUGACAAGCAUGAAAACUUUCGUGCUUUAUUUUAUUUUAAUAGAAACUUGUCGUGUGUCAUUGAAAUUUGCCAUCCUUGGAUGACAAGAAUUGCCAUAAAAAAAGUCAGGCCCAAAGUGCAAAGCACCUGACGUGUAAGACCUAUCAUUUGGAUACUUUAUAUCUAAGAAUUACCAUAAAAAAAGUCAGUCCCAAAGUCUUCAUGGUUACCUACGUGGAGCACCUUUUGUUCUAGAUCGCGAACUUCUUCAUGUGCUUGCACCGAAAGGGGUAGGUGAAACGUUUCAUGGAGUGAGGUAGAUCCCAAGAAAUCUGUGACUGAAAUAUCCUCAUUUAUUGCAAAGGAGAAGGCCCACGCGUAUUAUUCCGCCAGUGUAGUGCCUAACCAUAUAUCCUUCCACAUAAGUACCGUGUCUCCAACGUGCACAUUUUCUUUAGAUAUCCCUCUGUAGAUUGGGGUGAGCUUUAGCACAUCCUUCCACCAAAAAUAUCUGCACGGUUCCGACACGUGCGGGAUCUUGUGCAUGUAAUAUGUUGUCCAGAUCAAAUCCACCCAGGGCAGGUCAUGGUGGUUGUAAAAUUUAUGCAGAUAUUUGAGAAAGAGGGCCUCACUUUGGAUAUGGAGAUUGAUUAUGCCAAGUCCACCACUUUGUUUUGGUUGACAAACCAUGUCCCAAGCUGCCAAUGAGUUACAUUUAUCCCCUUGCUCAGUCUUUUUUGUCCAAAGGCACUUCCUUCUUAUGUUAUCAAGUAGCUCUAAUAUCUUUGGUGGGAAUUUGAGAGUGCAGAGAGCAAAGAUGGUGAGAGAUGUAAUCAUCGUGUUGAGGAGUGACAGUUUUGCAUCGUAUGACGUCAAGGCUAAAGUGCUGGUCAUUCUUCGUUCCAUCGUGCAAACAAGAGGCAUGAGAUCUUGGACCGUAGGCUUGGUUAUUACGAGAGGCAGUCCCAAGUAAGUGAAGGGCAUAGAUCCUACCUUACAGCUAAAGAUAGAAGCGAUGUCGUUGUAACAAUCGGCAGCACAAUUAAUUGGGAUUGAUGUAGACUUGUGGAAGUUUAUCUUUAAUCCAAUAGAAGCAGCGUAGUCUGAGAGAAUAUCCUUGAUAGUCCUUGCUUGGUUGGGGCAAGCAGGGAGUAUAAUGAUCGUAUUGUCGGCAUAUUGGAUCACUGGAUAAUCAUGCUGGUUUUGUCUUUGGAACGGAAGCCGUUUUUUUCCUUGUCGGAAAGUGUCAUUAAUGGAACCUUGAAUAAGGUCAGCUGCGAGCACAAAAAUGAGGGGUGAUAAAGGAUCACCUUGACGAACACCACAUUUGCAGAUGAAUUGCCGGCCUGGUACACCAUUUAACAGGACCGAUGAUUUUCCCGAGGCGAAGAUGCAUUUGAUCCAAUCAAGCCACUUGGCAUCAAACCCCAUGUAUUCCAUAAUUGUAAUCAUUGCAUCAUGCUCGAUCAUGUCAAAGGCUUUUGCAAAAUUUAGUUUUAGCAGGACAAUAUUUUGUUUUGGGGUUUGACACUGAUGGAUGUACUCGAAAGCCCAGGCCAAACAGUCUUGUAUUGAUCUUCCUUUGAUGAAGCCAUAUUAAUUGCGAUGAACAAUUUUAAGUAUGAGCUUUUGGAGCCGCUUUGCGAGCAGUUUAGUGAUAACCUUGAGGCAGAAGUUGAGCAAAGUAAUUGGUUUGAAAUCAGAAAUUGUCUCAGGUGACCGAACUUUGGGUAUGAGUGUGAUAAAUCCCACAUUAAUGCUCUCAAGAUUAAGUCCGCCCUCAUAGAAUUGAUUGCAUAGCUCAUAAAAAUCCUCUUUAAUUAUGUUUCAACAUUUUUCGGAAAUAAGCCAGUGAAUCCAUCCGGACCAGGUCCUCUGUCAGCCAGCAUUUCCUUGAUGAAAGCAUCGAUUUCAUCCUUGGUGAAAGGGACAGUCAAUUGAUCCACACCCUCAACUUUCUUGAUGAUGCUUUGUAGGUUGAAUUUCAUUUGAAACUCUCCAGAUUUUCCAAGUCUUUCUUUGAACGGUUGGUAUAUGAUCGCCUCUUUACUAGCAUGAUCUUCUGCCACUGUGUCAUCAGAGAGUUUCAGUGUUGGAAUUGUGUUGCGUCUGUAUCUUUCUGAGGCCAUUGACUUUAAAAAUUUAGGGUCUUCAUCACCCAAUUUCACCCAUCGAAUGGUGCAUCUCUUUUGCCAGUAUUGUCUUUGGUAGUUCAAGAGGCGUAAAAUGUGUUUAUUCAGAAUUUUCCUAAAAUUAUGUUCUGGAGUAGAAAGGAUUCUAAGAUUUUUUAGGGCAUCUAGAUUGGCCAGGGCAAGAUUAGAGUUUUCAAUUGCCACCUUAAGUUUAGAGAUACGUUUGCUCCACCUUUUCAACUCAUAUCUAAAUGCUUUGAACUUUUUGCAUAGUAAAGUGGCGGCAUUUGUAUUGGCAUGUUUUAAUGGUCUUGUCCACACAGAUUGAACCAAAUCCAUAAAACCCGGGUGCUCCGUCCAAUAAGACUCAAAUCUAAAGAUAUUGCUGCGAGGGAUGGAGGUUUCAAUUUUGACAACACACGGAAUAUGAUCAGAAACUGGUUUCCCUAGUGGCAUAACUAGAGUGUUAGGGUAACACAAAGUCCAGUUGUUAGACGUGAGAAACCAGUCUAAUUGCUCAAGGAGGGGGGGGUCUGUCUGCAUGUUGCUCCAAGUGUAAUCACGACCCUCAAUUGGAAGUUCAAUUAAUUACUAAGAGCGGAUGAUGUCAUUAAAAGCAAUCAUGUCAUUAGGAUUACCUCUAGGUUUAUUUCUGUUAUCAGGGCUACGAAUAUAGUUGAAGUCUCCUAGCAACAACCAAUCUUCAUUGGAGGGGAUAUUUAGAGUAUGAAGCCAAUUAGUGUAAGUCACUCUCGGGUCACCCUGACACAGGCCAUGUAUAUUCACCAGGGUCCACUCUUAGGCCGAUUGUGUGGAACAGAAUUUGAUGAAAGAACCAUGCCAUGAGAACUGUUCCUGUGAAAAUGGCAUUGUUCCAAAUGGCGGCAAUGCCUCUUGAAGCACCCUGGGAGGGGAUGUAUGCAAAUUUAUAAAAUCUUCUUGGACAACAAGACUUCAGGAACAAGUUAUCAAUGACAGAUUUUUUUUGUUUCUUGCAGACAGAUGACUGCACAGCCACUGGAGGAGAUAGCAUUUGAGAACGCCAAAAGCUUAGGAUCAGAGUUUAAGCCUCUUACAUUCCAGCACAAAAUAUUCUAGCUCGAUAAAAGUGCCAUGAUAAAAUAGAGCAAAUUAAAAAACAACUAAAAUAAAGCGAGGAAAUAGCUUAAGCAUUGGAGGGGCCGUCCUCAGCUUCAGCCAUUAGAGCUUCAGAAGUAACUUCUUCUGGCGGAAUGGCGCACUUGAUGAUCCCAAUGUGUUGCAGCACUUGAACAGGAGUAGGUGGAGGGAUAUUGUCCUCGUUCAGUGAGUCAGGAACAACUUGACCUGCUUGGGCACCAGCACUAGGGACAAUUCUUGGCUUGACUUUGGAAGGUUUAGCCUUGCUGUCAGAAACUGAUGGUAUCUUGAAACCAUCAUACUUAUUAGAGCGGCUACUGUGACGAACCUCAACCACAGAUGCUGGUGCUUUAGCUUUGCCCCUCCUGAUUAUUGAUUUCCCUGAGCUCAUAGCGUCACUUGCAAUAAAGCCAGUGGAUUCACUUGCAUCAGAACUAGAAGAGGUGGUCAUUGCAUCCAAUGAAAGUGUUGUUGCACCUUGAACAGGUAAGUCCAUCUCAUCCAAGACUUCUGUGAUGACAACAUUGUAGUUGGAAGUCCUUGGUAUGACAGCGAGAUCAUUUGUUGGCUGAAGAGGGUUAUCCCCACAGGACAGGGCCCAAGAACUACUGCCAGGGAUCAUCUCAGUGACAUAUACUGAAUCUGCAGUAUGUUGGACGGUUCUGGUGGAAGACAGAAUAGAGAACUGUCCCUCUUUCUCAGCAAUGCUAACAUUAAAUUGCACUGAAAUGUCACAAAAUCCAAACCCCGAGCUCCACGGGCCAUAUGCAUCUAUAAUAGGCCUAAUAGAAGCUAGGAGGUAAGUGUUCAGCCUCAACAUUGGCACACAAUCAUUCAGAAGCAAAGAAGCAUUGGUGUUCUCAGGAGAAAGCAUAGAAAGUUGCAGACCAACAUAUGAAAUAGACAGUGACAUUUCCAUGGGUGUUACCUCCUAGGCGGUCACAAGAUUGUACGUGAUAAAACUCAGCUCGGAAUCGAUGAUCUGGUGUCUUUCCUAUGCUUGUGGCCCAGCUAACAAUCUCGACAUCUUCUGUACUGCAUCAGGUGAUGCAUGAGGUAGAAUCCAUCAGUCCUACUGGUGUGCGGUUGCUGGAUGCGGCAGAAGUCGGUCUUAUGGCGGAAAACCAGCCCGUUCUUCAUGUGCCUUUUCACCUUGAUAUAUCCACCAGAUAGGCUAAAGGUUAAUAGGGCACUAUCAAGAACACUCUUUAUGUGCAAGUAAUCCUUUUUCUGGAGGUUCUUCGAUGAGUCCAAGUACAUAGCAUGGGAGUAUUACGGGUACAGAACGAUGAGGACGGCGCCGCCCCCGCUGCGCGAAUUAAGUACACCUCAAAUUUGCCUCCAUGCUUGCAAAGGAACGAUUAACACGUACGAAAGCAUAUGCGCGGAUGACUUACUAGGGAUGAUAAGGCAGGAGAAUCGCUUCCUUGUGCUUAUUAGCGAUCAUGAAUUCACCGACAUAGUUGCUCGCAUAGUCACGGUGCUCUUUGCAAACUGCCAAGAAGCUCUCUGCAUAUAGUAUGGGUCCGCGACGCAGAUAUAUUUUAUGUUCUCGAUCUUGAUGAAGUAGUUGAGAUACAACACAUACACGCGGAUGAACUGGAAAUUCAGCUUGGUUGUGUGGAACAUGUCGUAGAUGUAGUCAAAUCGCAGGAUGAACUGAUUCGCGGGCCAGGUCUCGACGUACAACUUCCCACCCGGCACCUGAGCCAUGUAAAGCGGGUAUCCUGGUUCUUUCGCGAUCAGAAGGCUUUUCUCUCCAGCCAACACAUCUUCAUGGAGUCUCUUUAGAUCAUUAUUCAGUAAGAGAUCUAGCGCUUUGGUAGGUAGGAUCGGCUCGCCGGCGACAUGGAAACGCGUCUUACCUUCGCAGGUAUUCUGUCUACCACCCGGGCCUUCAGAGGCGGCUGGCUUCUUGAAGCACCUAUGGCGCCUUUAGGGCCUUUCCUGGGCGGUCUCUUCAUUUGCUUCUUGGCGGGUGGCUGUAGUGAGCCCACCAUACCUUCCCUAACCACCACCCCUAGUGUCAUCGGGCUAAUCAGUGGACGGGCCUCGGGGGGUUGCUGGGUAGAGGCGGCAUCUGAAGGCGUUUCCUGCGAGGAUGGCUUGAAGAGAGACUUUUUGCAUUCCGCCGUAGGACGUUCUGGCUCCGGCAAAUCAGGCAACAUCAAGUCAUCAUCUCCAUGCUCAUAGCCUGAGUCUUCAUCGUCCUGAGCCAUCAAUCCUCCAUCACCAUAGGCGGUAUUUAAAUACUUGUCUGCGUCAUCAUCAUCCUCCAUAUCAUCAUUAGCAUUUGCUUCUUUGACAGUGGGGGCGACAUGAUUUGGCACUAAUCGAGGCUCUCCCUCGCGUCAUACGCUACCAUCCGCCACGACAGGUGCAGGUAAUUUGAUAGGUGGGCUGGUGUUCAUACCUUCUUGAGAAGGUGGCGUUGGCGUGAUACUGGGCGCCUCAAGACGAAGAAGAGACUUCGGCCAAGGCAAGAACCAGCUCUUGCAUGCGCCAACCAUCUUAGGGUUCUCGUUGUCGUCAUCGACUGGUACCGGAGGAGGCAAAUCCUCGAAGCCCGCUAAGACACUGGCCACGUUAACCUUGAAGACUCCAUCGGGCAUCUCUCGGUUGUGGAACAUUCGGUACUUCGGCUUCACGAUCGUUGCCUUUCCCACAGCCACCUUCUGGCCCUUGAUGUCGUAGAGUAGGGUGCAUGGGGUAUCGUCGGCCUACGAAGGAGACAUGUCUGCGACGUCAAACAUCUGAAAGGCAACAGAAAUGAAAGACUAUAGACAUGCUGGUGAAAAGGGUAUGACGCGUAAAUACCGUGAGGUCAUCGAGCUCAGCCAGCGACGAAGGCCCGCCGAGCAUGCGAGAGACGGAGGUCGGGCUGCUAUGAACAGGAACGGGACCUUUUGCGGUUGCUUGGGCAGGUGUUGGUGCUGUGGUGUUUGCCGAAUUGCUGCCGAUAAAGCUAGGAAGGGGAAAGUCCUCCGGCCGUGCAUUUGGACUGCUCUUCGACGAAUCGAAAAUUGCCGGAAUCAAGCUGGCCACCGCGUCAGUGACCAACCCAGUGACCACCCCGAGCAACUCUUCUUUGAUCUCAGCUUUGGUCUUAUUAACCGCAAUCACGACCUUCUCAUCGAUGCUCUGCUGAGUGACGACCAACCCAUCCUUCUUUCCUCUGGCUCCUCGGGGUAGCACGUCCUCCAUGAGGCGCCAUCUCUGAUAUCGUGCACACGUCCAUAGGACGGCGGCUUGUCCACCGGGACCUUUUUCAGUAUGUUUAGGGCCCGGUUGAAUGGGGUGUCGCACUUGGGCCUCGCCGACGACUGUGACGACUCGUCGCUUUCGGCCGCCUUUUUGGUGCUGCUCUUUCUGCAAAAGGAACGUGGAUGGUUUACUAUUGUGAAAAAAGUUCAAGUCGAAUUGAUUGGAAGCUAAUAUGAUAAUGUGGUAAUAUAACAAUUAGCAGAAGUCUCAUGAACUCCCUCGUAUUCGGGCCUGUGUAAAAGAUCUUUCUGACUUUGUCCCACCCACUUGUACCGGGCCGUGAUCGAGUCAUGCUCCUGCAGGUCUGUGAACUCCGACAAGGGGUCUGGUAUUCCGAGACUUUCACGUUCGGCGUCCUCCUUGGCCCAUAUGUACCUCUUCCCCUCGUAACCAUGGCUUCCGAGGCGGUGGGGAGGCGUGUUCCUGGCCUGGAGCACCUUCAUUUUCUCUGACUUUGCCUUGACUUCUUCUUUUCCGCAAUUCUCCUUAAAUUUUACAAAGUCCUCUGCCGUUAUUGUUGGAUUAUCAGCACGAAUCUUGGGCCACGGUUCAUUCUUCGCAAUCGCUUUUUUCACCAGAACAUUCCAGGAGCACAAGUCGUUGGUGAACGUCACCAUCGCGUUGUCGCUUAUCUUUGUCAUGGUGACGUCGUCCCACAACUCUUUAUAUUUGCCUUCCUCCCGAUCGGGGAACAGGAACCUAUUGUGCAACUUCUUUAGGAGCAUGUGCUCCAUAUGUGGUAUCUACUUCAACCUCUCGUCGUUGAUAUUGGCGGUUUCCCUGAGGAUGCAUCCAUGUUGGCUGCCCUAGCACGAGCGCGCUUCCUCCAGCAUCGUUGGCUCUAACUUCUUGGGGUGCAUCUCUGUAACCACAAUUUGUCUGAUGCCAAGCUCGUUUGGUCUUCGCGUCCUCUUCUUCUUUGGUGCUUUACCGGCUACGACAACAUCGUUGCCGGUCUCGGGUGUGGUGUCGGUGCCGGUGCCAGUGCCGGUGUCAGGGUUGGGGCCACUCCCGCCACCAUGCAACCCUAUCUGGUGUUCGUCCAGGUAAUCGAAAUAGUUAUGUGCUGCCUCAAUGGGGUCUGCGAGGCGAGCAGACCACCCACGACUUCGGCGUUGGUGGACAUGUUUCCUAUUCAACAAUUGUAAAUAAAAGAUAUAAUGAAGAGAAAAAAGGGCCUAUAUUUGGUCGGUAUGUUCAUUCCCCUUCCGGGAAAUCCCGGGUACUCCAUAUGUCCUAGUUUCUAGCAUGAAAUUUUUGCCACGACAUUUGCUAAGAACUAGACAUAUGGAACGCCUGAAAUUUGCCAGAACAGAAAUGAAUCAACAUUCAGGCAAAACAUAGGCCAAUCGGAUAUUUUUUGGCAUUCAACCAACAUUGCAAAACCAACAUAUAACAUCAAUGACAUAUAUCAUUCAAGCAAAAGCAUGCUUGUACUUAAAUACACAAAAAUGACAAAAAUAGCACAAACUUGCUCAAACUUGCUCCUAGGGUUCAUACAUAGCUAACUUACCCAAAAUUUUGCUAAAUUUGCUACUGUUUUUUUUAUUUGGUACUGUUUUUAUACUUAAUUUUUUUGCUACUGUUUUUUUAAAUUACUAUUGUUUUUGUAAACUUUGCUACUGUUUUCUAAAUUCUUUUGCUAUUGUUUUUUAAAUUCUUUUGCUACUGUUUUUUAUACCUAAUUUUUUGCUAACUUUCUACAAAAAUUUGCUAACUAGCUAAUAUUUGCUACAAAAAUUUAGUAACUUGCUAAUAAAACAAAAAACAAAAAUUUGUUAAUUAGCUACUGCCCUAAUUUGCUACUUUUCUAACUUGCUAAAAAAUUCCUAACUUUGCUAACUUUACUAAAUUUGCCCUGAAAUUUGCUAACUUUGCUACUGCAUUUGCUAACUUUGCUCAAAAUUUCCCCUAAAUUGAAAACCUAGAUGGGGACGAGGGGGAGGAGGAGGUCGGAGGGGGAGAGGGAGGUGGGGGCAGUACCUGAGGAGGAGGACGGGGCCGGAGGGGACAAGGAGGAGUAGGAGGCCGGAGCGGACGAGGAGGAGGUCUGAGCGGCGGCGGCGCGGAAGAGAAGGAGGUCAGAGCGGCGCGGACGAGGACGAGGAGGAGGCCGGCGGCAAGGCCGAGUGCGGGCAGGGGCGACGGGUCGGCGUCAUGGUCCAGGUCGAGGGGGGACGGCCGGCGGGGCGGGCAGCGCGGGCGAUGACAGCAGAGGAGUGGGAGAGGUGGGAAGUAGGGCGAAUGGGGACUUUGCAAAAUUUUGAGUCCGUGCGGGCAAUGGUUAACUCAAAAUAGCAGUACCGCUGGUUUAGCUAUAGCGUUGGUUCAGCGCUACUGCUAAGUUUUUCAAUUUUACUUUUUUUAUUUCUAAAAUACAAGUAGCAGUAGCGCUGGGUUAGGAACAACGCUAUAGCUAACUUAGCUAUAGCGCUGGUUCCCUAAACCAGGGCUACUGCUAAGUUUUCCAAUUUUAUUUUUUUAUUUCUAAAAUACAAGUAGCAGUAGCGCUGGGUUAGGAAAAAGCACUAUAGCUAACAUUUCUUUUCUUUUUAUUAUUUUCUGUUUACUUCUUUUUUUUCUUUUGUAUUGCUUUAUCCCUUUUCUUUUCUGUUUACUUUCCUUUUCCUUUGUAUUGCUUUAUCGCUUUUCUUUUCUGUUUACUUUUCUUUUCUUUUGUAUCGCUUUAUCCCUACGGCGUCUCCCUCCCACACUGCACUGAUAUCACCGGAUGCAUGCAUGUAAUUGAAGGGAGAUGCGAUUACAUUAUUUGACCGAUAACGGUUACUUAAGUGCGUACACAAAAUAGAUAAAUAUAUAUAAAUGUAGGUUUGUGAUCAACUGCGUCGACAAUGUUUCACAUUAAGCUUCUUCCCUUUCUUGUUCGUUGCCGAGUAAUUGAGCCCCUCCUUGUGUCUUUUCCGGAGCCAUGGAGUAUGAUCUUUCUUAGGUAAUCUAGUCUUGAUUCUUCGUUUCACGUAUGCUUCAUCAUCAUCGUCAUCUUCCCUCAUCGGGUUGCCGUAUUGGUCGUAGUCUUCUUCAUUGGCGACUCCAUCCAUUCCAACGAUGCACCUUUUGGAUCUCCUCACGACAACACGGCUGGGAUUUCCUGGGUCGGUUAUGAAGAAGCAUUGUCUCACGUGCUUAGCGUAUACCCAUGGCUCAUUUUUGGCGAUGACGUUAAUGUUCACGGGAGAGCUCUUCGCGUCGGGUAUAGACAAGGUGGUGAAAUACAUGUUUUCUCUUACGAUUCCUUGGCCCAUCUGACACGGAACAUCGUCGCAUCGUGCAUUCCAGCAUAGUACAGCUCCAAGAUCUCUUCGACCCAUCCGUAGAAUCUUUUAGUUGUGUCGUUGGCGUUAGUCACGCAUUGAAUUAUCACCCUGGAGUUUUGGUAAUCACUGUCCAUGCCUUUGGCCUCCGUGUAGAACAUGUAUCCAUUGAUAUCGUAGGACUGAUAGGUCGCGAGCUUGGGCGCGGGGCCAUGUGCUAAGGCGUGUAUGAGCAAUCUGUCCGAACUGCCCUCUUCCGGGGGAUUUUUAAGAACUUGCUCUUCGAACCAACACAAGAAAGUGGCGUUGUGCUCUACAAUAAAUUCGUCGUCUGUCUUGAGCAUCCCCUUAUCACGGUACUUCUUUGCGAUGCUUUCUUUGUGCCGUGCCACAUAAUCAUCUACCACAUCUAGGUGUUGUAGCACUACUAAGUUAGCCCUGUCAAAGUCGUUCCAUAGAUCCAAGUAGUCCACAUGCAAUUCCCUCGGGCCGUUGUUGUGACCAUCUCCUUCGAGCUUCCCAUUGUGCUUCUUGACAAGCAAACCAACAACAGGGUCUCCGACCCUUAUAUAAUUCUCGAAGAAGGAGACGCACUCAUGCAUCAGAUACCCCUGGACGAUGCUCCCUUCGGGACGGGACUUGUUACGAACGAAUCCUUUGAUGACCCCAUUCAUCCUCUUCAACGGUAUUAUGAUGUGAAGGAAUGUCGGCCCGAGGUCGACGAUGUCAUCCACGAUGUGGACACAGAGAUGCACCAUGAUGUCAAAGAACGCGGGCGGGAAGUACAUCUGAAGCUCACAUAGUAUGACAACAAUCUCUUCCUGUAGCCUUUGGAGCUGCUUCACACUUAUGGGCUUUCGAGAGAUAAUGUCGAAGAAGUUGCAGUGACCAGUAAGCGUGUCACGGACGUGCUUGUCCAUUAUCUCUCUAAUGGCAACUGGGAGUAUCUGCGUCAUCAUCACGUGACAGUCAUGAGACUUCAUCCCGCUGAACCUUUUCUUCUUGGGGUCUAGAAAUCUGCUUAUCUUCCCAGAGUAACUGGAACUGACUUUGAUUCCCAUAAGGCACUUGAUGAAUUGAUCGAUCUCCUUCGCACUUAAGGUGAAGCAAGAAGGGGGGCAAUAAUUCUCCUCCUUCUUGUUAACUUUUCUGCCCCUUUUCCCCUCCUCCAUCUCCGUCUUUGUCUCCUCCAUGAACUUUUUACGGUGGAGAUCUUUCCUGAUCUUCAAAUCUUCCAAGUCUUUCCUUGCCUCCGGGCCAUCUUUUGUCUUCUCCGGCAUCUUCAUCAGUGUGCCAAGCAAGCCCUCGAGGACAUUCUUCGUGAUAUGCAUUUGAUCAAGGCAAUGAGGCGUGUCGUGAUUGGGCCAGUACUCCAAGUCCCAGAAAAUAGACCUCGUUUUCCAUACCUUCAGCAGCGGCUCUGACGCCUUUCUGAUCUUUCCAGGGGCGGGGCAUUCUUCCCAGUUUCUCAAUAGCUCAUCGAUUUUGGCGCCGCUCCUCUUACGUGGAGGUCCUCGAAGCUCAGCCAACCCAUUGAAUAGAUCUCCAUGCUUUCUCCACAGGUCAUCCUUCUUGAGCCAUCUAUGAUGCCCCAUGUACAUGGUUUUCCCGGAUACGCCCUCUUUCGUUGACGUAAGCUGCUGAGAAGUUUUAUGAUCCAUGCACCUCCUGCAUCCGCAGUAUCCGUGGCACACCUGGCCUGGGGUGUACGCGUAAUCGAGAUAGUCUUGCACCGUCGUCAUCAGCGUGGCUCUCAUAUGGAAAUACUCUCCUUUGCUGGUGUCCCAUGUCCAUGCCGGUGAUUUCCAUAACGUGUCUAGCUCCUCUUGCAGAAGCCCCAUAUACAGGUUAAUACUAUUUCCCGGUUGUUUCGGCCCUUGAAUCAGCAUGCACAUGUGUCUGUACUUUUGUCCUCAUGCACUUCCAUGGGAGAGGUUGUACAUCCAUACAAACACGGGCCAUGUGCUAUGGUUGGUGCUCCAGUUUCCAAACCGAUUCAUGCCAUCGGUACUCGCACCAAGCACGAUGUUCCUUGGAUCUUUUGCAGCAAAUCCAUACAUGGCGUUGAAUGCUCUCCACUGGCUACCAUCUACGAGGUGUCUUAGCCUCGUAUCAUCUCCAUCGUUGGGCUUCUUUCUCUCCGCAUGCCAGUGCAUGAGUUUUGCUUCCUUAGGAUCUAUGAAAUACCCCUACAGACGCGGAGUGAUCGAAAGUACCAUACAACUUUCUGAGGAGCUUUCUUUCCUUCCUUCUUGUAUCGAGAAGCAUUGCACACUGGAUAGCUGGUUUUUCCGCGUGCUCCCCCAGAUCAAUGAUGUAAUCGAUGAUGCAUGCGUGGUACCUAAUGUGUGGCAAAUCAAAAGGGCAAAUGAUUUUCUUGGCCUCCUCGACACUAGUAGGACACAUGUUCCCAGUGGGAAGAACUUUAUUAUGUAGAUACUUCAAAUGCGCAUCGAGGCUUUUGUCUGUCCAUUUGAUUUUGGCCUUCGUCUUUAGAAGUACGAGCAUGAAACUCAAGCGGGUCACCUUGGGAUCGCAACCGUCAUACAGUGGAGUCCUCGAGUCUACUUAAAGUUGCACCAGCUUAGCCUCCUCUCUAUAAGCAUCUCUCUCGCUAGUCGAACUCUUGCGAAGGAGGUCUUAAACGUGAGGAUCCUGCACGACUGCACUCAGUAGCGUCGAAGACAGUGUGACCGCCACCUCUUCUCCGCCAUGUCCGGACUCUUCUUCACCGUGUCCAGAAUCUUCUCCGCUGCCGUCACUUCCGGACUCUUCCCCGCCGCCAUGUCCGGCGCCACCGUCUUCAUGUUGAUGGGUCAUCUCUUCGUCUAGCCCCAUGUCUUUAUUACCUACCAUGUGGACAUCCUCAUCAUCAUCAUCUUCUUCACUUAUCCACUGAGUAUAGCCAUCCAUGAAACCAUUCAUCAGCAGGUGCGCCUUCAAAGUGACACGAUCAAAAGGGUCCAAAAGGACUCCUUCCUUGCCCCUUGCAUCUUGCACGCAGACAUAUAAUCCUAGUCCAAUUAUUUGCGUACAUGUCCAUCACCGCGGAUUGCAUGUACCGCUCCACCUUCCGUCAACUCACCUUCAUGACCGACUGCACGGUAUAAAAAGCAACAGGGUUAUAAAAUAAAUAAUGCAUGCAUGCUUCAAAGUCAUAUAAAAUUUUGGCAUGACCUUGCCUAAAAAUAGGACAUAUUGGGUUUGCUCGAAAUUCACCGAAAGAGAAAUAAAUCGACAUUUUAGCAAAACAUAAGCAACUCGAUGGCACGUCACACUCGCACAAAUCUCUCCAUAUCAAACACAUUUGAACACAUUUGAAAACGGGAAAAUUGAGAGUUGUACAUGGAACAGAUUUGAAGUUCAUGAAAAAUGUCAUCUUGAUUUUUUUCUUUUGAGCAAUGGAAUUGAAUUUUUGAUGACUAACAUAAUUAGGUCAAAUAAUCAGCUAGAUUUAUACUCUUGGAACUUUGAGGAAAAGUAACUCGAAACAAUGGUAGAGAACACUUCGAAACACUGCCGCUGUGGUUCCUCCAUACUCUCUGUCUCUCCCUCCCUCUUUUUUAUCUCCUACUAUAGGACGUGCGGAGCGGAAAACUGAGUGGCACACAAAUAUUAAAACAUCAAUACAAUGUGUACUAGUCAAUUUGGCCCUUUGUAUGUAGUUGAUCAUAACAAUGACCCAAGAUUGGAUCAAAGUUUUUCUUCUGAAGUAAUAAUAGGCUUCUCUUAGAACUCAUGAUUUACAAGUUGCACCAUAUUUGAACUUCCUCCUGGCUUUCUACGGAUCAUCUUGAAGAAGUCCUUAUUAGCCUUUUUAUUUGGAAUACAAACAUCAUACAUGUCUAGAACACAAAAACUCUGGUUGCCUUUUUCCUACUACGAACAGAUACUACAAUCACAAAACUCCAUAGAAUUGUUGCAUUUGUUUCUCAUACCUUUCUCUUGGGCCAAUAAACAAAAUAUUUAUUUCAAGAGUUCAAUCUUGUCUUAGACCUGCAAGGUAAGAUGUCGGCACUGAAUACACACACUAUACAACACACAUUCAAAGUAAAGAUGCAAGUAAAAAAGAACAUAUAUAUCUUGAUGCCUAAAUAAUAAUAAUUAUGGGUAUGGCAACAUCUAGUAUAUUUUUUCAAACAAAACUAAUCAAUCUUAAUUUUGCUUAUACAGUGGGAAACUAUUUCAAAUAUAACUUGCAUAUUAUUUCAUAUCUUAUUUAGUCUCAGGCUCCAAAAGAUCAUGGGAUAAAUAACUCAUGAUUGUAUAAUUCAUGCAAAAAUCAGUAUAAAUAAGGUGAAGAAUUUGCACUACCCAAAUCUAAAAGGAGUACAUGUCAAUCUCUGGAGGCAUGAGAUGUAGAUGGUAUGUACAUAAAUAUAGACUAAACCAACAUGUGUCACAGGUGAUUAUGACGAAGAUCGAACAGCUGCCGCCGGGUAGAUACUAAAAAUAAAUGAUGGAACAGGAUGAUAGUCAAAGCUGGGUUCGAGAACUACAGGAUUAGGGAGACCUUGAGACGCUGGAUAUAGGAGCGUAUACAUGUAUACUCAGACAGGAAUUUCAAAACGAUGCAAGACUACAUCAACCUCUCAUCCAAACAAGAAAUUCUGCUAUGUGCAAAUCCCUUCUUCUCCUUCCACUCUUCUUCCUCCCACUCAUCUUCACUUGUUGUGCCUGACCAUAAUGAGGCCGAGCACCUGCAACGUCGGAGAGGUAGUUACUAAGAUUGCCGGGAUUCUGCUACACAUUCUGCAGUAUUUGCCAAGCAUGAAGUCGGGGUGCUCGCAGUAAGCACACGUGAUGGGGUGGAAGCGAUCUUACUCGAGCGGUCCGACCCACUAAUUUUAGUAGUUUUAUGAAAUUAUCUCAGUUAAAUUGAGAGUAUCCAAUGAAACUUGAGGGAGAAAAAUGAAGAUAUGUGACCUAGUGAUAGUCCGCUCGCCUAACCUCUUGGUGGAAUUUACUAUUGUGGUUAUAAAUAGUUGCAAAUUUGAUAACAAUAUAAUCUAGCAGUUGCUAUGAAAACUCUAUGAGGGCAAACUACCAACCAACACUACCAACCAACAUAUAAUCUAGCAUUCCAGCAUAGUACAGCUCCCAGAUCUCUUCGACCCUUCCGUAGAAUCUUUCAGAUGUGUCGUUGGCAUUGGUCACGCAUUGAAUUGUCACCCCGGAGUUCUGGUAAUAACUGUCCAUGUCUUUGGCCUCCGUGUAGAACGUGUACCCAUUGAUACCGUAGGACUGAUAGGUCGCGAGCUUGGGCGCGGGGCCAUGUGCUAAGGCGUGUAUGAGCAAUCCGUCCGAACUGCCCUCUUCCGGGGGAUUUUUAAGAACUUGCUCUUUGAACCAACGCAAGAAAGUGGCGUUGUGCUCUACAAUAACUUCGCCGUCUGUCUUGAGCAUCCCCUUAUCAUGGUACUUCUUUGCAAUGCUUUCUUUGUGCCGUGCCACAUAAUCAUCUACCACAUCUAGGUGUUGUAGCACUACUAAGUUAGCCCUGUCAAAGUCGUUUCAUCGAUCCGAGUAGUCCACGUGCAAUUCCCUCCGGUUCUUGAUAGGCAAACCAACAACAGGUUCUCCGACCCUUAUAUAAUUCUCGAAGAAGGAGACGCACUCAAGCGUCAGAUACCCCUGGACGAUGCUCCCUUUGAGAUGGGACUUGUUACAAAUGAAUCCUUUGAUGACCCCAUUCAUUCUCUUGAAAGACAUUAUGCUAUGAAGGAAUGUUGGCCCGAGGUCGACGAUGUUAAAGAACGCAGACAAACAGAUGCACCAUGACAUUAAAGAACGUGGGCGGGAAGUACAUCUCAAGCUCACAUAGUAUGACAACGAUCUCUUGUUGUAGCCUUCGGAGCUGCUUCACACUUAUGGACUUUCGAGAGAUAACGUCGAAGAAGUUGCAGUGACCAGUAAUCGUGUCACGGAUGUGCUUGUCUAUUAUCUCUCUAAUGGCAACCGGGAGUAUCUGCUUCAUCAUCACGUGACAGUCAUGAGACUUCAUCCCGCUGAACCUUUUCUUCUUGGGGUCUAGAAAUCUGCUUAUCUUCCCACAGUAACCGGAAUGGACUUUGAUUCCCAUAAGGCACUUGAUGAAUUGAUCGAUCUCCUUCGCACUUAAGGUGAAGCAAGAAGGGGGGCAAUAAUUCUCCUCCUUCUUGUUGACUUUUCUGCCCCUUUCCCCCUCCUCCGUCUCCAUCUUUGUCUCCUCCAUCAACUUUUUAUGGUGGAGAUCUUUCCUGAUCUUCAAAUCUUCCAAGUCUUCCUUGCCUUCGGCCCAUCCUUUGUCUUCUCCGGCAUGUUCAUCAGUGUGCCAAGCAAGCCCUCGAGGACAUUCUUCGUGAUAUGCAUUUGAUCAAGGCAAUGAGGCGUGUCGUGAUUGGGCCAGUACUCCAAGUCCAAGAAAACAGACCUCGUUUUCCAUACCUUCAGCAGCGGCUCCGACGCCUUUUUGAUCUUUCCCGGCGCGGGGCAUUCUUCCCAGUUUCUCAACAGCUCAUCGAUUUUGGCGCCGCUCCUCUUACGUGGAGGUCCUCGAAGCUAAGCCAACCCAUUGAAUAGAUCUCCACACUUUCUCCAUAGGUCAUCCUUCUUGAGCCAUCUAUGAUGCCCCGGAUACGCCAUCUUUUUUUGACAUAAGCUGCUGAGACAUUUUAUCAUCCAUGCACCUCGUGCAUCUACAGUAUUCGUGGAACACCUGGCCUGGGGUGUACCCGUAACUGAGAUAGUCGUGCACCAUCAUCAUCAGUGCGGCUCUCAUAUGGAAAUACUCUCCUUUGCUGGUGUCCCAUGUCCAUGCCGGUGAUUUCCAUAAUGUUUCUAGCUCCUCUUGCAGAAGCCCCAUAUACAGGUUAAUACUAUUUCUCGGUUGUUUUGGCCCUUGAAUCAGCGUGCACAUGUGUUUGUACUUUUGUCUUCAUGCACCUCCAUGGGGGAGGUUGUACAUCCAUACAAACACGGGCCAUUUGUUAUGGUUGGUGCUCUGGUUUCCAAACCGAUUCAUGCCAUCGGUACUCGCACCAAGCACGAUGUUCCAUGGAUCUUAUGCAGCAAAUCCAUACUUGCUGUUGAAUGUUCUCCACUGGCUACCAUCUACAAGGUGUCUCAGCCUCGGAUCAUCUCCAUCGUUGGUCUUCUUCCUCUCCGCGUGCCAGCGCAUGAGCUUUGCUUCCUUAGGAUCUACGAAAUACCGCUGCAGACGGGGAGUGAUCGAAAGGUACCAUACAAAUUUCUGAGGAGCUUUCUUUCCUUCCUUCUUGUAUCGAGAAGCAUUGGACACUGGACAGCUGGUUUUUCCACGUGCCCCCCAAAUAAAUGAUGUAAUCGUUGAUGCAUGCGUGGUACCUAAUGUGCGGCAAAUCAAAAUGGAAAAUGAAUUUCAUGGCCUCCUCGACACUAGUAGGACACAUGUUCGCCGUAGGAAGAACUUUAUUAUGUAGAUACUUGAAAUGCUCAUCAAGGCUUUUGUCUGUCUAUUUGUUUUUGGCCUUCGUCUUUAGAAGUUCGACCGUAAAACUCAAGCAGGUCACCUUGGGAUCGCAACCGUCAUACAAUGGAGUCCUCGAGUCUACUUAAAGUUGCGCCAGCUUGGCCUCCUCUCUAGAGGAAGCCCUCUCACUAGUCGUACUCUUGCGAAGGAGGUCUUAAACAUGAGGGUCCUGCACAACUGCACUUAGUAGCAUCGAAGACUGCGGUGUGACCGCCGCCUCUUCUCCGCCAUGUCCGGACUCUUCUUCGCCGUGUCCGGAAUCUUCUCCACCGCCAUCAUUUCCGGACUCUUCCCCGCCGCCAUGUCCGGUGCCAUCGUCUUCGUGUCGAUCGGUCAUCUCUUCGUCUAGCCCCAUGUCGUUAUUCCCUGCCAUCUGGACAUCCUCAUCAUCAUCAUCUUCUUCUUCACUUAUCCACUGAGUAUAGCCAUCCAUGAAACCAUUCAUCAGCAGGUGCGCCUUCAAAGUGCCACGAUCAAAAGGGUCCAAAAGGACUCCUUCCUUGCCCGUUGCAUCUUGCACACGGACAUCUAAUCCUAGUCCGAUUAUUUGCAUACAUGUCCAUCACCGUGGAUUGCAUGUACCGCUCCAGCUUCCAUCCACUCACCUUCAUGACCAAUUGCACGGUAUAACAGGCAAAAGGGUUAUAAAAUAAAUAAUGCAUGCAUGCUUCAAAGUCAUAUAAAAUUUUGGCAUGACCUUGCCUAAAAAUAGGAGAUAUUGGGUUUGCUCGAAAUUCACCGAAACGGAAAUAAAUCGAUAUUUCAGCAAAACAUAAGCAACUCGAGGGCAUGUCACACUCGCACAAAUAUCUCCAUGUAUAUAUGCCAAACACACGUAUUCUCAUUCACACACAUAUUCCCAUUCUUGAAAUGAACAACUUUUUUACUCACCUAUAUAUCUCCCGAGAGAGACCGAUCGAGAGAGCACGCGGUUAAUUAGAUGAUGAGAGAGACCGAUCGAGAGAGCAUGCGUGGAUGGCUAAUUAGCUAGCUAGAUCUAGUUGUUGGGGAGGAGAGGUGAAUCUAGCUAGUUAACUAAUGGAGAUGGAGUUAUGGUGGAGGGGCAUUAAUGGGGAGAGGAAGAGAGGUAGGAGAAACAAAGAUGUGAGAGAGGCCAUUAAUGAGGAGAGUUGAGAGGGACAUUAAUGAGGAGGGAAGAGAGGUACAAGGAAGAGAGAAGAAGAGCAACAAUGGUGGAGAGUAGAGGGGGAAAGGAGGGGGAGAGAGGGCAAAGUGGGGGAGAGGAGGGGGAGGGGUGAAAAGGUGGCACCAGCCGCAACUAGUAGUAGCGUUGCUUACCAAAAUGCGCUGCUGCUACCGUACUUAGUAGCAGUGCUUUCCUACAGAAGCGCUACUACUAAGUGGGACCCAUUAGCAGUAGCGGCGCAGUAAAAUACAACACUACUACUAAAAUGUUAGUAGUAGCGCUGGAUUCUGCACAGCGCUGGUACUACAGCUACCGUCGGUGGCCUCGUCUGGUCCACAUAGUAGUAGCGCGUUUUUGGUUUCCAACGCUACUGCUAUAGACAGAAUAGUAGCGCUUCCCUGGAUCGGCGCUACUGCUAACUAGUAGCAGCGUUCACUAUUUUCCAGCGCUACUGCUAACUAGUAGCUGCUAACUUGUAUAAGCAUUUCCCUAGUAGUGUUAAUUUGAUUGACAGAUUGCACUUCUGGUUUCUACAGCUAGUUCUAACUAAUGAUUGAAAAAUAUAUCUACCUUAACUCUAGACAACUACAACACAUUGUCACUGCCUAACAGUGAUGAACCCUAGUGAUUCAAAUAAAAAAAUUACAAUGGCAGUGACCUAUAGCAAAAGAGGGAGGGAUGAUAUGCGCACCUGGGUUGGAGCCGAGGGUUUCCUACAGUCUACUCUGUCGCCGUCAUCAUCUCCUGGUUUCGUCGCUGAAACCCUAGCAGAUGAGAGUGGGAGGCACAGAUGCAAAACACACCUCUAAUUAAAAAAAUUCCAAAUGGACCAGAUGAGAGUGGGAAGCUCAGAUGUGUACCUCCAGACUGGAGAACGACGACAAUCGCCGGAAUCAGCCAAAAUCAAAGCGGCACGACCAGCGGCGAGAGAAGGAGAGAAAAGGGAACGAAACAGAGCAGCGGGUCAUAUAGAGGGAGUAGGUUGAGGGGGUCGUUGCCCCCGUUGGUUUUGACCCCCAUGGCAUUCUAAUACUAUUUGGGCUUGCCCAAUAAGAAAAAAGAUCACCACCUAAAAAUUGUCAACUCAAAACUAUAUAUUUCUGGUCUUAAACUAAAAAGGAAAAAAAGUAAAUUUAACAAAAGUAACUAUAAUAUACUAUUAAAAAGAUCAUUAUUUCCAUUUAAAAUAAUAGAAAUGUCAUUAUUAAUAAAAUGUCAUUAUUAAUAAAAUGUACAUAUUAAUAAAAUGUCAUUAUUUCCAUUUAAAAUAAUAGAAAUUUCAUAAAAGUAAACUAUAAUAUACUAUAAAAAAGAUCACCACACAAAAAACUAAAAAGAAACAAAUUUUGAUGUGUCAAACUACAUAUUUGAAGGCUCAAUACUAUAUAUUUUAAGUCUUAAACUAAAAAGGAAAAAAUAUUAAAGUCUCAAAAUACAUAUUUAAAAACAUGUCAUUAUUUCCAUUUAAAAUGAUAAAAUUUUAAUAGAAGUAAACUAUAAUAUAAUAUAAAAAAGUUCACCACAAAAAAACCUAAAAAGAAAAAAUAAAUUGGAAGUGUGAAACUACAUAUUUGAAGGCUCAAAACUAUAUAUUUCAAGUACUAACUGAAAAGGAAAAACGUAAAUUUAAAAUCUUAAGUACAUAUUUUUAAAAAUGUCAUUAUUUCUAUUUAAAAUAAUUGAAAAUUAAUAAAAGUAAACUAUAAUAUACUAUAAAAAAGUAUAUACCAAAAAAUAGUAAUAUAAGAAUGUUCGCAUUGACAAAAUAACAAUACCGGCGUCGGUUAUAACAGCACGCCGCAACUAAAUAUAAUAGUGUUGGCAUUCCAUGAUAUUCCACGACAGCAAUAUAUUACGUCUGGUACAAAUUGUUGAUCUCAUGUAUUUCUGACACUGCCUUGUUUUGGAACGCCACCACUAUGCCCCUAUUAAUGUCGUACCAAAUCAGCCAACGCCAUCACUAUUUGAAAACAGAUAGUGGUGGCGUUGGUUGUAAUGGAGCGCCACUAACGAAAGUUGUGGCUAGCCCUUUUUCCACUAGUGAAGAUUGAGGGAGGCUGUUAGAUAAUGUUUAUGCAUAGCUUUCGUGUAGACACUUUAUAAUGGGAUAGCCACUCCCGUAUUGGGUGUCGUGCAGUUUCCCACAAACAUAACGUUUUACAAUCCUGAGAGGCCAUCCAAGGGAGUCCGUCGUAGGUUGAUGCCGUUUUUACCCUCUCUAACUAAACCUAAAGUGGCGAAGUUGCUAGCAUGUCGCCAUGUCCUUGCACUAGAGAAGGUAGUUGGGGUCUAGACGAUCGUCUUGGAGAUGGACUGAAAGAUGGUUGUGAGCAAGCUCAACUCUGAAGGGAAGGACGGCUCACCCCAUGGCCCGGCGGUUGAAGAUGUGAAGGGCAUGCUAGCUCCAAACUUUUAUUGAGUCCAAGAUCACUUGGGUUCAUGGAGUGAUGAAUUGUAUUGCCUACGUCUUAACUAAUGAACAUUGUCGGAAUGAGUUGUGAAAAACAUCGCUUAGUGUGCCUCCGAAUUGUACUAGCGCCAUUUGAACUCUGGCAUUGCCGAGAACUCUGAAUACAAUGGCAACCAUUCUAUCUAAAAAAUGAUUCCUUACAGGUAUCUUUUGCCUUAUCAAUAAAUCGAGUAUAAAAAAUUCAGUUUAAAUUAGAAGCAAGGUGAUUACCAACAUACUUAUUUUAUUCCUUAUCUAUAUCUUAAAGCAUGGCUAUAAUAAGAUGAUAUACUUUUCGUCAAAAAGUUGCUAGUAUUACUUUUAAUUGACUAGGGAACUAAAUCAUGACUACGACUACCUCUGUCCUGAUUUAUUAGGGCUCCUUGUAGUUUGGGUCAAACUUUGAAAUUUAAUUUAACUAUUAGAAGAAUAAGUUAUAUACUCUAAGAAUAGUAUCACUGAAAUCCUCUUUCGAAUAUGAAUCCAACAAUAUAUGUUUUGUCACAUACAACUUAUAAUUUGUUAGUCAAAUCUACAGUCAAAGUUGGACACAAAAUAUGAAAGGGACCAAUAAACCCGGACGGAUGUAAUAGUAGUAGUAGUACUCCCUCCGAAACAAAUAAAUGCACUACCAAAUGCUCCCUCCGUCCCGAAAUACUUGUCGGAGAAAUGGAUAUAUCUAGAUGUAUUUUAGUUCUAGAUACAUCAUUUUUUAUGCAUUUCUACGACAAGUAUUUCCGGAUGGAGGGAAUAGUAAGUGUAUAUUUGUUUCUAAAUAUGAAAAUAUUACUAUUAAAUACUACUAUACCAAAGAUAUAAGAAUAUUAAAUACUAGUAUACCAAAGAUACACAUAAAUAUAAGAAUAUUUAAUAGUAUUAUAUGGAAGAUAUUCUAUAGUUAAAUCUAUUUACUCUGUUCCAAAAUAUAAGAAUAUUACUAUAAAAUACUAUUAGCUGUUUUCAAAUAAUUAGUAAUAGAGAUAAUAUUCUUUAGUAGUGAUAUAUCUUUAUUCCUCAUUAAAUAUAAGAAUAUUACUAGUAUUAAAUACUAGAAUCCCAAAGAUAUAUCUAAUAGUAUACCAAAAGAUAUACAACAAUUAAAUAAUAUUACCUCUGUUCCAAAAUAUAAGAAUGUUACUACUACCUCCGUCUCGAAAUAGUUGUCACCAAAAUGAAUAAAGGAGGAUGUAUCUAGAUGUAUUUUAGUUCUAGAUACAUCUUUUUCUAUCUGUUUUGAUCACAACUAUUUUUGGAUGGAGGAAGUAUUAAAUACUGUCACAGCUAUUCUUAUAUUUAGUAACAGAGAUAAUAGUAUUUAAUAGUAGUAUAUCAUUGUUCCUAAAUACUCCCUCCGUUCCAAAAUUCUUGUCUUAUAUUUGUCUAGAUACGGAUGUAUCUGAUACUAAAAUGUAACUAGAUACAUCCGUAUUUAGACAAAUCAAAGACAAGAACUUUGGGACGGUGGGAGUAUAAGAAUAUUACUAUUAAAUACUAGUAUACAAAUAUAUAUUUAGUACUAUACCAAAAUAUAAGAAUAUUUAAUGGAAAUAUACCAAAGAUAUGCUACUAUUAAAUGCUGGUAUUAAAUAAAUAAAUUUGUAGUUCAACACGCGGUCCCCACCUUGGCCCGUGCCUUCCGUUUCAAUUCAUAAAGGGCAACACAUGCUUCGCCUCCCCUCUCACAUUCUUCUCAUCCCGCUCACCUCAACCAACUCCGCGCGUCUGUUCGACCGAUCCUCCGCGAUGUCUAGCUCCGGCGUCAGUGCCAUACCCGCAGCCAACCACGAGGAGCACAGCUUGGCAGCCCCCGCCCCGCCCCCCGCGGUUGCGGUCGCCCAGGGGAAAGGGAAGAUGCUUGCGCAACAGGCGCCUGCGCCGGUGGUUCGCAAGCGCAAGCCUGGGAGACCCCAGGAGAAAAGCCCACCCCCAGCGGCCACCAGAGAGGAGCUGGAAUCCAGGGAGUCCCGGGAAGGACCCUUGAACGUGCUUGCGCUCCCGGCGCCAGGGGCCCCGCCUGCUUAUGCUGUCUCAGACUACAAGAUGGUGAGUCGCACUCGCGCCCCCACACGGCGUGCAACCGCUGUAUCCGAAGACAAGAUGGUGAGCCGCGCUCGCUCCUCCCCCCUCUGCUACUAGUGAUUUGAAGUUAACUGGUGCCUAAUGAGCUGGAGUUAUUGACAAUCUUUAAUCUAGUCAUGUGAAUUAGUACUAGUGCUUAAUGAACUACCUGAUGUGUAUGUGCAAGAAUUACGUGCUGGGUAUAUGUCCUUGGACAUUCUAAUCGUUGCGAUCUCAUCUGGCAGAUGGACAGGAAUGAGAUGGCGCUGGUGGUUCGCAGGCGCAAGCCCGGGAGACCCCAGGAGAAAAGCCCGCCCCCAGCAGCCACCAGAGAGGAGCUGGAAUCCCGGGCUUGCGCUCCCGGCGCCAGGGGCCCCACGUACUCACGCUGUCUCGCACUCGCGCCCCCACCCGGCAUGCAAACGUUGUCUCCGACGACAAGAUGGUGAGCCGUGAUCGCGCCCCCACCCUGCAUGCAAACCGUGUCUCCGAUGACAAGAUGGUGAGCCGCAGUCGCUUCCCCCUCUCCUACUAGUGAUUUGAAGUUAACCGGUGCCUAAUGAUUUGAAAUUACUGACAAUCUUUAAUCCAGUCAUGUGAAUUGUACUAGUGCUUACUGAAUUACCUGAUGUGUAUGUGCAUGAACUACGUGGUGUGUACAUGUCCUUGGAUUUUCUAAUCGCUGCGGUCUCAUCUGGCAGAUGGACAAGAACGAGAUGGUGCCGGUCCAGGGGGUGCCGCGCAUGCGGGGGAGCAUCGCGUCGUCAAGUGCGGUUGGUAAGUAUACUUUAUGCUGCUUUUUUUUGUCAACAUCGUCUCCAUGCAGGCUACACUGGGAAAGAAGCUGCUUAACUCUUGUGCAUGCUGGUUUUUUUUCAUCACUAGUAUACUGGUAUUGGACUGGAGCUUGAUAGCUCUGUCCAUGCUGGGCCUUUUUGUCAUCAUUAGUAUUGUUAUAUAUUAGCUGAAGCUGCACAUGUUUUCUUUCCAUUGACGUUGGUGCGGGCGGUGCUACGCGUCAGUCGGCCGAUGGAUGGACGCCUUACUCACCUGAUUUUAAUCAAGUCCCACCUAGGUGUAAUUUGUUUUGUCACUAGCUGUGUAUACAUAGGCGAGCUCCAGCACUGCAUUGCAGCGUGGAAAACAUAUGAACUGUAAUAAGAAACAUGCAGUGGCUAGAAACAUCUCCACAUAUUUUUUCAACACGUUUUAGGUGUCAACGAAAUUAGUCGGAUCGCCAGCCAUCGAAUUGACACAUGGAGCAUUGGAUCACAAUACAUGGCAGCAGGGAGAAUGGAAACCGUGUUCCUCCAUAGCCUCCACAAUACAUAUGUAUCCACCACCCCUCCCACAUCGUCGCAACAGACAAUUACGUCGGCCCCUUCCAACACCUCGCUUUGGUACCCUAGAGAUCCCUGAUGUCGCAUGGAUAUCCUGCAAGUAUUAUUACAGUGCGCCAAUGAGGCGUCAUCCUUGCAACAUUGUCUUACAGACAAUGUAGUUGAUGCCACCACCACCAUCACCCAUUUACACAUGGGCCGUCGCAUGUGGCACUGUUCGUGGGAUAAAACACACCCCGCGAGAAUACGCGGUUGCACCACUGCGAUCUAUGCAACUUAGGAAUUGUUGUGACUGCCCCUGCAAAACUAGCGAUGAUACGGCCAUCGCCCUGCAACAUUGGCCAUAGUUGUAGCACAUCUGAGAAGACGGAUGCCGCACCUAACAACACAGUAUGUGUUUUUUGCACCAUAAGGAAGCACUGCCUUGCAACAUCGGCUAUCAGGGUGCUGCACUGACAAACACACUCACGACCUUGAGAUGUCGUAUGCCUUGGCCGAUGUAGCAUAGUGCUCCUCUUUCAGCAUAUAGCGAUGGCUUGUAGCAUUGAUGGUCGGAGAGUCGCAGCAUCGUUGAGUGGCAGUGCUAGCCCAUCUCAUUGUCAUAGAGAAGGGGGAAUAAAGGAUGGGUGUGCACGUGGUGGAAAUAAAGCGAAUGGAUAUGGUGAAGAGAGAGGAAGACUAACAAGGGGCAUCUGGCGCUAGAGCGAGCUGACUGAUUUCCCCCUGAAACCAGCCUGUUGAAUAUAAUUCAAUUUUCUUUUGAGAGACCUCAUAAAAACGUCGCAACAUGCGAGCAUGUCUAUACAAAAAAUUGUAGAUAUACAACACACACUCAUUAGCUGCAACAAAUCAGUGAAAAACACAAUGUAUAUAGGCCUGAACCGAUGGAUCAUCAGCAUGCAUCUGCCAGCUCUUCCUAGGUUACGCCCAACCGUGAGUCGUUCAAUUGGGUCACACAUCACUACCCAAUCAACCACCAACUUAGUUGUUCCUCUCGUCUCCUCUACCCACCCUUGGCAACAUACACCCAUGAUUCUCAGCAAUAGACCAACAUGGAGGCGACAAUGGUGGCCAUGAUAGGCUAGUGAAAAGCACACUGGUUGGUCAACCUUACAACACUAAACAGAAACAUUGCAACAUGAGGUAACCCCAACUUUGUAGCACUGGUGCACCAUUUUCAACCACCUUGUAGCAAUGAAAAGUUCACUGACCAAUAGAAUUGCUGCACCAAGUUACUGGCUUCCAGCACUGAACACCCGGGCUUGUAGCACCACGAUGAUCGAUGGUCGGCCUUUCAACAGUAUUAGUUAACAUUGCACACCUCGUCUCCAUUUUUAUGUACAUACACAUGAGUGACCUUGGAACAUCAGUAACGUGUCAACAUUAUCAAACUUGAAGACGAUAAAUUUGUUUCUCCAAGCAUCGACAUUACUGAAUAAGCGUGCAACUGCACAUCCACCACAUGAGCCAUAAUUUUUUAGCCCUGCGACAACAGCUUAUAGUUGCAAAAGAGCUGACGAUGAUGGUUUAGAAUGUAUAUGAUCAAAAUAGAUUAAAUGGAGGGGAGGGUGGACUACCUAUGUUGAAUCAGACUAGCCACAAGGUCACAAGUGCCUUGUCUAAAUAGCCAAAAAGACAAAAGGAGGCCUCCUGGAUUCUCCAUCCUGAAGCUAAGCAUAACUCCAACUCCAGACACGCUAGGGGGCUACUAAAGGUGCAAUACGGUAGGGGUGUCUUCUGGGUGGGAAGCCUGGUAGCAGGCCUGCCUUAGGACCCAAGAGGCCAAGUGGAGGAUCGGUGCAGUAGGGCAGCUCAGGAGCCCAGAUAAGGACUAUGAGAGCAUCUUGGCAGGCAAGCUAAGAUGGCAGUGGUAUGAGAUCUGAUGGAUUCCUUGUAAACCUAGCCCUUGCCACCUAUAUAAGGAGGGGCUCGGGGUUGUCAUUCACAUAUACUCUCAUAGACUAUACUCUCUGUAGCAUUAUACUUCAUCUCCACUCUAAACCCCUCGCACAAGGUGCUCCACCAUGAAUAAAAAUCAGAUACAGGAAGUUGGGCAUUACCUCUCACCGAGGGCCGGAACCAAGGUAAAAACCUUUGUGUGAACUCCCUUGUCAUGGAUCCCUACAAGUUCACCACCCUACUAUGGUACUCACGGUUUUACAUACUAUCACAUAGUUAAGUUCUGACACAUUUUCUCUGGGGAGUUGAAACAACUCAUGGUGUAAGUAGGUGUUGCUUGAAGCACUGAUUCUACUAGCACCUCCUUUCCCGCCUUCGAGAUACCUUGUCCUUCCUAUCCAACCACUUUGCCAUUUGAGCUUUCUUUAAGAUGUUUAAAAUUUCCCUCCUUUGACCUACCCACCACGGUUGGGAGCCCCAAAUAAUGCUCGCUCAAUGCCUUAGGAUCUGUGCAAAGAUAUUUACAACAACUUACUCCUCCUAUUUGCCUCACUUCCCAAAGAAUGUUGAGGCUUUUUGAAAAUUUCCCAUUUGUCCCGAGGCCCACUCGUAGUCAAUGAGGAUAUAUUUAAGGUUACAAAGUUGCCAUUUGACGGUUGAAGAAAUACUAUACUAUCAUCUGCAGAAAUAAGAUGGACUACAUGGGGGUUAGUGCUCCCAAAAGAUAUACCAUUGAUCUCUUUAUCUUUGAGCACUCAUGAGAAAGGCCAAAAAACUCGCAACAUAGAAAAUAAAAAAAAAAUAGGGAGACCAUGGGUCUCCUUGCCAAAGCCCUCUUCAUAGUAUAAAAAAAUACAAAACACACUCCUUUCAAUUUGAUAGAAAACCUGGCCGGGGUACCACACAUCAUAAUCAUCAAGAUCAACCUAUCUGAGAAACCAAGUGCCCUCAUCAUCAGAUCGAGGAAAAUCCAAACCACCCUCUUAUAGGCCUUCAUCCUGUAUAGUUUAAUUGCAAACAUUGGAUUUUUCUAUUUCUUGAAUGUACUUUGCUCCUGUGUGAUCAUUAUGGAUAGGACAACCUUCAAUCUCUUUGCUAGGCCUUUGAAGCAAUCUGACUGAGCGUGUUCAAUAAGUUGAUUGAUCCCAUUUGAGGAAGUAUCUCCAUUUAGGUAAUUUUGGGGAUUAGGACUAGAACCAUAUCACUAAAGUUUGGUGAAAUAACUCCAUUAAAAGAAUCAUUUAUUACUAUGCGUACAUCAUUUUUUAGAAAUAACUAGUGAAAUUGGUAAACAUAAGUGAGAGGUUGUCUUGCCCCUGUGCUCCAGUCAAAUUUAGAAUAGUGCAUUCUCAAUUUCUUCAUCCAUCACGUCUGUUUUCACCCUCUCCUCCAUAUCACUAGUCACACAGGGUCGGAUGUGAGCUAAGAUGUUGUCAGCAUCAGCAGAGGCUUCUGAAGAAAACAACUAAGCAUAGAAAUCGGCUGAAAUCUUCCCCAUCUCAUUGUCAGUAGUACAACUCGUGCCAUCCGCCCUCAUGUUUUGAUCGUCUUUCUUGAGAAAUUCCAGUAGGGAACAUUGCAUACACAUUAUUUGUUCCUGUGCACGAACCACAUGAAGCUAGGCUUCAAUCUCACUGGUCUUCAGCGAGGAUGUCUGGAUCCCAAUGAUCUACCCUUUCCAUCGAAGCUGGACCUUGUGCCUAGUUAUCUCACAACAUACCAGACAAAAUACAAAGCCACUUCAAUAUUUCAUAUCAUUGGUGACAUUGUUAUGCUUCCUGUAGAGCUCACUCUGGCCGGAAUUGUUAUCACAUGCACACUAUCAUGCCUCCAUCCAUGGGCAUCCACCUCUCCUCAAACGUUAAUGCCCUCUUCUUACUUUUGGUAAUGACUAGGUUUUCUAGCGCUCUAUUAACGAGCAAACCAUGGUCUCGUCCUCCAUGACAACAUGUUCAAUGGUUGUAUCCUACAAUGAAUGCACGACUUCAUCAUUGCAUGGACCCCUGUCCACAUGUACAUAAAGGAUCUCAUCCCGCUCCCUCUUAUUGUCCCAAGUGUACAGGUUGCUAGUAAAACAAAGUUUUGAAACACUAUUAUUGGCUACACUCUCCCUAAUGCGCUCCAUUUGUGUGAAACUCCUCAAGUAAUCUCCUAGUUGUUGUGAUUAAAAGAAUUCUUUGUUGAGCUAUCAUUGUAACAGAUAAAUGUAUUAUUAGGAUCCAGUCUCUCGGAGCCUCCCUUAGCUACACAAAUUUUCUUCAAUCUCUCUUCCUAUCAAUUAGCUUUAGGUUAUAAUCAUUGUGAUGCCUUUGGUAGUCACCAUCACCUUGCCUCAUCCUAUGAACAAAAGUGCCUCAUCUGCGUUGCUCUGAGGUAGAUGGUCAUCUUUCCCAAUGGCCUUGCACCCUUUCCCAUAUAGAUUUUUUUAUGUCUUGCUUCCUUUCAUGCUCCUUUCUCAUGUCCCACUUCCUUUUUAGAUUUAAAUCAUCCCUUAGUUCACAAUCAUGUCACAGAUCUUGCCUGCAUUGGUCCUCCCUGCACUUCAUCUUAGACAGUGACCCUCUACAAGACCAUCUCGAGGAUCCUCGUAGAGAGAGAGUCCACAGAGGGUGUAUAAUCAUUGUAUGACCUGCACGUAAAUGGACGGACAUGCAACGCUACAUGACCCAUCGCCCAUAGACGCCCUUGCUUGACCUAGUGCUCCCAAAACUAAAGUUCAUGCUUUCUUUCACCGGCCUCUACUUUGUUUUUGUCUGUGAGGAGCCAUGUCCAAGUUAUGCCCUCAACCAUUCACCCAACUAGGGUGAGGAAUCAUUUUGUGGUUCAAAUCAUCCGUCAACAUGUGCUAGUCUGUCGUAGUCAAUCCAAAAGAGAGGUAUCUUUACAAAUUGAAAAUCAAACAAGGUCCCCUCAUCUUUUGCUGAAGAGUGGAGAAAGAAGCCUCAGACUAGUGAAAGAAAUAUGAAAAUUCUAGCUCUAGGUCUGAGAUGGUUCCCCCAUAAAUCCAUCCUUCCUAACAUCACUCUUUACCACGCCACCAAGACAAUUCCCUAGAGCAUUCCCAAAAGUAUAUGAUCAUUUAUAUAGGGGAGGAUCUAUAAUUAUCACCCAUGGCUCCGUCAUACAAAACAUUAUCUUCGAUGACCUAGUUUCUUCAUCAUAAUCCUUCAAAAGUAUCGCAUUAAAACCAAAUUGCCACAUUCAAUUAUAUAGAGCGUGCUUUUAGACUCCUUUGUUAUGGAAUCUAAAGAACAAGAUAUUAUUUCUAAUGUGACUUAUUUGGGCUUCCUAGUAUAGUCCCAUGUAUGUUGCAUAGCCCUAGCAAACACGUUGAUGUUGAUUUGCUGGAGUGACCAUGCCUUUCCAACCACUGACCACCGAGUAGGCCUCGGUAGGUCUGGAAUCCUGAUCCUCAAACAUGAGAUCUAUUAGUUACUUUUGUUGUCAAGUUCAGGGCUCCUUGUUAAUUUGGUUGAGAGUUUAGCUGCCUCCCCUGAAGCAUUUCCAUCUGUCAGGGACUUUUGAAGGUUCUCAUCUUAACGAUCCUUGGUCACCAUGUUCACUUGAGCUGUCGAUUUACGCCACGCCUUCUCUCCCAUCAUCGCGCAAAGGAGUGGAAGCACCAAGACCAAUCAAUGUAGGAGUAUACAGUGUCAUCACCUCAUAGAUGAAUAAAAACCUAACCCUAGCACUACUUGUCGGUCGCCUAUAAUCGCCCUUAGUAUUUCUUUUCAUGUUGGGCCCGCCACUAGGUAUUUAUACCUGUGCUUCCAUUGGUACUUUUUUUGCGCUGGAGCCUUUCUGCUACAUUUGCCUUUCUACAAAGGCGGUCUUAUCCAAAUCAUAUAGUCUCCUCUAUCUAUAGGAAGCGAGGACAUUAGCUCUUCUUUUUUUCAAGGCAAAUACACUUGCUAGUGUUCAAGCGACAUCUAAAGAAGUCUUGUCACAUGUGAAGACGAGGCUAAGAGUGUGACACAUAUAGGUGCCAACUUGAAGAAUAAUGCAAAUUUCAGUAAAUAUGAAUAGCUCCAGGGGAACGAGCGCACAAAGGAAUCAGCCACCAUAUAUGGAUCAUUUCCAAAGAAACAAAGUCACAAAGAGAGAGACAAGACAUUAGCUUCUUUAUGGGGAACACAUACAUUUAAAUGUUGCCUUGCUCUCUGAUUAUUAACAAGAAAUAAUUUUUACUAAUAUAUUAUGUGUAAAUCUUGAUAGAUAUGGAAUGUAUUUUGGUCAGUAUGUUUUAAGGAAUCAUAUUAGUUUUUGGUAUGUUGAAAUUAGAAGAAGUUCAUGUGCCUUCAAGGCAUGUCAAGGUGUGUUGUUCCACCUCAAAAUUGGUACAUACUAAAUGGUUAUUCUCCCUACAUAUAGCCCCAAUUCUCAUGCUCUCUCUCUCUAUCUAUCUAUCUAUCUAUCUAUCUAUCUAUCUAUCUCUCUCUCUCUCUACAUUUUAUAUUCCAGACUACUCCAUAAAGCCUAAUUGGUGAAGGUCCAUAAACACCCAGCAAUGAUGGGUUCAACUCCCAUUAGUAGUAUAUACUUAGUGGAGGAGAAACAAGCCAAGCCCGCCAAUGGUGAAUAAAUCAGAAAAGAAAAUCAGGCCAUGCCCAAUCCAAAUCCGGCACCUGCCAACAAUGUGUAGUCUCCACUACUCGAACCUACUUUUCCUCAGUGUGUUACAUCAUGUGAUGUUUGGAGAAGCCAUAGAGUUGGGGAUCCAAAUAUAGAUAACAACAAUGGGGAGUGGCUUGAAGAAUAGGAGCCAAGAAGCCGGACGGACAAGGCCUCCACCAUGCUGUACCAUUGGCCGAUACUGACCCGUAUGGUGCAAGGACCGACGCAGAACUGAACACCGUCAUCAUCUAGGUUGCAAAGGAAGUUGGACCACUGUGUUUCUUCUCUCGGACAAACUCAAUGAUUUCAUGCAGUUGGCACCCACGCCACAUUCCACAGAGAUAACAACAUUGAGGAGGAGGAGGAGGGGCAACGCAAGGUUUCUUCCUCAUAGGAAUUACUUUCGAGGAAGUGAGGGGACGGUAUGGCAUGAUGAGUAGUUAACAAGGGAAGUUUGCAUGACUGCGGCGGACAAAUCAUGAAGACAAGUGUGCUAGUAGCUAGAUAAGGGAUGAAUGAUAGCAGGAAGGAAUAAUGAGCUUACUGGGUGAGGCUACUAUUUUUUAAGUUGCGACCUACUGAUCAUAACAACAAUUGAUCGUAACAACGUACCAUUGAUGAUAUAGGGUAUUGAUUUAGUAACUGUUACGAUGUGACUAGGGCUUGUAAGCGGUGGGUUGUAUAUUACUAACAAGUAGCAUGUUUAGCCUCGAUAUUGUCCUCUGUCACUCGUAACAACGUACCAUUGACGGACCCCGUCACUACUACCUUUUUCCAACAAAAAUAGAAUUUUAGUUAUAGUAAGAUUCACAACAAUCCCGCCGGCCAUCAGUGCUAAGUUGCCUGCUGACGGGUUUUUUGACCCACCACUUUUGAUCGAUAACUAGGCGAGAACUCUAGUCUGGUGCACAUUUGUUUUGUUCAGAAUUUUUAGUGUUUUUAUGUGUACAAAGACAUAUAUUUCAACCCUAACAGGUUCUCUUUAGGUGGGGUCGAGAGUGAAGGACUGGGGAGCUUGGAAGCAGGGGAAAUGGCACCUCGAGGGGUUCAGGUCUCUAUGAUCAAUAACCACAAUUUUGAUCUGAAUGAGCUGCCGACUGAGCAUGAGUAGCUCAGGAAGGAGUAGUCACCUCUGGAGCAAGAGUAGCCUCCUAUGGCACAACAUGAGGUUUAAUAUUCACAAUGGUUGGAGGCUACUCAAAUCCCUCUUGUGUGAGCAAAGUUAACUCUUGGACCAAAGUGUAGCCCUGUUAGAAAUUAUCGAAACAAUAUCAUUAUCCCAAGGACGAUUGUAAAGCUUAUGUGGAACUUUUGAAUUUCUCGCUUCCUAUUUUUUGUUGAUUUACUGACGCUAUUGCUGAACUUGAGGGAAGGACUUGGUAUACUGCUUCAUGAUCAACGUGUCAACUGGAAAUGGCUUUUCUAUUCAUUUCCCGUGAUGGUUUUGAUAUGUGGAUUGUUUGAACAAGCAGGUGUUCAUUCGGUAAAGCUUUGUGAAACAACAACGGUGGAGCUAGGUCUCUGGUCAUGUGAAAUGACAGUAGGUCAAGAAGUGUGUUGGAUCAUGAGAUAACAUAUUUUCUAAGUUGUUAAUCAUGUGUGUUAACACCAUGGGUAGUAUGAGAGAAGGUCAACAUGCAUGUUUGGGUCUGAAAUGACCUCAUGACCAAAAAAGGGAGAGAAACAUGGCUAAUAGGAAUACGAACGAUAUGGAAGUUAGUUGUUGCAUGGAUGUUAACUGUGGUUAUGAAGCCACACAAGAUGUCAGAGGACCCGCAUCCUUACAUAUCAAGGUUGACUUCACAUGCCAACUGGAUUUCGUCUAAAUUAUUGUAUAUGUAUGUAUGUUAUAUCUUGAAAUCUUACCAAACAAAAAACACCAAAAAAUACACUAUUUACUUCUCUUUGAUGCAUAUUCUAGUUGGAGGGUAAUCAAAACCUUAUGUGGAUAUUUGUCCACAAUAGAAUAUACAAUGGUCUAGUGAGGCAAGGUGUAAAUGGAUAGGACAAUAAUCGAACAUGAAAACAUCCAACAUUGUGUUAUAGUUGCAUCAAGUUGUCUAGUGAGUCAAUAUGGAAAUGGAGGAGGCUCAUAGGGCAACACGAGAACACCCAACAUGUAGCUCUACUUACUUCCUAUUGGUACGAAGAGACCAAGACUAGUGAACGGUUAACCAUAACACAUGGACAAGAUAUCUCAUACAAGAUGAAAAUGGAGUGUGUCUUGUAUGAAAAUGCUAACAAAGUAUGAGUGUGUAUGGCAUGCCAUCCCCUCCCUUUCUUGUUCGAGUUUACUUCACCAACCCCAUAGUACCCUGAUCAACACUAUUAUUUGGAUAUGCUUCUCAUCUGAGAAAGAAUAGUUAUUGAGAGACAUUUAUAUCAUUGUCUAGAUAGACUUGUUCAAGGGGCAAUAAUGGAGGUGUCUUAUCUAUUAUAGCCACAUUCCAGAGAAGAAUAAAAAAAGUAGACACAACCUGAUAAUUUAUUGAGAUUUGAAUUGAGGAUUCCACAUACAUCAACUAUCCUACAUGUGAAUCAAAUCCACAUCCUACAUGGGCAUUGGGCUUUAGUUGGACUACCACUUUAUGGACAAGCCAUGUGCUCCAUGUAGUCUUUAUUGCAAAGGCGGGAGAACAGGGAGCAAAUAGUUUUCGAUGGCUGGACAUUGAAGUUAUUUGUCAAGAAAUUUGUUUCCUGACAUGGUUUGUUUAUUUCAUUGUUUAGUAUUUGAUAUCGGUUCAAUGCUCUAGUAUGUAACCUUCUUCUCACAUUUUGGGUCUAGCUCUUGGUGUUCAUGAGUUCAUUACUUAUGUUAACUAUUAUUGUUGUGCCCACUUGUUCACAAGAGACUAUAAAGUUAACUAAGAUACUCCCGUAUUUAUAUUAAUAUAGUUGGCACUAAGGUAAUCAUCAACCUUGAAUAUUACUCAUAUUUGUCAAAUAGGAGGUCAAGCUGGAUCUGUCUGGCGCAUCAUCUAUGGUCACAUAUGGUGUAUUGUCUAUUCUAAACCCAAUGAGUAUUGCAGAAUGACAUGUGCCUGCGGGGAGGAAUGAGUCACUGUUUUGGGUCAAGGGGUGAUGCCAUGCCUCAUAAUUGACAAUAAAAAAUUAACCACCUACAUAAAAAGUCUAACCCAAGACAGGGAAUAUGCACCAUUGCAAUUUUACUGCACAAAGUCAUCGGUAUUUUGCAAUUGAAUGUUCCCCAUGUUGUGACUGAGAACACAAAACACAAAACACCCCACAAAACACUAUUCACUUCUCCUCGAUGCAUAUUCUAGUGGAAGGGUAGUCAUAACCAUAUGGGAAUAUUUUACCACAAUAGAAUCUAUAAUGGUCUAGUGAGGCAAGGUGUAAAUGGAGAGGAUAAUAGGCGAACAUGGAAACAACCAACAUUGUGUUGUACUUUCAUCUAGUUGUAUAGUGAGAUAAUAAGGAAACGGAGGAGGCUCAUAGGGCAACAUGAGAACGCCCAACAUGUUGCUCUACUUACUUCCUAUUGUUACCAAGGGACUGAGACUCGAGCAUGGUUAAUCAUAACACAUGGACAAGAUCUCUCAUACUAGUUGAUAAUAGAAUGAAUCUUGUAUGAUAAUGCUAACAAAGUAUGAGUGUGGAUAACAUGCCAUCUCCUCCCUUUCUUGUUGUAUUUUCCUUCACCAACCCCCAUAGUACCCUGAUCAACACUAUUAAUUCGAUAUGCUUCACAUCUGAGUUAGAAUUGUGAUUGGGAAUAGUUGUAUCAUUAUCUAAGUAGACUUAUUUAAGGGGAAAUAAUGGACAUGUCUUAUCUAUUAUAGCCACAUUCCGGAUAGGAAUAAAAAAAUUGACAUAACAAGAUAAUUUGUUGAGAUUUGAAUCGAAAAUUCAACAUACAUCAACUAUGCUACAUGUAAAUCAAAUCCUCAUCCUACAUCGGCAUUCGGCUUUAUUUGGACAACCACUUUAUGGACAAGCCGUGUGGUCCAUGUGGUCUACGUCACAAAGGCCAUAGGACAAGGAGAAAAUAGUUGUCGAUGAUUGGUGAUUGAAGUUAUUUGUCAAGAAAUUUUCCCCCCAACAUGGUUCAUUUAAUUCAUUAUUUAGUAUUUGAUAUCGGUUCUAUGCUCUAAUGUGUAACCUUCUUCUCACGAUUUGGGUCUAGCUGUCAGUGGUCAUGAGUUCAUUACUUAUGUUAACUACUAUUGUUGUGUCCACUUGUUCGCAAGAGACUAUAAAGUUAACUUAUAUCCUCCCGUAUUUAUAUUAAUAUAGUUGGUGGUUAGGUAAUCCUUGACCUUGAAUAUUACUCACAUUUUUCAAAUAGGAGGCCAAGCUGGAACUGUCUAGUGCAUCAUCUAUUGUCACAUAUGGUGUAUUGCCUAUUCUAAACCCAAUGAGUAUUACAUUAUGGCAUGUGCCUGCAAGGAGGAAUGAGUUACUCUUUUAUGUCAAGGGGAGACGGCAUGCCUAAUAAUUGUCAAUGAAAAAUUAAUAGUCUACAUCAAAAGUCUAACCCAAGAAAGUGAAUAUGUGCCAUUGUAAUUUUACAACACUAAGGGCCUGUUCUGAUCUUGUCCCGCUCCACGCUUCACAAAUUCCUGGAGCAGAUACGAGCCGAAUGAAAUAGCAGCGAGAAGCUAGCUCCAGGAAGCUAGGAUCGACCGCAAUGCAAAAUCAUGAAGCAGACUCGGCCCAGCUCCACCGAUCUGGAAAGCUGAAGUUAGCCCAUAUUACAAGUGAACUGCCACAGCCAAAUCAUACAAGCCGAACCGGUAUGCUCGAUCUGUUUGAUUGCUCCUCGUUCCCUCGCUCGUGCUCCCUCACUGCUCCUCUACAAGGCCGAUUUGGGUUGCCUCCAAUCAACCCAACUAGCUCGAUUAGGCCACAACCCUUCUAGCUGGGUUGCAGUGCCGCGAGAAGCUACAAACCGAGCGUAACAGAUUUUUCAUCGCUGCUUGGAGUGAGAAGCUACUCUGAAAAGUUGAAUUUCUUAAGUUUUGGGAAGCUAGAGGAGAUCAUAACAGGCCCUAAGUCAUCGGUAUUUCAUAAUUGAAUGUUCUCCAUGUCGUGACGUUUGAUGGUGUAAACCCAAAUAAUCGCCAUUGUGAAAUUAAAUUCCUCCCGUGAGUCGAACCCACAUCCAUAAAGAUGUGCCACUAAAAUCCACCUCUAGGCUAUCUUGGAGUCCUUAAUAUAAUCAAGUGCGCCCAAUAUGGUGACUUAAUAUGUACUUAUUGACCCUACGAAGCUAAUCACCUCCAUCAAGACCCCUUCCUGGUUCUCCUAUAACUAGAUUUCCCGAAACCACGAGAAUCCUUAGAAUGGGAUUACAACUUAGCACCUUUCGUUUUCACAUAGUAAGAAGAGUUGCUCCUUGGAUAGCAUGGUACGAUCAAAGGUGUAACCUGUGUUUCGGAGGGAGUUAUUGUCUCGAAACUUUGUUCUCAGCUAUUCCGAUUCCAGCAAACGGAGGCCAUUGGGUCAAAGCUGUACUGCACGCCCUGUAGUUUUCAAGUGGGGUGAGACAACUUUAGCUAGGAACCAAUUUUCAUUCUGACUAGCUCCCUGAAAACAAUGUUCGACUUCAUGUGUAGUCGGUGUAGAUGUGUCAUUGCAAUUCCACCACUAGGAUAUCAACAAGUCCUAUGUAUUACAUGACAACAUAUGCCACCAUAUGGUGACUUGAUAAAUUAAAUGGAUUUCACCAAGCUUUCGUGUUACAAUUAUAGUGAAGAUAGUGACUCACAUGUCAGCCUCCCUGACGGGAAGCAAAAUCACUCUGACUUUGGCAACCUAAUUUUUGGUGGAUUCAAGCAAACAUGUUGGAUUUGUAUUUUAUUUAUUUCAACAUAUAUAAUUCAUAUAAAUAAAUCAAUUCAUAAUAGGUGUCUUGGAGACACCCAUGUCAAUAAUGUGAAAUUAUGGGAAAUCUUAUUAUGUGCAUCAACAUAAGCCAAAACUCGUGGCUUAAGAGAUAUGUGUACAAUCUUCGAAUGGUUAUUCCCCCUACUAAAUUCAUGAUGUUAGCUAGUUCCCAGAAGUUGAGAAAGAAGUUUAGUCAUGGGAUCAAUGUCCAGGUGCAUCAUAUUUCCAGUCCCAAAAAAAUUUGUUAUGGAAGUUGAGAAAGAAGUUUGGGCAACAUAUUUCUAGACACCUGUCAUGUCUAGGAUCUUCUCAAGCCUAGGUAAGCUUAGUCAUGGGAUCAAUGCAGGCUAUUAGUACAUUGACCUGGUUCUUAAUUCAAGUCCUCCUUGCUUGAUACAAUAUUGAAUGGAAAGUACAUAAUCAAUUUACUUAAGUGGGUGAACAAUGUUGGCUAGUAUAUUUCAACACUCACCUCACAUGCAUCUUUUAGAGGCAUAUAAUGCAUCGUGAUGGAAACAUUUUUUCUAUAGACUAAAUUUCAAUGGAAAAUUUUAAUUAAUUUAAUUAGUAGCAAUCUCGUAUCGCAAGGAUAUAUGGCAAAUGAAAAUGAGGGCUCAAAUGCUACUUGUUGGCACACAAAAGUCAAGUUGUCUUUUUCCUCCCAUGUUGAUCCUCCGUGGUUCGACAUUGGGCAUUACAAAGAGAUCAAGUUAUGUUUACACACCGCUAGAGCUACCAGACCCUGGAUGUUCCACCAUGAAUGUCCAUAUGGUGCAAUGAGUGAUAGCGAGGUAUAUUAGAACAUAUAGUUUACACCGUUAAAGUAAUUAAAUCGGCUAUUUUUCCUACUAUGAAAAAUAGUAUUUUAAGAGAAAACUAUAUAAGAGUUUGUGAUCUUUGUAUGUAAAAGCAUUAUUUUCCUUUGCUUGGUGUUCACGCAGUUUGUUUUAUGGCAAAAAUGGAAAAUCAUGGGACAAUAAUUGUUGAUAUUUUUUGCCGGAAAGCGAGAUCUUUUCACUUUUCAGAUCACACAAAGUAUUGUUUUUCUUAUAGGGGUGAUAUACAGUGUUCUAAAUCUGCACUUGUGAUUCGUUGUCCAUUUAAAUCUGGUUUCUUCCACAGAUUAUGUUGGUUUGUUGUUGUAUUUAUCUCAGCACUAAAGUAUACUGAUGUUAGCUAAGUCCAAUCAAAGGCCCGUGUUUUUAUCAUGUUAUACAAAUUAGUAAGCUAAGAUCUUACCAAACUCAAGUUACAUAAGCCCAGACUACGUGAAAUACACAUCAUGCAGUACACAUGUUCAUCUUAGUGUUAUGUUAUACUUGGCUCCGAGAUAACAAAUGGUAUCAAUUAUUACUAUCUUUUGCAGCUUGUUUCUGCCUGUUCAUCGUAGAAUUAUCUUAUGUGGUCUCCCAAGGUUCAUACAACUUGGAUUUUUCAUACUUUGGUAGUAUUAGUGUUCACUAGGACUAGGUGCCACUCUGCAGAAGCUGAGGAUACAGAUGGAGAAAGUAGUCAUGGUUUUUUUUUUCAAAAAGUUUGUUCAUAUCUAUAAGAGGUUUAUGAAUUUUCAGUGUAUAGUGUUGUGAAACCUAGAGUGUUUUAUCUCAUUUAACAUUGAACUACGCUUUCAAGGAAAAACCUUCAUUUGACAUCGAACUAUGCAUGCAGGGCAAACACCCCGUGCUUCGGUGCCACCGCGCCGCGAACCCUGGGAGCUUGAACCUGGAUGGGUGUGAACUUCAGAUUGAUGUCAAGGUUAGGGGUCAGUCAUGGAUAGAGAAUAAAGGGGACUUUGCAAAACUGUUAUUAAUAAUAUGGAUGAAACAUUGCCUUGUGGAGAGAAUAAGAUAUUUCCAGAGAUAUUUAUAAAUGGAUGCAUACUUGAAAUAGCAGUACAAAAUAUGAUGCUAACAUUUUAUUUUCAUUGUUGUUCCCAUAAAACUUCUGGUGGUGGCUCCAUUAUUCACAGCCUCGCACAUGAAAAUGUUAUUUCGUUCGGGUAAAUGUUGCGUGUCGUUGCUCCUGUAGUUUUGCGGUUUGCAUCUCCUUGAAACUUGUGAGUUGGAUUUUGUGAAGUUGCAAUGCAAAUUUGCGAUGCAGGGAAGAUAAUAAACAAUGCUUUCUAAGAGCAUUGGAUAUUGGAUGCGACUCAGAAAGAACGCAUGCAAACGCAAGAUGCAAGACGUAGUAGGCACAUGUCCAGGUUUAUUAAGAGCAUCUACACCGGACGCCUCAUAUCUGUCACAGACACAAAAUUGCCGGUCAGCACUAGGACGCAAAAUUGCCACCCAACAGGAUCUGUCAAACCCGGCCCAAACGUCUAGACAUGACCGCACUCCCCAUAUCCAGCUCAUAUCUCGGACAGAUAUGUGGAAGCCCAGAGACGCCCGGACACACCCGCCAUGUAGGAUCCGGCCGAGUGUGGCCCACCCGACCCUACAUAAAUAGGACCCUAUCCGCACUCCGAGCGAAACCCAAGCGGCAUUCAACUCCACUCUACUCCUCGCCAGGCCACUCCCGUCCACCCACAAGCCCCAUUUGCGAAUCUCCCACCAUUUCGAGCCGUUGAACCGGAGAUCAUCCCACGCGGCCCCAAGGAGGAGAUGGUCGACUGCCUUGCGCUUCUCCACUACCGGAGGAGUCCGCCCAGCCGCGGUCGAAAUCCAUCUGGUGGGAAUCCAUUGCGUCUGCCACAAUGGAGCAUGGAUCCCGCCCGAGGGCAGUCUACGCUGCCUUAGCAGAGGCAGUGCACUCCAUCUGGCGUCCGAACGCCGUGGAGGAUACGCAACCACUUUGUUGGCGCACUGAGAAAGAUAUGCACACCCGCUUAACGUCUGAUAUUAAUAUGGUGUGUGGCGCAUCCACCGUGUUAGGCAAUGGGCACGGGAACCCGUGGCAGCCCCCGUGCCAGACGCCAGCGGGGCAGACUCGCACUCUUCGGUGCCUCGUAUCGUGCCCGGCAGCCCUUGGCGCCGAAAUCAUGUCGUGUUGGAUGCGGCCGGCUCCACCAUCAUGGAUCAAUCAUUGACCUCACAUCCACCGACGACGGGAGAGCACGGGCUCCGACGAGAAAGAGUAGGCCAUGGGAGAUGGCGCCGAAUCGAGUUUCUUUUGCCGGGUCGUGUCCCAUGUCCUACUCUACCUCACCAGAGACCGACCCUCCACUUUGACAGGCUCAGACAGCCAUCGGACAUGGACAGGUUAGGAACAACAAGGACAGUCGCUGGCACAAAUUUAGACUACAGCCGUCGACGCGAGGUAAGUGCGGCAUGAGUUAAUCGCUGAAGAGGUUGGGCCGUUGUCGCCGGUUUGUCGUACAGUUGCCGACGUAGUCGUCCAUGACCACCAGAUCGACGCCGCCGUCACUGCAAGUCUAGGCGUCUCUGUAGUGGCUGAAGUCAUUUUAGUGUAUUUUCUUUGUAUUGUGAUGAUUGCAUACUGUGUUGCGUAUUGUGGCGUAUUUUCUUUGUAUUGUGAUGAUUGUAUACAGUACAAUGUAUUGUGGAUUUUCAUACUUUGGUAGUAUUAGUGUUCACUAGGACUAGGUGCCACUCUGUAGAAGCUAAGGAUACAGAUGGAGAAAGUAGUCAUGGUUUUUUUUUCAAAAAGUUUGUUCAUAUCUAUAAGAGGUUUAUGAUUUUUCAGUGUAUACUGUUAUGAAACCUAGAGUGUUUUAUCUCAUUUAACAUUGAACUACGCUUUCAAGGAAAAACCUUCAUUUGACAUCGAACUAUGCAUGCAGGGCAAACACCCCGUGCUUCGUUGCCACCGCGCCGCGAACCCUGGGAGCUUGAACCUGGAUGGGUGUGAACUUAAGAUUGAUGUCAAUGUUAGGGGUCAGUCAUGGAUAUAGAAUAAAGGGGACUUUGCGAAACUGUUAUUAAUAAUAUGGAUGAAACAUUGCCUUGUGGAGAGAAUAAGAUAUUUCGAGAGAUAUUUAUAAAUGGAUGCAUACCUGCAAUAGCAGUACAAAAUAUGAUGCUAACAUUUUAUUUUCAUUGUUGUUCCCAUUAAACUUCUGGUGGUGGCUCCAUUAUUCACAGCCUCGCACAUGAAAAUGUUAUUUCGUUCGGGUAAAUGUUGCGUGUCGUUGCUCCUGUAGUUUUGCGGUUUGCAUGUCCUUGAAACUUGUGAAUUGGAUUUUGCGAAGUUGCAAUGCAAAUUUGGGAUGCAGGGAAGAUAAUAAACAAUGCUUUCUAAGGGCAUUGGAUAUUGGAUGCGACUCAGAAAGAACGCAUGCAAACGCAGGUUUAUUAAGAGCAUCUACACCGGACGCCUCAUAUCUGCCACAAACGCCAGGCCGAGCUUCCCGGUCAUUACUAGGACGCAAAAUUGCCACCCAACAGGAUCUGUCAAACCCGGCCCAAACGUCUAGACAUGACCGCAUUCCCCAUAUCCAGCCCAUAUCUCGGAUGGAUAUGCGGAAGCCCAGAGGCGCCCGGACACACCCGCCAGGUAGGAUCCGGCCGAGUGCGGCCCACCCGAUCCCACAUAAAUUGGACCCUAUCCACACUCCGAGCGAAACCCAAGUGGCAUUCAACUCCACUUUACUCCUUGCCAGGCCACUCCCGUCCACCCACAAGCCCCAUUUGCGGAUCUCCCACCAUUUCGAGCCGUUGAACCGGAGAUCGUCCAACGCGGUCCCAAGGAGGAGAUGGUCGAUUGCCUUGCACUUCUCCACUACCGGAGGAGUCCGCCUGGCCGCGGUCGAAAUCCAUCUGGCGGGAAUCCAUUGCGUCUGCCACAAUGGAGCAUGGAUCCUCCCCGAGGGCAGUCGCCGCUGCCUUAGCAGAGGCAGUGCAGUCCGUCUGGCGUCCGAACGCCAUGGAGGAUACGCAACCACUUUGUUGGCGCACUGAGAAAGAGAUGCACACCUGCUUAACGUCUGAUACAAAUAUGGUGUGGCACAUCCACCGUGUUAGGCAAUGGGCACAGGAGCCUGCGGCAGCCCUCGUGCCAGACGGCAGCGGGGCAGACUCACACUCUUCGAUGCCUCGUAUCGUGCCCGGCAGCCCUUGGCGCCGAAAUCAUGUCGUGUUGGACGCGGCCGGCUCCACCAUCAUGGAUCAACUAUCGACCUCACAUCCACCGAUGACAGGAGGGCAUGGGCUCCGACGAGAAAGAGUAGGCCAUGGGAGAUGGCGCCGACUCGAGUUUCUUUUGCCGGGUCGUGUCCCAUGUCCUACUCUACCUCACCGGAGACUGACCCUCCACUUCGACAGGCUCAGACAGCCAUCGGACAUGGACAGGUUCGGAACAACAAGGACAGUCGCUGGCGCAAAUUUAGACUACAGCCGUCGACGCGAGGUGAGCGCUCCACGAGUUAAUCGCUGAAGAGGUUGGACCGUUCUGUCGCCGGUGGUCAUACAGUUGCCGACGUAGUCGUCCAUGACCACCAGAUCAACGCCGCCGCCACUACAAGUCUAGGCAUCUCUAGUGGUUGAUGUCAUUUUAGUGUAUUUUCUUUGUAUUGUGAUGAUUGCAUAUUGUGGCGUAUUUUCUUUGUAUUGUGAUGAUUGUAUACUGUACAAUGUAUUGUGGCAUAUUUUUUGUGGUCUACUUUUAAAAAAGAAACUAUAAAUAGCUAAAAGUGGUGUGCAGAAUAAAUUUGUACCCGCCACUACAAAACAAAUGCCAGUACUGACAUAUAUUUUUGCCCACCUAAUAGUAAUGCCCGCCACUGCUACAAGAUCGAGGUCGAUGGCGGGCUGUUUGUAACGCCCGCCACUGUUAUAGUCAUUUGUGGCAGGUGGAGCGCCCACCACUAAUGCCAUGUCGCCAGUGGCAGGCGCCUCUGAGAGCCUUACCCGUCAUUGCUAGGCUUUUGAUGCCACCACUGCUACGCAUUCCUGCGAUAGUGUGCAAUUGCGUAUCUAGUAGAACAUAUAUAACUAUCGUCCCAACAAACAGUUUCGUCCUACCAUGAAGUUAUAGUCGUGUUGAAGACAUUCAUUUAUAAUCGGAAGUGACGUUGCAGUUGCAUAUCAAGUAGGAGAUAUUUAACUGCCCUAAUGACAAAACACUUUUGUUCCCUAAAUUACAGUCGCAUUGGAGACAUGCAUUAGCGAAACGACACCACCUGUAGUUGUGUGUUUGGAGUUAGACAUGUAACUAGCUCCACAAUAAUAAUCUGAAUUUUAAGUUUUAAUGAAUUUUAAAUUAAAGAAAAAAGAAAAGAUGAAGAUAUAAAUACAGAAAUAGAGAAAACAAACAAUAGGAAAAAUCCUAAAAAAGGCAAAAACAAAGAAAGGAAAAACCUGUUUGAAGUUUCUAGAAGCUUCAUAUAACCAGAAGAAAGAGUCCUACAUGGGGCGGCCCACUCACACAUGUAAAAAGAGGCGGGCGAGGCGUAUGUCGACUAGCUCAGACUUGGGGAAUCCUAUUCCGCGCAUAGGUCGCUACGUAGCGACCAAACGCAUACCCCUCGGGUUUGUGGUCCUCUUCGAGUCGGUCCAUUCCAGGUUCUUCCGCAUACUGGUGUUUAGGAAGGUUCUAGACCUUUUUUUCUAUUUUCUUUGUUUUCUUCUAGUUUUUUCUUUCUUUUAUAUUUUAGAUAUUACUUCUUAUUUUCUUUUAUUUUAAAUUUUCCUUUUUGGUAUUGCAAACAUAUUGUCAAAUUCGUAAAUGUUUAUUGAAAUCGAGAACAGUUUUUGAGUUGACAAACAUAUAUCUGAAAUAAUGAACAUUUUCUAAUUCGACAAUACAUUUUGAAAUCACAAAAUAACAAAAAAAUAACUUUUGAGGACAUUUUUAAAAAAUUCUGAACAUGUUCGUCAAUCGGCCGACAUAUUUUGAAUCGAUGAAAAUUUCUAUGAAUUGACAUGAUUUUUUUGAAUUGGCAAACAUUUUUUGAAUCGAUGACCAUUUUUUGAAUCAAUGAAUAUUUUUUACAUGAAUGAACAUUUUUUGAAAUUCACAAUAAUAAAUUUUGUGAACAUUUAAAAAACUUGUUGAAUAUUGCUUGUAUCUCAACUUCCGUCCUGAUUAAUUAAAUAAUGUGGUGAUACCCAUCAAAAGAAAAUAGCUACGGUUGGCACAAAAUUUACUGCAAAUUAAUCAUGUGAUGAAAGACUUAGACGUGACAUAGUUUUUAUGUACCCUGAUAAGUGCCACACGUCAGGGUCAUUCUCAUGACAACUUUGAACAUUUUUUAUGACAAGUUUAGUUGCACGAGGAUGGCAAAUUUAAUUGACAAGCAUGAAAACUUUCGUGCUUUAUUUUAUUUUAAUAGAAACUUGUCGUGUGUCAUUGAAAUUUGCCAUCCUUGGAUGACAAGAAUUGCCAUAAAAAAAGUCAGGCCCAAAGUGCAAAGCACCUGACGUGUAAGACCUAUCAUUUGGAUACUUUAUAUCUAAGAAUUACCAUAAAAAAAGUCAGUCCCAAAGUCUUCAUGGUUACCUACGUGGAGCACCUUUUGUUCUAGAUCGCGAACUUCUUCAUGUGCUUGCACCGAAAGGGGUAGGUGAAACGUUUCAUGGAGUGAGGUAGAUCCCAAGAAAUCUGUGACUGAAAUAUCCUCAUUUAUUGCAAAGGAGAAGGCCCACGCGUAUUAUUCUGCCAGUGUAGUGCCUAACCAUAUAUCCUUCCACAUAAGUACCGUGUCUCCAACGUGCACAUUUUCUUUAGAUAUCCCUCUGUAGAUUGGGGUGAGCUUUAGCACAUCCUUCCACCAAAACUAUCUGCACGGUUCCGACACGUGCGGGAUCUUGUGCAUGUAAUAUGUUGUCCAGAUCAAAUCCACCCAGGGCAGGUCAUGGUGGUUGUAAAAUUUAUGCAGAUAUUUGAGAAAGAGGGCCUCACUUUGGAUAUGGAGAUUGAUUAUGCCAAGUCCACCACUUUGUUUUGGUUGACAAACCAUGUCCCAAGCUGCCAAUGAGUUACAUUUAUCCGCUUGCUCAGUCUUUUUUGUCCAAAGGCACUUCCUUCUUAUGUUAUCAAGUAGCUCUAAUAUCUUUGGUGGGAAUUUGAGAGUGCAGAGAGCGAAGAUGGUGAGAGAUGUAAUCAUCGUGUUGAGGAGUGACAGUUUUGCAUCGUAUCACGUCAAGGCUAAAGUACUGGUCAUUCUUCGUUCCAUCGUGCAAACAAGAGGCAUGAGAUCUUGGACCGUAGGCUUGGUUAUUACGAGAGGCAGUCCCAAGUAAGUGAAGGGCAUAGAUCCUACCUUACAGCUAAAGAUAGAAGCGAUGUCGUUGUAACAAUCGGCAGCACAUAUAAUUGGGAUUGAUGUAGACUUGUGGAAGUUUAUCUUUAAUCCAAUAGAAGCAGCGUAGUCUAAGGGAAUAUCCUUGAUAGUCCUUGCUUGGUUGGGGCAAGCAAGGAGUAUAAUGAUAGUAUCGUCGGCAUAUUGGAUCACUGGAUAAUCAUGCUGGUUUUGUCUUUGGAACGGAAGCCGUUUUUUUUCUUUUCGGAAAGCGUCAUUAAUGGCACCUUGAAUAAGGUCAGCUGCGAGCACAAAAAUGAGGGGUGAUAAAGGAUCACCUUGACGAACACCACAUUUGCAGAUGAAUUGCCGGCCUGGUACACCAUUUAACAGGACCGAUGAUUUUCCCGAGGCGAAGAUGCAUUUGAUCCAAUCAAGCCACUUGGCAUCAAACCCCAUGUGUUCCAUAAUUGUAAUCAUUGCAUCAUGCUCGAUCAUGUCAAAGGCUUUUGCAAAAUUUAGUUUUAGCAGGACAAUAUUUUGUUUUGGGGUUUGACACUGAUGGAUGUACUCGAAAGCCCAGGCCAAACAGUCUUGUAUUGAUCUUCCUUUGAUGAAGCCAUAUUGAUUGCGAUGAACAAUUUUAAGUAUGAGCUUUUGGAGCCGGUUUGCGAGAAGUUUAGUGAUAACCUUGAGGCAGAAGUUGAGCAAAGUAAUUGGUUUGAAAUCAGAAAUUGUCUCAGGUGACCGAACUUUGGGUAUGAGUGUGAUAAAUCCCACAUUAAUGCUCUCAAGAUUAAGUCCACCCUCGUAGAAUUGAUUGCAUAGCUCAUAAAAAUCCUCUUUAAUUAUGUUUCAACAUUUUUCAGAAAUAAGCCAGUGAAUCCAUCCGGACCAGGUCCUCUGUCAGCUGGCAUUUCCUUGAUGACAACAUCGAUUUCAUCCUUGGUGAAAGGGACAGUCAAUUGAUCCACACCCUCAACUUUCUUGAUGAUGCUUUGCAGGUUGAAUUUCAUUUGAAACUCUCCAGAUUUUCCAAGUCUUUCUUUGAACGCUUGGUAUAUGAUCGCCUCUUUAUUAGCAUGAUCUUGUGCCACUGUGUCAUCAGGGAGUUUUAGUGUUGGAAUUGUGUUGCGUCUGUAUCUUUCUGAGGCCAUUGGCUUUAAAAAUUUAGGGUCUUCAUCACCCAAUUUCACCCAUCGAAUGGUGCAUCUCUUUUGCCAGUAUUGUCUUUGGUAGUUCAAGAGGCGUAAAAUGUGUUUAUUCAGAAUUUUCCUAAAAUUAUGUUCUGGAGUAGAAAGGAUUCUAAGAUUUUUUAGGGCAUCUAGAUUGGCCAGGGGAAGAUUAGAGUUUUCAAUUGCCACCUUAAGUUUAGAGAUACGUUUGCUCCACCUUUUCAACUCAUAUCUAAAUGCUUUGAACUUUCUGCACAGUAAAGUGGCGGCAUUUGUAUUGGCAUGUUUUAAUGGUCUUGUCCAACAGAUUGAACCAAAUCCAUAAAACCUGGGUGCUCCGUCCAAUAAGACUCAAAUCUAAAGAUAUUGCUGCGAGGGAUGGAGGUUCCAAUUUUGACAACACGCGGAAUAUGAUCAGAAACUGGUUUCCCUAGUGGCAUAACUAGAGUGUUAGGGUAACACGAAGUCCAGUUGUUAGACGUGAGAAACCAGUCUAAUUGCUCAAGGAGGGGGGUCUGUAUGCAUAUUGCUCCAAGUGUAAGCACGACGCUCAAUUGGCAGUUCAAUUAAUUCCUAAGAGCGGAUGAUGUCAUUAAAAGCAAUCACGUCAUUAGAAUUACCUCUAGGUUUAUUUCUGUUAUCAGGGCUAUGAAUAUAGUUAAAGUCUCCUAGCAACAACCAAUCUUCAUUGGAGGGGAUAUUUAGAGUAUGAAGCCAAUUAGUGUAAGUCACUCACGGGUCACCCUGACACAGGCCAUGUAUAUUCACCAGGGUCCACUCUUAGGCCGAUUGUGUGGAACGGAAUUUGAUGAAAGAACCAUGCCAUGAGAACUGUUCCUGUGAAAAUGGCAUUGUUCCAAAUGGCGGCAAUGCCUCCUGAAGCACCCUGGGAGGGGAUGUAUGAAAAUUUAUAAAAUCUUCUUGGGCAACAAGACUUUAGGAACAAGUUAUCAAUGACAGAUUUUUUUGUUUCUUGCAGACAGAUGACUGCACAACCACUGGAGGAGAUAGCAUUCGAGAACGCCAAAAGCUUAGGAUCAGAGUUUAAGCCUCUUACAUUCCAGCACAAAAUAUUCUAGCUCGAUAAAAGUGCCAUGAUAAAAUAGAGAAAAUUAAAAAACAACUGAAAUAAAGCGAGGAAAUAGCUUAAGCAUUGGAGGGGCCGUCCUCAGCUUCAGCCAUCAGAGCUUCAGAAGUAACUUCUUCUGGCGGAAUGGCGCACUUGAUGAUCCCAAUGUGUUGCAGCACUUGAACAGGAGUAGGUGGAGGGAUAUUGUCCUCGUUCAGUGAAUCAGGAACAACUUGACCUGCUUGGGCACCAGUACUAGGGACAAUUCUUGGCUUGACUUUGGAAGGUUUAGCCUUGCUGUCAGAAACUGAUGGUAUCUUGAAACCAUCAUACUUAUUAGAGCGGCUGCUACGACGAACCUCAACCACAGAUGCUGGUGCUUUAGCUUUGCCCCUCCUGAUUAUUGAUUUCCCUGAGCUCAUAGCGUCACUUGCAAUAAAGCCAGUGGAGUCACUUGCAUCAGAACCAGAAGAGGUGGUCAUUGCAUCCAAUGGAAGUGUUGUUGCACCUUGAACAGGUAAGUCCAUCUCAUCCAAGACUUCUGUGAUGACAACAUUGGAGUUGGAAGUCCUUGGUAUGACAGCGAGAUCAUUUGUUGGCUGAAGAGGGUUAUCCCCACAGGAUAGGGCCCAAGAACUACUGCCAGGGAUCAUCUCAGUGACAUAUACUGAAUCUGCAGUAUGUUGGAUGGUUCUGGUGGAAGACAGAAUAGAGAACUGUCCCUCUUUGUCAGCAAUGCUAACAUUAAAUUGCACUGAAAUGUCACAAAAUCCAAACCCCGAGCUCCACGGGCCAUAUGCAUCUAUAAUAGGCCUAAUAGAAGCUAGGAGGGAAGUGUUCAGCCUCAACAUUGGCACACAAUCAUUCAGAAGCAAAGAAGCAUUGGUGUUCUCAGGAGAAAGCAUAGAAAGCUGCAGACCAGCAUAUGAAAUAGACAGUGACAUUUCCAUGGGUGUUACCUCCUAGGCGGUCACAAGAUUGUACGUGAUAAAACUCAGCUCGGAUUCGAUGAUCCGGUGUCUUCCCUAUGAUUGUGGCCCAGCUAACAAUCUCGACAUCUUUGGUAGUGGCUGGCAUGCGAAGGCGUUGAUUGUCCCUUCUGUACUGCAUCAGGUGAUGCAUGAGGUAGAAUCCAUCAGUCCUACUGGUGUGCGGUUGCUGGAUGCGGCAGAAGUCGGUCUUAUGGCGAAAAACCAGCCCGUUCUUCAUGUGCCUUUUCACCUUGAUAUAUCCACCAGACAGGCUAAAGGUUAACAGGGCACUAUCAAGAACACUUUUUAUGUGCAUGUAAUCCUUUUUCUUGAGGUUCUUCGAUGAGUCCAAGUACAUAGCAUGGGAGUAUUCUGGGUACAGAACGAUGAGGACGGCGCCGCCCCCGCUGCGCGAAUUAAGUACACCUCAAAUUAGCCUCCAUGCUUGCAAACGAAUGAUUAACACGUACGAAAGGAUAUGCGCGGAUGACUUACUAGGGAUAAUAAGGCAGGAGAAUCGCUUCCUUGUCCUUAUUAGCGAUCAUGAAUUCACCGACGUACUUGCUCGCAUAGUCACGGUGCUCUUUGCAAACUGCCAAGAAGCUCUCUGCAUAUAGUAUGGGUCCACGACGCAGAUAUAUUUUAUGUUCUUGAUCUUGAUGAAGUAGUUGAGAUACAACACAUACACGCGGAUGAACUGGAAAUUCAGCUUGGUUGUGUGGAACAUGUCGUAGAUGUAGUCAAAUCGCAGGAUGAACUGAUUCGCGGGCCAGGUCUCGACGUACAACUUCCCACCCGGCAACUGAGCCAGGUAAAGCGGGUAUCCUGGUUCUUUCGCGAUCAGAAGGCUUUUCUCUCCAGCCAGCACAUCUUCAUGGAGUCUCUUUAGAUCAUUGUUCAGUAAGAGAUCUAGCGCUUUGGUAGGUAGGAUCGGCUCGCCGGCGACAUGGAAAUGUGUCUUACCUUCGACAGGUAUUCUGUCUACCACCCGGGGCUUCAGAUGCGGCUGGCCUCUUGAAGCACCUAUGGCGCCUUUAGGGCCUUUCCUGGGCGGUCUCUUCAUUUGCUUCUUGGCGGGUGGCGGUAGUGAGCCCACCAUACCUUCCCUAACCACCACCCCUAGUGUCGUCGGGCUAAUCAGUGGACGGGCCUCGGGGGGUUGCUAGGUAUAGGCGGCAUCUGGAGGCGUUUCCUGCGAGGAUGGCUUGAAGAGAGACUUUUUGCAUUCCGCCUUAGGAUGUUCCGGCUCCGGCAAAUCAGGCAGCAUCAAGUCAUCAUCUCCAUGCUCAUAGCCUGAGUCUUCAUCGUCCUGAGCCAUCAAUCCUCCAUCACCAUAGGCGGUAUUUAAAUACUUGUUUGUGUCAUCAUCAUCCUCCAUGUCAUCAUUAGCAUUUGCUUCUUUGACAGUGGGGGCGACAUGAUCUGGUACUAAUCGAGGCUCUCCCUCGCGUCAUACGCUACCAUCCGCUACGACAGGUGCAGGUAAUUUGGUAGGUGGGGUGGUGUUCAUACCUUCUUGAGAAGGUGGCGUUGGCGUGAUACUGGGUGCCUCAAGACGAAGAAGAGACUUCGGCCAAGGCAAGAACCAGCUCUUGCAUGCGCCAACCAUCUUAGGGUUCUCGUUGUCGUCAUCGACUGGUACCGGAGGAGGCAAAUCCUCGAAGCCCGCUAAGACACUGGCCACGUUAACCUUGAAGACUCCAUCGGGCAUCUCUCGGUUGUGGAACAUUCGGUACUUCGGCUUCACGAUCGUUGCCUUUCCCACAGCCACCUUCUGGCCCUUGAUGUUGUAGAGUAGGGUGCAUGGGGUAUCGUCGGCCUACGAAGGAGACAUGUCUGCGACGUCAAACAUCUGAAAGGCAACAGAAACGAAAGACUAUAGACAUGCUGGUGAAAAGGGUAUGACGCGUAAAUACCGUGAGGGCGUCGAGCUCAGCCAGCGAUGAAGGCCCGCCGAGCAUGCGAGAGACGGAGGUCGGGCUGCUAUGAACAGGAACGAGACCUUUAGCGGUUGCUUGGGCAGGUGUUGGUGCUGUGGUGUUUGCCGAAUUGCUGCCGACAAAGCUAGGAAGGGGAAAGUCCUCCGGCCGUGCAUUUGGAUUGCUCUUCGACCAAUCGAAAAUUGCCGGAAUCAAGCUGGCCACCACAUCAGUGACCAACCCACUGACCGCCCCCAGCAACUCUUCUUUGGUCUCAGCUUUGGUCUUAUUAACCGCAAUCACGACCUUCUCAUCGAUGCUCUGCUGAGUGACGACCAACCGUCUCAUCCUUCUUUCCUCUGGCUCCUCGGGGUAGCACAUCCUCCAUGAGGCGCCAUCUCUGAUAUCGUGUACACGUCCAUAGGACGGCGGCUUGUCCACCGGGACCUUUUUCAGUAUGUUUACGGCCCGGUUGAAUGGGGUGUCGCACUUGGGCCACGCCGACGACUGUGACGACUCAUCGCUUUCGGCCGCCUUUUUGGUGCUGCUCUUUCUGCAAAAGGAACGUGGAUGGUUUACUAAUGUGAAAAAAGUUCAAGUCGAAUUGAUUGGAAGCUAAUAUGAUAAUGUGGUAAUAUAACAAUUAGCAGAAGUCUCAUGAACUCCCUCGUAUUCGGGCCUGUGUAAGAGAUCUUUCUUACUUUGUCCCACCCACUUGUAUCAGGCCCUGAUCGAGUCAUGCUCCUGCGGGACUGUGAACUCCGCCAAGGGGUCUGGGAUUCCAAGACUUUCACGUUCGGCGUCCUCCUUGGCCCAUAUGUGCCUGUUCCCCUCGUAACCAUGGCUUCCGAGGCGGUGGGGAGGCGUGUUCCUGUCCUGGAGCGCCUUCACUUUCUCCGACUUUGCCUUGACUUCUUCUUUUCCGCAAUUCUCCUUGAAUUUUACAAAGUCCUCUGUCGUUAUUGUUGGAUUAUCAGCAUGAAUCUUGGGCCACGGUUCAUUCUUCGCAAUCUCUUUUUUCACCAGAACAUUCUAGGAGGACAAGUUGUUGGUGAACGUCACCAUCGCGUUGUCGCUUAUCUUUGUCAUGGUGACGUCGUCCCACAGCUCUUUAUAUUUGCCUUCCUCCCGGUCGGGGAACAGGAACCUAUUUUGCAACUUCUUUAGGAGCAUGUGCUCCAUAUGUGGUAUCUAACUUCAACCUCUCGUCGUUGAUGUUGGCGGUUUCCCUGAGGAUGCAUCCAUGUUGGCUGCCCUAGCACGAGCGCGCUUCCUCCAGCGCCGUUGGCUCUAACUUCUUGGGGUGCAUCUCUGUGACCAUAAUUUAUCUGAUGCCAAGCUCGUUUGGUCUUCGCGUCCUCUUCUUCUUUGGUGCUUUACCGGCUACGACAACAUCGUUGCCGGUCUCGGGUGUAGUGUCGGUGUCGGUGCCAGUGCGAGUGUCGGCAUCGGUGUCAGGGUUGGGGCCACUGCCGCCACCAUGCAACCCCAUCUGGUGUUCAUCCAGGUAAUCGAAAUAGUUAUGUGCUGCCUCAAUGGGGUCUGCGAGGUGAGCAGACCACCCAUGACUUCGGCAUCGGUGGACAUGUUUCCUAUUCAACAAUUGUAAAUAAAAGAUAUAAUGAAGAGAAAAAAGGGCCUAUAUUUGGUCGGUAUGUUCAUUCCCCUUCCGGCAAAUCCCGGGUACUCCAUAUGUCCUAGUUUCUAGCAUGAAAUUUUUGGCAUGACAUUUGCUAAGAACUGGACAUAUGGAACGCCUGAAAUUUGCCAGAACAGAAAUGAAUCAACAUUCCGGCAAAACAUAGGCCACUCGGAUAUUUUUUGGCAUUCAACCAACAUUGCAAAACCAACAUAUAACAUCAAUGACAUAUAUCAUUCAAGCAAAAGCAUGCUUGUACUUAAAUACACAAAAAUGACAAAAAUAGCUACAAACUUGCUCAAACUUGCUCCUAGGGUUCAUACAUAGCUAACUUGCCCAAAAUUUUGCUAAAUUUGCUACUGUUUUUUUUAUUUGGUACUGUUUUUAUACCUAAUUUUUUUGCUACUAUUUUUUUAAAUUACUAUUGUUUUUGUAAACUUGGCUACUGUUUUCUAAAUUCUUUUGCUAUUGUUUUUUAAAUUCUUUUGCUACUGUUUUUUAUACCUAAUUUUUUGCUAACUUUCUACAAAAAUUUGCUAACUAGCUAAUAUUUGCUACAAAAAUUUAGUAACUUGCUAAAAAAACAAAAAACAAAAAUUUGUUAAUUAGCUACUGCCCUAAUUUGCUACUUUGCUAACUUGCUAAAAAAUCCCUAACUUUGCUAACUUUACUAAAUUUGCCCUAAAAUUUGCUAUCUUUGCUACUGCAUUUGCUAACUUUGCUCAANNNNNNNNNNNNNNNNNNNNNNNNNNNNNNNNNNNNNNNNNNNNNNNNNNNNNNNNNNNNNNNNNNNNNNNNNNNNNNNNNNNNNNNNNNNNNNNNNNNNNNNNNNNNNNNNNNNNNNNNNNNNNNNNNNNNNNNNNNNNNNNNNNNNNNNNNNNNNNNNNNNNNNNNNNNNNNNNNNNNNNNNNNNNNNNNNNNNNNNNNNNNNNNNNNNNNNNNNNNNNNNNNNNNNNNNNNNNNNNNNNNNNNNNNNNNNNNNNNNNNNNNNNNNAGGAGGCCGGAGCGGACGAGGAGGAGGUCGGAGCGGCGGCGGCGCGGAAGAGCAGGAGGUCGGAGCGGCGCGGACGAGGACGAGAAGGAGGCCGGCGGCGAGGCCGAGGGCGGGCAGGAGCGACGGGUCGGCGUCAAGGUCCAGGUCGAGGGGGGACGGCCGGCGGGGCGGGCAGCGCGGGCGAUGACAGCAGAGGAGUGGGAGAGGUGGGAAGUAGGGCGAAUGGGGACUUUGCAAAAUUUUGAGUCCGUGCGGGCAAUGGUUAACUCAAAAUAGCAGUACCGCUGGUUUAAGAACCAACGCUAUAGCUAACUUAGCUAUAGCGUUGGUUCAGCGCUACUGCUAAGUUUUUCAAUUUUACUUUUUUUAUUUCUAAAAUACAAGUAUCAGUAGCGCUGGGUUAGAAACAGCGCUAUAGCUAACUUAGCUAUAGCGCUAGUUCCCUAAACCAGCACUACUGCUAAGUUUUCCAAUUUUAUUUUUUUAUUUCUAAAAUACAAGUAGCAGUAGCGCUGGGUUAGGAAAAAGCACUAUAGCUAACAUUUCUUUUCUUUUUAUUAUUUUAUGUUUACUUCUUUUUUUUCUUUUGUAUUGCUUUAUCCCUUUUCUUUUCUGUUUACUUUUCUUUUCUUUUGUAUUGCUUUAUCGCUUUUCUUUUCUGUUUACUUUUCUUUUCUUUUGUAUUGCUUUAUCCCUACGGCGUCUCCCUCCCACACUGCGCUAAUAUCACCGGAUGCAUGCAUGUAAUUGAAGGGAGAUGCGAUUACAUUAUUUGACCGAUAACGGUUACUUAAGUGCGUACACAAAAUAGAUAAAUAUAUAUAAAUGUAGGUUUCUGAUCAGCUGCGUCGACAAUGUUUCACAUUAAGCUUCUUCCCUUUCUUGUUCGUUGCCGAGUAAUUGAGCCCCUCCUUGUGCCUUUUCCGGAGCCAUGGAGUAUGAUCUUUCUUAGGUAAUCUAGUCUUGAUUCUUCGUUUCACGUAUGCUUCAUCAUCAUCGUCAUCUUCCCUCAUCGGGUUGCCAUAUUGGUCGUAGUCUUCUUCGUUGGCGACUCCAUCCAUUCCGAUGAUGCUCCUUUUCGAUCUCCUCACGACAACACGGCUGGGAUUGUCUGGGUCGGUUAUGAAGAAGCAUUGUGUCACGUGCUUAGCGUAUACCCAUGGCUCAUUUUUGGCGAUGACGUUAACGUUCACGGGAGUGCUCUUCGCGUCGGGUAUAGACAAGGUGGUGAAAUACAUGUUUUCUCUUACGAUUCCUUGGCCCAUCUGACACGGAACAUCGUCGCAUUCCAGCAUAGUACAGCUCCAAGAUCUCUUCGACCCAUACGUAGAAUCUUUCAGUUGUGUCGUUGGCGUCGGUCACGCAUUGAAUUGUCACCCUGGAGUUUUGGUAAUCACUGUCCAUGUCUUUGGCCUCCGUGUAGAACGUGUACCCAUUGAUAUCGUAGGACUGAUAGGUCGCGAGCUUGGGCGCGGGGCCAUGUGCUAAGGCGUGUAUGAGCAAUCUGUCCGAACUGCCCUCUUCCGGGGGAUUUUUAAGAACUUGCUCUUCGAACCAACACAAGAAAGUGGCGUUGUGCUCUACAAUAACUUCGUCGUCUGUCUUGAGCAUCCCCUUAUCACGGUACUUCUUUGCGAUGCUUUCUUUGUGCCGUGACACAUAAUCAUCUACCACAUCUAGGUGUUGUAGCACUACUAAGUUAGCCCUGUCAGAGUCGUUCCGUAGAUCCGAGUAGUCCACAUGCAAUUCCCUCGGGCCGUUGUUGUGACCAUCUCCUUCGAGCUUCCCAUUGUGCUUCUUGACAAGCAAACCAACAACAGGGUCUCCGACCCUUAUAUAAUUCUCAAAGAAGGAGAUGCACUCAUGCAUCAGAUACCCCUGGACAAUGCUCCCUUCGGGAUGGGACUUGUUACGAACGAAUCCUUUGAUGACCCCAUUCAUCCUCUUCAACGGUAUUAUGAUGUGAAGGAAUGUCGGCCCGAGGUCGACGAUGUCGUCCACGAUGUGGACACAGAGAUGCACCAUGACGUCAAAGAACGCGGGCGGGAAGUACAUCUCAAGCUCACAUAGUAUGACAACGAUCUCUUCCUGUAGCCUUUGGAGCUGCUUCACACUUAUGGACUUUCGAGAGAUAACGUCGAAGAAGUUGCAGUGACCAGUAAGCGUGUCACGGACGUGCUUGUCCAUUAUCUCUCUAAUGGCAACCGGGAGUAUCUGCGUCAUCAUCACGUGACAGUCAUGAGACUUCAUCCCGCUGAACCUUUUCUUCUUGGGGUCUAGAAAUCUGCUUAUCUUCCCACAGUAACCGGAACUGACUUUGAUUCCCAUAAGGCAUUUGAUGAAUUGAUCGAUCUCCUUCGCACUUAAGGUGAAGCAAGAAGGGGGGCAAUAAUUCUCCUCCUUCUUGUUAACUUUUCUGACCCUUUUCCCCUCCUCCGUCUCCGUCUUUGUCUCCUCCAUCAACUUUUUACGGUGGAGAUCUUUCCUGAUCUUCAAAUCUUCCAAGUCUUUCCUUGCCUUCGGGCCAUCUUUUGUCUUCUCCGGCAUCUUCAUCAGUGUGCCAAGCAAGCCCUCGAGGACAUUCUUCGUGAUAUGCAUUUGAUCAAGGCAAUGAGGCGUGUCGUGAUUGGGCCAGUACUCCAAGUCCCAGAAAACAGACCUCGUUUUCCAUACCUUCAGCAGCGGCUCUGACGCCUUUCUGAUCUUUCCUGGGGUGGGGCAUUCUUCACAGUUUCUCAAUAGCUCAUCGAUUUUGGCGCCGCUCCUCUUACGUGGAGGUCCUCGAAGCUCAGCCAACCCAUUGAAUAGAUCUCCACGCUUUCUCCACAGGUCAUCCUUCUUGAGCCAUCUACGAUGCCCCAUGUACAUGGUUUUCCCAGAUACGCCAUCUUUCAUUGACGUAAGCUGUUGAGAAGUUUUAUGAUCCAUGCACCUCGUGCAUCCGCAGUAUCCGUGGCACACCUGGCCUGGGGUGUACCUGUAACCGAGAUAGUCUUGCACCGUCGUCAUCAGCGCGGCUCUCAUAUGGAAAUACUCUCCUUUGCUGGCGUCCCAUGUCCAUGCCGGUGAUUUCCAUAACGUGUCUAGCUCCUCUUGCAGAAGCCCCAUAUACAGGUUAAUACUAUUUCCUGGUUGUUUCGGCCCUUGAAUCAGCAUGCACAUGUGUCUGUACUUUUGUCCUCAUGCACUUCCAUGGGGGAGGUUGUGCAUCCAUACAAACACGGGCCAUGUGCUAUGGUUGGUGCUCCGGUUUCCAAACCGAUUCAUGCCAUUGGUACUCGCACCAAGCACGAUGUUCCUUGGAUCUUUUGCAGCAAAUCCAUACAUGACGUUCAAUGCUCUCCACUGGCUACCAUCUACGAGGUGUCUCAGCCUCGGAUCAUCUCCAUCCUUGGGCUUCUUUCUCUCCGCAUGCCAGUGCAUGUGUUUUGCUUCCUUAGGAUCUACGAAAUACCCCUGCAGACGGGGAGUGAUCGAAAGUACCAUACAACUUUCUGAGGAGCUUUCUUUCCUUCCUUCUUGUAUCGAGAAGCAUUGCACACUGGACAGCUGGUUUUUCCGCGUGCUCCCCCAGAUAAAUGAUGUAAUCGUUGAUGCAUGCGUGGUACCUAAUGUGCGGCAAAUCAAAAGGGCAAAUGAUUUUCUUGGCCUCCUCGACACUAGUAGGACACAUGUUCCCAGUGGGAAGAACUUUAUUAUGUAGAUACUUCAAAUGCUCAUCGAGGCUUUUGUCUGUCCAUUUGUUUUUGGCCUUCGUCUUUAGAAGUUCGAGCGUGAAACUCAAGCGGGUCACCUUGGGAUUGCAACCGUCAUACAAUGGUGUCCUCGAGUCUACUUAAAGUUGCACCAGCUUAGCCUCCUCUCUAGAAGCAUCUCUCUCUCUAGUCGUACUCUUGCGAAGGAGGUCUUAAAGAUGAGGAUCCUGCACGACUGCACUCAGUAGCGUCGAAGAUUGCAGCGUGACCGCCACCUCUUCUCCGCCAUGUCCGGACUCUUCUUCACCGUGUCCAGAAUCUUCUCCGCUGCCGUCACUUCCGGACUCUUCCCCGCCGCCAUGUCCGGCGCCAUCGUCUUCAUGUUGAUGGGUCAUCUCUUCGUCUAGCCCCAUGUCGUUAUUACCUGCCAUGUGGACAUCCUCAUCAUCAUCAUCUUCUUCACUUAUCCACUGAGUAUAGUCAUCCAUGAAACCAUUCAUCAGCAGGUGCGCCUUCAAAGUGCCACGAUCAAAAGGGUCCAAAAGGACUCCUUCCUUGCCCCUUGCAUCUUGCACGCAGACAUAUAAUCCUAGUCCGAUUAUUUGCAUACAUGUCCAUCACCGCGGAUUGCAUGUACCGCUCCACCUUCCAUCCACUCACCUUCAUGACCGACUGCACGGUAUAACAAGCAACAGGGUUAUAAAAUAAAUAAUGCAUGCAUGCUUCAAAGUCAAAUAAAAUUUUGGCAUGACCUUGCCUAAAAAUAGGACAUAUUGGGUUUGCUCGAAAUUCACCGAAACAGAAAUAAAUCGACAUUUCAGCAAAACAUAAGCAACUCGAGGGCACGUCACACUCGCACAAAUCUCUCCAUAUCAAACACAUUUGAACACAUUUGAAAACGGGAAAAUUGAGAGUUGUACAUGGAACACAUUUGAAGUUCAUGAAAAAUGUCAUCUUGAUUUUUUCUUUUGAGCAAUGGAAUUGAAUUUUUGAUGAGUAACAUAAUUAGGUCAAAUAAUCAGCUAGAUUUAUACUCUUGGAACUUUGAGGAAAAGUAACUCGAAACAAUGGUAGAGAACACUUCGAAACACUGCCGCUGUGGUUCCUCCAUACUCUCUGUCUCUCCCUCCCUCUUUUUUAUCUCCUACUACAGGACGUGCGGAGCGGAAUACUGAGUGGCACCCAAAUAUUAAAACAUCAAUACAAUGUGUACUAGUCAAUUUGGCCCUUUGUAUGUAGUUGAUCAUAACAAUGACCCAAGAUUGGAUCAAAGUUUUUCUUCUGAAGUAAUAAUAGGCUUCUCUUAGAACUCAUGAUUUACAAGUUGCACCAUAUUUGAACUUCCUCCUGGCUUUCUACGGAUCAUCUUGAAGAAGUCCUUAUUAGCCUUUUUAUUUGGAAUACAAACAUCAUACAUGUCUAGAACACAAAAACUCUGGUUGCCUUUUUCCUACUACGAACAGAUACUACAAUCACAAAACUCCAUAGAAUUGUUGCAUUUGUUUCUCAUACCUUUCUCUUGGGCCAAUAAACAAAAUAUUUAUUUCAAGAGUUCAAUCUUGUCUUAGACCUGCAAGGUAAGAUGUCGGCACUGAAUACACACACUAUACAACACACAUUCAAAGUAAAGAUGCAAGUAAAAAAGAACAUAUAUAUCUCGAUGCCUAAAUAAUCUCUCCCUAAUAAUAAAGCACGGAUUGAGUCUCCGGGUUCACCGUCACAAUGCGCUUCUUCCUAUGAUUUUACGCUUUUAGUUUGAAUUUAAAACAUAUAUCCGAGGUGGUACUUUUUUUUUGAGGGAAGGCCAUCAUGGCUAGCUUUAUUUACUCAGAUCAAAAUUACAUCGUUCACGAGGCUAUUGACGAUACAUGCAGGUGGUUCGUCAGUCCAACUAUCUGACGUUUUAUUACAAAAACUAUACUUAGCUAGCUCAUGAGGUGCGGUAUUCGCCUCACGAAAACAAUGCUUGAAGGUGACCCUCCCAAUUGAUGUAACAGUAUCUAGACACUCCGUAAAGACUGCUGCCGAUGCAUCCCACCAUUGUGUUUGUCCUGUGCAGAACUGAAUGACUUCAAGGGAGUCUGAUUCAGCCUCAACCCGAUUAAAGCCUAAUGAAUUUGCAAAUUGAAGGCCAUCUCGCAUGGCCCUAGCCUCCAUAGCCGUAGCAUCUGAAGCACAAUCAUUGUAUUUGCAUUGAGCAGCUAGAAAUUGCCCCUUCUCAUCUCAUUAUAGCGGCCGUUGCUCCUGCACCUGCAUCUUGAUAAAAAGCAGCGUCAACAUUUACUUUAACAAACUUUGGGUCUGGCCUCUUCCAUCUAUGCUCCGUGUCCUCCCUAUUUUGGUUUGUUUCUGUUUGGUCAUCAAUCAAUCGUACGAUUCCACCUAUCGAUCGCUCCGCGUGGGCCUUCAUAAGUCAUGUGCAUGGUUUCCGCAGAUCAAUCGCUACGUAUGGGCCGGCCCAUUUAAUUAUGAGCCACGGCUGAUCGCACGACUAAGCCAGCGACGUCGUUCGUUUUGUAAUACACAAUCGCUUGCCUCUUUUUCCGCCGCCCCGCACGUCCCUGUUUCCAGAUCCGUUUUCAAGAUCGAAGCGUUCGACAUCCGAACUCUUGCCCUCAGGUACCUAUAUAUUAGGUCAGCCAGGGGAGAAAACCAACUAUACGCCCGAGAAUUCUGAGCAUAUGUCAGGCCUCGCCUGUGAUCCGCGUCCUCGCCUCCAUGACUAGCGUUGUCCCGGAUAACUCGUGUGCUCACGAUGCGAUCCGCCACCUCGGUACGAGCCCCAAUCACGAGUUCAUCUGCCCCUCUCGCGCCUUCCUCCAGUCGCACUUCGGGGAGAUGCCAUCCAAUCAGGAAGGAGGGGAUCGAUGAGAAGGUCGCGAGAGGUGGCAUGGUUGGAGGAGGAAUUAUGCUUCCAUUGAUCCCUUCUGCGGGAGUGGAAGAGAAAUAGGAAGCCAUCAACUCGCCAUCCAGGUCGGGUAGCUGGCUAGAGCAAGCAUGCCGAUGCAUUGCAUGACCUAUGAACAUACAUGUAUGCAUGCGUGCGACCUUGCCGGCCUAGCCGAGGCAAACUUCCAUAGCGGCACGGCCUCAUCCGUCACCACGGAAUCCGGCGAGCUGUCUCUUCCGCCGUCGCCACUGUCACCAUCACAAGGAUACAAUCGAGGCGAUUAUUCCCCCGGCAAGUACUCCUUCGACUCCCCCCGCUCGCCUCGCCAUCUAGCUAUCCGAGCUCGAGGAGGCUUCGGCGUCCUGCAUCGCCGUGUGCGAGAGAUCUCGGCUCUCUGUGGUAAAUAAGGUCGCCACCCUCGAGGCCACGUUGGGCACGAGGCAGCCCUUCCUCGCCAAACUGAUCGUGUAUGCCUCUAGGCCCUAACAGGAGCUGCACGAGCUGAUGCUGCAAGCCUCAACAUGUCAGUGGACGCAUGAUUACACAGCGCUGGUAAUCAACAAGCCGAGAGGAGGGAAUAGAACGAACGAAUUAUAACCCUUUCACAGGGGAAGAGGGAGCAGUCGGUGAAGAAAACAGAUGAAAACCUGCGAAAUAGCACAAUCGACGGACGACCCCUUGAUUAAACAGGCCGGCUACCGGUGAAGAAAACAGAGAAGGAAUAAGAAUAAAUAAGGAUUGAACGCAUAUUAGGGCGUAACUCCUAGAAUCCCGUGAGGAGGGAGCAAGAGCGCAGCGGGUCACGAGCGCGUCGUACUCAAUCCAAAUCGAGACCAGACCGGUGAGCUUUGAGUAGAUCAAGCAGAGAGAUAGCAGGGGAUUUAUUUUAGGCAGAAAGAAGACAAACAAAUUCACCGGGUCCAGUGGCAAGCCAUUGAAGAGGGGAAAAGAGCUGAUCCAAGCGGAUUAUAAGGAGGGGGAAUUAUUUUUAGAACCUGCAGCACCGAAGAGGGGGACACCAAAAACCAGGACACCCAUGAUGUACGAGCAGCGGGCAGAGAAGCUAGGUUGCAGACGCCUCCACGCCCCGGCGAGCGCCUCAUGCGCUAGGGUUGCGACCUACUAACUAGCAAGGGGGAGGGGGAGGGAGGGGGAGGAGCGAGAGGCCAGCGGAGGAAGAGAAAAGGAGGAAGCUUGGAGAGACAGGCGGAGAGUACGAGGAAGGAGGCCGGGGAAAAACACUACUCUGAGCACUCGGUUCACGCUGGCUCCUACCUCUGUUAUUUCUUCGUAUGUGGUUAUGCUGGCUUCUCGUGGGAUAUUAAGCCUGAAGUGUUCCACAAAUAUAUUUCGUUUGCCCACGGCCACGUACAAGUUUAUGUGGGCUAAAUUAGGGGGUGCAUAGUAAAGUUUUUUAGGUGUGUGUGCGUCUCUCCAAAGUACACAUGUUUUUUUAGAGAAAGAGCCUACAUUCUAUUUCUUUUAGGCAGCCUACAAUUCGUGAAAUACUUGUUUGGGGAGUGGAAAGUAAAGAGUGCAGCGAGCACGGGAGCUGGCAGCAGCCCUCGCGGCGGACAAUGGCGUGGUUGAGUCGCCCUGUCCGACACCGCGUAUGGUAUUUAUCCCACCAACAAAUUCCAUUUUUAUAAGGGAAAAGUAUAUUUUUCGUUCCUCAGUUCUGUCGAGAGUAUAGAAAUGGUCCCUUAACUUCAAAACCAUCAAAUCUUAGUCCCUUAACUUUUGAAACCAGAUAAGUUUAGUCCCUCGUCCCACUUGAGCUGGUUUCGUCAGACGUGGAAGCGGUUUUGACCAAAACUUGACACAUAGUCCAGGUUUGACUGAGAAGAUGACGUGUGGGCCCACUCAUCAAUCUACGGACAGAUGAAAUAAAAGUACAGGUUUGUGUUCAAACACCAGACCUCCAAUCAGGUCAGCUUGCAUGAAACUAGCUCGAGGCCUCGAGCCACACACAAAAAAAAGGCGGAGCAGGUGCUCGCUCGCCGGCGACCACCAUUGUUGCCAGCCGGCCGUGACAAGCGCCGCUCGUCCGCAGCCCGCGCACCAACACGUUCUACUACGUCGGGCUCGCCGGCAUCUCCGUUGGCGACGAGGCCCUUUUCGUCCCAACCUCCGCCUUCGCCAUGGAUGACGCGGCUGCCACCCGCCUCCAGUCCUCCUCAUGCUUGCCUCUGGGGUCUGGCUCCAAUGUGAUCGCCAGGACACUCCCGCGAUCUCCUCCUCCGGCAAGCUCCGGUUCUCCCUGUAGACUUCCUAAGCUCGCUUUGGUCCUACCUGAGCAGCCCCUAAUCCUCGACAUCACCCCGACGCCAGCCCGGCCGUGCUCCGCCUCCCACUGCCGUCGACGCAACCGUCGCUUCGGUGCUUCCUCGCCGCGUCCGAGCACGCGUAGAUGCUCUAGUGAUACGCUGGUUACUCUCUCCUCUCCCGAAGCUUCCUCCCCGUACCAUCUAGCUGCCCGCAUAGCGCCACUCCUCAGUCCUCACCUCCGCUGCUGGAAGCCAUCGCCGGCAAAGCUUCGGCCGUCCCGCGUGCCCAUGCUUGCUUUCCCAGCCAUGCGGACACCCAGCAUUUUCAAAUUGUUCUUGAUUUUCAAAGAUAAUUCGCAUUUUUAACAAGUUCAUGCUUUUAAAAAAUACUCAAAAUUUUGAAAAGAAUGUUCCGAUAUUUUUAAAUACAUUUAAGAUUGUUCACAAAAUUAUGAAUAAAAUCAUAAUUUUGUUUUAAGAAUCAUGUGUUUAAAAAGUGUUCAGCUUCAAAACAUGUUCCAAUUAUAAUAAAAUAAAUAAAAAAUUCAAAAAAUAUUCAAUUCAAUAGAAAGAAAAAAAAGGAACAGUUUGGUUUUCGAAAAAGCAAAAAAUAAAACCGAUUGACAGACUAUUCCAUGUACAUGCACCACUACUCUUCCAUCGGAUAAACGAUGUUAGGGUAGCUUCUUCACGUCGACAUUCAUGCACCGAAAAGUGAUAACAAUAUAUCCUUAUCUCCGAUGUUUAUCAGAACUAGAUAUGAGAAAUGGCGCGUAUGAAUCAAGUUUUGUGACUUUUUUGCCCGUUGCAACGCACGGGCAUUUGUACUAGUAAUAAUUAUGGGUAUAGCAACAUCUAGUAUAUUUUUGCAAACAAAACUAAUCUAUCUUAAUUUUGCUUAUACAGUGGGAAACUAUUUCAAAUAUAACUUGCAUAUUAUUUCAUAUCUUAUUUAAUCUCAGGCUCCAAAAGAUCACGGGAUAAAUAACUCAUGAUUGUAUAAUUCAUGCAAAAAUCAGUAUAAAUAAGGUGAAGAAUUUGCACUAGCCAAAUCUAAAAGCAGUACAUGUCAAUCUCUGGAGGCAUGAGAUGUAGAUGGUAUGUACAUAAAUAUAGACUAAACCAACAUGUGUCACAGGUGAUUAUGUCGAAGAUCGAACAGCUGCCGCCGGGUAGAUACUAAAAAUAAAUGAUGGAACAAGAUGAUAGUCAAAGCUGGGUUCGAGAACAACAGGAUUAGGGAGACCUUGAGACGCUGGAUAUAGGAGCGUAUACAUGUAUACUCAUACAGGAAUUUCAAAACGAUGCAAGACUACAUCAACCUCUCAUCCAAACAACAAAUUCUGCUAUGUGCAAAUCCCUUCUUCUCCUUCCACUCUUCUUCCUCCCACUCAUCUUCACUUGUUGUGCCUGACCAUAAUGAGGCCGAGCACCUGCAACGUCGGAGAGGUAGUUGCUAAGAUUGCCGGGAUUCUGCUACACAUUCUGCAGUAUUUGCCAAGCAUGAAGUCGGGGUGCUCGCAGUAAGCACACGUGAUGGGGUGGAAGCGAUCUUACUCGAGCGGUCCGACCCACUAAUUUUAGUAGUUUUAUGAAAUUAUCUCAGUUAAAUUGAGAGUAUCCAAUGAAACUUGAGGGAGAAAAAUGAAGAUAUGUGACCUAGUGAUAGUCCGCUCGCCUAACCUCUUGGUGGAAUUUACUAUUGUGGUUAUAAAUAGUUGCAAAUUUGAUAACAAUAUAAUCUAGCAGUUGCUAUGAAAACUCUAUGAGGGCAAACUACCAACCAACACAUUCAACUCUAGAAGAAAGCUGGAAAAAAUUUGGGACAAAACAAAAAAUGGUGUUGGCGGCAAUACUCCUAAAAUGGCAUAUAUUGUCGACUUUGUUUUGUACUGAAGAUUCAGACACUGAAACCUGAAAAGUAGUACAAUCCAGAAAAAGAAUAAUGAUGCUGAAAUUACAAUCUAGCUAAAGCAUACUGGUUGCAUGAGCAACAAUAAGAACAAGCCUGCCACCUUGAGGAUUCCCAUGUGUCAACAAUGAUACAUAUAAAUGGAGCACUUUCAUGUAAAAACUAAAGAAGAUAAAUUUUAUCUCACAUUCCUUGUGUCCAAACAUCAGGAAAGGAAGCUAAACAAUGGUGAGAUCGAAUAUACAAACUCAAUAUAGAAAGCAUCAUUAAUUUUAAUCAGAAAAUAUCCAACUGAUGAUAGGAAAUUUCUGCAAGUCCAUUUAUUUCUACCAAUUAGUGCGAUGUGCAAGAUAAAUCAGCUAAAACUCAGUCAGGGGCCUCCUUGACCAGCUUUCCAGCAAGCGCUGCAUAUUCCCAUCCUGCACGCACGGCUGGGCGGGGCAGUGCUCGGUCACAGGCACACAUAGGGCAGCGGCGCUCGCGCUGCACUGCCUAAUUUCCUCCAUGAACAAUGUCCAAAAAGAUUAAAUCUCCUCUCCUAUGAUCGCAGAAAAAUACCAGCAAGUUCAUCUUCAUAUAGGCGAGAGGAAGAUAAAAAUAUCUGUCGUAAAGUACAAUUGAAUGUGCAAUGUAGCUUACGACAGGACUUGUAUUGUUCUUAUGUUCAGUUUCAGCAUAUCCAGACCAUAUAUCCUAUAGCGUCUGACCAUGAUUGUGAGAAAUAAAAAAAACCUGAAUAAAGAGACCAUCUGGUCAAGCAUAACAAACUCCUUAAAAGUUGGAACUAUGAUAAAGCUCUUAAUUAGUAGGCCGUCCAAAUUGCCGUAAACAUAUGUACAACACACAACUCAUUGAAUACACUAUUGUGAUAGACAAUCUAAUAAAACCUAUUUCUCCCCUUGCUGCUGCCAUACUACCACCACCUACAUAGACAUGGCCAAGGUCCCAGUUGUCAGAGUUAAUGCAGUAUAGACGAGGCUAGGGAAAGAAAAAGUGAACCACCAUGGGGAAGGACACAUUCUACGGUACUAACUUUUUUUUCGUUCCAAAUAGUGUGUCAGUUCACAUGGAGUCAAGCUUAUAUGUGCUAACUUCCAAUCGAUAAACAAAACAAAUAUCCUUUUUUUUAACCGGGCAUAACCCCUUUCCAUUACUGCGACAUAAUGAAAAAAACAGGUAUCCUUAAACAGUUAAGUAAUCAUUAGUACAAAUGCCCGUGCGUUGUAACGGGCUAAAAAUUCGUAAAACAUGCUCUGUGUGACAGUAGCGCCAUUUCUUAGAUCCAGUUUUGAUAAACAUCAAUAUUAGUUUAUAAUGUUAUCUCUUUCCGGAGUAUGACGCAUGGACUUAAAUAAGUCAUCCUAACAUCUUUCAUCAAUGAAAGAAUAGUGGUGCAUGGAAUAGUCUAGUAAUCGGUUCUAUUUUUUAUUUCUCAAAAAACACAAUUAUUUCUUUAUUCUAAAAUAAGUAAAAAAAUUGAAAUUUUUAUCUUUUUAUUAGAACUGAAACAUCUUUUGAAGAUGAUUUUUUUGACCACAUAUUUUUUAACUAUGAAAUUUGAAAAUUUUGAGGCCGAUUUUAAAUGGUUUUGUUAAAAUAAUUGGAACAUUUUUGAGAGUUUUGUUCAUUUAAAAGAAACAUGAACAUAUUUAAAAGCAUGUUCUUUUAAAUAAGAAGAUUUUGGAACACUCUUUGUCUAAAGAAACACACACACUUGGUGUCCGCAAUUAAAAAAAAUUGUUGGUGUCCAGACCAUGUAGUGUAAAGAUGAGAAAGUCGUCGGGGUGUCCUUUGAUGGCCCCUCCUUCAACUUAGCACUAUCAUGGGGCAGAAGAACGUAAGUGUUUUUAGCAGGAUAUACAGACGUUGAAAUUGUUGUAUACUGUUCGAGAGUUUAAUAACUAAUCUAAAUGUUUUUCCUAGAAUUUUCAAAAGGUUUCAAUGCAAAUGAAUUUAUUUUGGAUGAAAGAGUAGUGGUGCAUUGAAGUGGGAUUGUUUGUAUAUACAUUUUUUUGUUAAUAUUUAAAAGCAAACUGGCUUUUACUAUGUUGAUUUUUUUAAGAAAAUGUUAGUUGCUUGGUUUGCAAAAUUAUAUUGUGUUCCUUUUCUUUUGUACUACUUGAACUUGGCCCAAAGACCGAACCGCACUCACUCCGCAUCAUCACCAUAAAAAGACAAACUUUUUUGAUAAAUUUCAUGUGAAGGCCAUGUACACUAUCGAUCACGUAUAAGCUUCUUCCACAUUUUAGCAAACAAACAACAGCAGAUAAUUAUCCCCACGGCCAGUCGCUGUCUACUCGAGGCGUUCCUACCCUAGCCGCCGCCACCACCAAGCGUCUAGGGAGAAGCGAUCUAUUUCCUUUGAUCUCCACUGGCCGGGGCACUGGCCCCCUCUCCCUUCGGUCGCUGCUCCGGCGGCAGGAGGGAGGGGGCCCGUUCCUCCGCUCUGUAGUUAGGAUUUGGAUUUAUAGAUCGUGGUGCGUCGUUGGGGUGGUGGGAGCGGCGCCUGGACGAAUAAAUCUGUCUCAACUCCACUCCCACACCGGCGGUGUCUUUCAUGCCGGCUUCUCAGAGUUGAUGGCAUCGUGUAUCUGUCGAUCCCUCAGAUCGGCAGCAUUAGGGUUCAUGGAUGGUGUUGGCAAGGCGGAGGCGGCGACUCCAUUAGGUGUGUCUCUCCUUCAGCUCUGUCCCUAUUGUUGCGUUGUUGCCUCCGACAUCAUGGUGGAGCAGGGAGAUUUUGUCGUUUAGGAGUAUGCGCAGGCAGUUGUCUACGCAAGUGACAUCUGGAAGAUGGAGUAUCUUGUGUUGGGUCUGUGGUUGACGGCUGACAGUUCUGGUUUCCUCCUCCGACUUCUUCGUCAUGCGGGGGUGUCAGUUCUGAAGUUCGAUGGCAUGUCCGAGGACAUGUUGCCUCGGUCUGGUUCUUUCAACAUCUAUGGUUUUGCUUCGAACAAACUACUUUGAAGAUCCGUAAAGCUGCUGAUUAGUGAUGGAGCCGCAUCGAGCUUGGGUGAAGAGGUGAUAUGUCAUUUUUUCCUUUGGUGGCCACUUCGGUGGUGUCGAAGGAAAGGGACAGGCGCUGGUAUUCUGCAUAGGAUUAUCCAAUCUUUUCAAUUAUGUAUGGUCGGCGCUUACGUGCCUUGUAACUGUUCUAUAUUAAUGAGACACGUAUUAUCAUGCAAAAAAAUAAUAAUUAUCCCCACAUAGAACACAUACCAAUAUCCCCACCGAGUUAUCCUCCUGUGUGGCCUUCUUUUAUCCAUGCAAUGCUGCUCCUCAUCAUCGAGUAGGCCAGCACCCAACAUCCCACCCAGCAGCGCUGCUCCUCCUCUGCCCGGCCGCAGGUUCCCACCCACGGUACCGUGUGUACUCCCCCUCUUUCUCUUCCCUCUUCCACAAUUAACCAAGAAAACAGGAUCGGGCACGCGCGCGGUCACACCUCCUCAGCGUCGACGGUGCACUCCUGGAGUGCGCAGCCUUGUCGUGUCCGCCUUUGGCCUGGGCCAGGAGAAGAUGCCGGUGCCGGUGGUAUGCAACCCCCUCCUCUCCAAUCGCGGGUCCGUCGAGUGAAGCACCGGGGUGGCGGCGGUGUCCGUCGGUGCCCCUCUCCUCUGACGCUCGGCCUUGUCAUCUCAAUUUUGCUUGGCCCUAGCUCACGAGGCUCUGCAGUGUGAUCACGCUGGCUUCGUUAUGUUCCAUUUUCUUCAUCCUUCUAAUUCCAUUCCGUUCCCUUUCCUGGGUUGAUUUCCCAGGCCGGCGGCGGUUGCCGAUUGUCCUUAUCUGAUUUUCCAUAUUUGGUUUGGGCCACACACGCAUGGAUGUUGGCUGCCCGAUUGUGCACUUAUCUGAUUCUUCCUUCAAACGUACUCGCUCUUCCCUCUCUUGCGGAUUAAUUCCUUCAUUCUUUUCCCCUCAGAGGCUAGUUGAUUUCUGAUGCGGCAAAGUUACUCGCGUAUAUAAAUGGAUUGAGUUGGUUGAAAAGGAGCGAGGUGGAACUAUUUAUGAGUUCUAAAGUUUUUUUCGCUGUGCCCUCGUCUUCGCUUCUUCGACUUUCAAGCAUGUUCAUCGGCAUUGUAAUGUUGUGGCUCAUGUUUUAGCCAAGUCUUGUAAAAACUCUAGUCUGUUUUCUUUUUGUCUGUCUGCGUGUAUCCCGGACACUUUGUAUGAUUACUUGAUUAAUAAAAUGCCGACGUUCUCUCAAAAAAAGUUUUUUUUGCUGCUCCUCUGCUCAUCUUUUUAGUAAAAUGUGGGCCAUGUCAGUUCGGCCAACGCGUGUGACGAUGAAACUUAUGGCUUGGUCCAGUCGAGCGACGGACGAGACUCGACCCACCGCCAUUUAAGCCAUUUAGUCUCCUUGUCGAGAGGUCAUGAAUGCCAUUCGGACACUAUUGAACUUUAGUCACAUCGGCAUUGUAAUUAUAUGGAUGAUGGGUACCAAGGUAACAAAAGGUACACCAUCAAAAAUUUUACCUUUUUACGUUAAUGAGUUGGGAUAAUGAGAUUCAAAAGAUGCACCCCGGCCGCAUCACAUCAGGACGUGCGAUUAGGGCUGGACUAACGAGCAGCUCGGCUCGUUAAGCUCGUGCUCGUUAAGGCUCGGCUCGUUAAGCUCGUUAAUAUUAAUGAGCAGAAAACCCUGCUCGGCUCGGCUCGUUUGAAGCUCGUUAAGCUCGUGAGCGCUCGCGAGCGCUCGUUAACAGAUUAUAAUGUGUUACGAUAUACAUGAUGAAUGUGUAGGUUUGGUUUUCAAGAUGAAAUAUGGUGACUACAAAAAUAAAUAAAGUAGUUUGUUGCCUCAUACGUCGAUUAGAUUAAAUAGAUGGGCUGAGGUGCUACAAAAAGUUUGUCACAUAAUAUGAAAAUAUGUGUUGUAUUAUUACUAACGAGCUUAACGAGCUACUCGUGAAACUCGUUAGCUCGCUCGUUAAGCUCGUUAAGCUUAACGAGCUAAAAUCAAUGAUUAGCUCUGUUCAUUAAGAAGCGAGCUACGAGCUUAACAAGCCGAACUAUCGAGCGCUUGUUAAGCUCGCGAGCUACGAGCUUUUGAUCCAACCCUACGUGCGAUAGGCAAGUACGGCCCCGUUGGGCGAUAAAGACAAAUGUAUGUGUCGUAGCCGAUGAAAUAGCUGGAGGCACAAUAAAAUUGUAGACCGAACACUCGUAUUUUUAAGCUAGCAAAGCUACCGAUUCAGGCGGUUGGAUGAUCACACGUUACACAUCCAUAUCCGUGUAGUAUAGCCAAAAAUAUGUCUAACUGGAUGAUCACAUGUUACACAUCCAUGUCCGUGUAGCAAAACAAUGAAUCUCAAUAAGUCCCGUCUCAUUAUGAACCAAAAGGGGCUGGUAUUUUUCCAAGAAAUCUCUAGCCAACUUCUCACAAGAGGUUUUUCUUAACACCAAUGAAUUCUAGAGGAAAACGAUAGCCAUUUCUCAGGAGAAACCCCUUCCUUCUCGUGCAAUUAGCAGCAUCGACUCCUUUCUUCUUUUAUAUUUUUCUCAUGCCCCUUUAUUUUCGUGUAUCGUGCAGCCACAACGCCAAUCCACAUCUCAUCCUUCAUUAGUUAAUCCUCCAGGCUCCUUGUUGAUUGUCAUACAACUCAUAGUCCUAUAUAAAUCGGUGGAAUUAAAUUGAAAAAGGCGAGGUGGGACUAAUUAGCUGGCAACAAAUAGGCCUGUUUGGUUGGCUGCGUCCUUGGAGUGGCCCAGCUCGGCCCAUGUGUUGGAGAGAUUAAACUAAGUUUCAGGUAAUUAACAUGAUAAGCAAGCUAGCUGAAUUGGCUAGGGGCGCUAGGAUCGAUCGACCCUGGUUCAAAUCUUGCCGGACGCAGUUUUCCGCAUUUUUUCCUUUUUCCGUUAAAGCGUAUUGUGACGAUGAACCCAGAAACUCAAUCCGUGUUUCAUUAUUACUAGUACAAAUGCCCGUGCGUUGCACCGGGCAAAAAAAGGGCACAAUCUGCUUCAUGUGCCAUUAUGCAUCAUUUUUAUGUCCAAUUUAAAUAAACAUCGAUAAUUAGGUUAAUUUUGGUAAUUUUCUUAUUUUUAAUAGAAGUUAAUUCAUAUUUUCGUAAAAAUUGGAACACUAUUUGUCUUGUCCCAAACAAACACUUGCAGCAUUAGUUUACAAAGAACAUCUGGAUCAUUAGUAUCAGAAGACUAACCUCAACAUAUACACAUGCUCUUCCUAUGCCAUCACUCUAGAGAAAUUGUACAACCAGAAGGGGAUAAACCAUGCUGCUAGCUGUUAUAGUUGGACAUACAAGUCAUUGUACUCUAGAAGCUAAAUAGCAGAGGUAAUGCUCCAUCAACAAAAUUCCAGUGUCACAGUCUCACAGAUGAUCAUUGAUGUGUUCUUGCACAUCCGGCUGCAGUGAGAUCUGGGACCAUCUUUUCUGGUCCUGCCAUUUCAGUUUCUCGUGUUGGUGAUCCAUUGAAAUCCCCCGGGCACUGGCUUUGACCCCGACCUGCUUAUCUGGGAUGCCAAGAACAUUUUCUGCAAACCCUUCUCUAUGGAGGACUUCAUUGCAGCUGGCUGGAAUAGUUGAAAGCAAAGGAAUGUGAGGGACGGCCACAUUAAAGAAUUCAUGUGAACAUAUCAGACAUGGUUGCUUGAUAGAACAUUCUUCUGAACGAAGCAAGUUGUACAAAGACUACAAACAAAGUACCCCAUCCGUUUCUAAAUAAAGUCUUAGAUGAUUUUUCAAUAUGGACUACAAACGGUGGAAAUUGGUGAAUCUCACUUUAAAAUCCAUCUAUAUACAUGCUUAUCCAUGUGAUAUUAUGCACUAUAGUUUAACAUUUGUAAUAAAGUUGCAUUAAUUAUUAUUUUCAGAGUCUAAAGUUUGCACGUUAAAAAGCCCUCUUAGCGUUCUUUAUCUGAUGGAAGAUUAGUUUGGAAUAGUUUGUGAAUCAAUUUUUAUUUUUUACUUUUUUCUGAAAAACAUGAAUAUUUCUUUGUUUUUAAAAGUGAAUGUUUUAUUAAAACUUGAUUUUUUUAGGGAGAACAUUAUUUGAAUGUUUUUUAAAUAUUGUGAAUACUUUUUAUUUUGGUUUUGAAGGAAAAUUUGACCAGUUUUUAGAAAGUGUGAAUAAAUAUAUAACUAUGUACAUUUUUUUAACUAUUUUUACUAUGUUGAUUUUUAUCAAUAGAGUUUGUUGCUUGGUUGGGAAGAUUCUUUUUAUUUUUUUCAUCAUUUAGGCUUAGCCAAUAAAAAGCACUUCACGUACACAGUUCACUUAUAGAUAUAAAAAAAGACACCCAAACUCAUCUCCCUUUCCCCGUUUUCCAUUCUCAAGAGUCCCCCUGCCAGAGACCAAUUCUCUAGAUUUCUUUCCGUAAUUGCUAUUAUAUUGGCACACCCUAUACUAAUAAGCACCCCCACCAAUUUACCUUGAAGCAAUUGUAGGUCCCCUGCAAUGUCUGCAGCUUGGAAGAUGGCAUGAACCACUGGAUCUCUGCUAGAAGCGUCGGAAACAUGUCAUGAGCCACCGGCGAAGGCUUCUUUAGCGUGGAGUUCGCUCCCGAUGAUCCUGAAACCCAAAAUUUCAACAAAUAAUAACAUGAGAUCCAGGCACAUCUCGGAACAAUUACAACACCAAUUCAGACGCAGCACUCACUAACCUUGCAUCUGAUGGAGGUUGGGACACUUGAAGCUGACGACGUACUCUGGGAGGAUCCUCAUGUUCAUGUCCUUGCACCAAACAACAUACCACUGUGGGUUCUGCAUGUUGUCGAUGGCACUGUCGUAAUUGUCACUGCUGGGGUGGAGCUUGGAGGACCCGGCCGGGAUGGCCUCUGGCCGGCCCAACAGAACACGGCACAGCAUGAUAUGCGCCUCGCCGUUCUCAUCUUCAUUUGCUAGCAUUGCGCUGCAUAAAAAUGAUUUCAUACUCGUAAGUUCCUUUAUGCACUGCUUCACAGAACAUUCAGAACAUAUUUCAUCACCCGGACUCUAGGUAGCAGAAAACAUGAUUUAGUUUUGCUCGUAUUCCUCCCUUCCACAAACCAUUACCCAAUCAAAUUACUGCAUUCAUAGAUAAACUAAUACUGUCGUUCAUGCAAACUUGUUUCCCCAUAAUUUUUGAGCUAGGAGUAUGAAUCAAGAUAUAGAAACCAAAGGCUAAAAUAACAUGGAAUCAAUUAUAUUAUGGGACGGAGGGAUAAUAUGAAUGCAAGGAACAGAUCCUGAAUUGGUAACUGUGUCUGAUAAAUUAUCCUACAGCUAUAUGCCUAUAUUCAUGCUUGCCAUCGAUCAAAACCACAAAUUCAGAACUCUGACCUGACCUGGCAUAAGGAGACCGAGGCGGCGAGAGGUGGACGUCGUCGCCGUGCGCGCGAUGGAAAAGGACCCGGUUGUUCAUCCUGCCGAACCAGUGCUCCACCGCCGCCGCGGCCACAUCCACCGAUGGAGCGCCAUACCACGCGAACUUGGCAUUGCCCCCGUCGGCGCCGCGCGCAGCGGCUAGGAGCUGGCCCUGCAUCUUGUCGCUGCUCUCGUUGGACCUCUCAUCCACCCCGGACGAGGCCCCGUACUCCAGCUCAGGCUCGCCUCUCUUCCUCUUCAUCCCGCUCUCUGGAACAGGGAAGAAGCAGAUUUUCAAAAAUGAAAUCUAUUGUUAUAGCCCUCAAAAAGCAAAAAUAAGCAAAUUAAUUUUUUGAGCACAAACACACCGAGAUAAGAUAAGCAUGCCUUAUUUUUCUGAAUACAAACACAAUGACAUAAGAGAAUCUAAAUGAGGCAUCAUAAAUUAAUUUUCUGAAUACAAACACCCUGACAUAAGAGAAUUCAAAUGAGGCAUCAUGCCAUCAGGAGCCGAGCGAUGGAAACUUUCUGGUUAGGAUUAGAAACAUGGUUGAUUCUGAGAAAAAAAUGUAGGAGAUGACACCUCCCUUUGAAGAGAAAAAAUGUGAGAGAUGAUGAUUCCUGAUCUCACUGAGUUUGUGCAAGCUGUACAAAAAAAUUUCACAUAAAACUUGUAAUCAAGUAGUUGCAACCUUCAAUGUUUGGCCGGCAGCUAGAAUUUUAAAUGAGAAGACAAUGAUCUUUUUUGAUUAUUUGUCACAGUACUGCAGCUAAUCACCCUAGAAGGUCUUUCUGUAGUAGGUUAAAGAAAAUUCAGGUUGACGCUGAAACAUCCACAAUAAGAACCUCGCUUUCAGAAUAUGCUUUUAGACAAAGAGCACAAGACCAGCUUGCCAAUGUUGAAUUUGUCAAUUUCCUAGCUUAUAGCAGCACGAACUUCAUCAGAUUAAAGUAAAACAGCUUCGGCUUCUACCUGUUUGAUCAAACAGAGUAAAUCAUGUCACUAUCCGGACCAGAUUUCAUGACUUCGCAUGAACCGCAAAUCACAUGGUAGAUCAGACAAUCACCUAGCAUGUUGUAGGCAUAAUAAGAAAAUAUGCUCAAGGGAUUAAAUCAAAUGAGAGAAUGGAAGAGGCAAAUCAGGAGAGAGAGGGGGAGAUAGCAGUACCGAAUGCAUGGAUGUAGCCUUGCCAUGGCAGCCUACACAUCAGGCCUGCUGCACGGGGAGUGCUUGAGAGUGGCAGGAGAUUAGGCUGGAUUGAGGACUCCACCAUGUAGCUGCUCUCGUCGGACCUCUCAUCCACCUCGGACGACGCCCCGUCCCCCAGCUCAUGCUCGCCCCUCUUCCUCUUCCUCCCGCUUUCUGGCACAGGGAAGAAGCAGGCCCCGCGGUCAAUCCAGCCCAUGGCGACCACCUCGGCGGUGCCAGCGUCGAUGCGCACCAUCCACAGGAAGUCGAACAGGAACUCCCUGCCGCCAUACGUGGCCUCUGCGACGACCCUCCCGUCCAGGAAAGCCCGGCGUAGAGGCACAGCCGCCUCGCCCUCGACAUCAGCCCACGUGCCGCCCUCGAAGCAGAGGAACCUGACCAGAGCGCCGCUCCGCCGUUCUGGCAGCCCCGGAGGAGCGGGGGCGGACCGGCGCCCCCGAUGCCGCCGAAAGCCACGGCGGGCCGCGGGCGUGAGAUGCGGCGGAUCCUGCCGGUCUCGUCCGGAUUCGACGGUGGAAAGAGGACAGGCACCGGGGAGAGGGGGACGGGGACGGGGACGGUGGAAAGAGGACGGGCACCUGGCUCUGAUACCAACUUGUAACACCCACGAUGCGGCUAUAUCUCUCACGUGUCGAAGCACGACUUAGAGGCAUAACCGCAUGGUGGUUUUGUCGCAAGAAGGGUCAUCUUCACACAAUCCCAUGUAAUGAAUAAGAAUGGGAUAAAGAGUUGGCUUACAAUCGCCACUUCACACAAUGAACAUAUAAUUCAUACAUCAUUCAGAGUACACACAUAAUCCGACUAUGGACGAAGCCAAAAGAAAAGAAGAUAACCCAACUGCUAGAUCCCCGAUCGUCCCAACUGGGCUCCACUACUGAUCAACAUGAAACGAAACAUAGCAACGACCAAGGUCUUCUUUGAGCUCCCAUCUGAGCUCGGUUGCAUCAUCUGCACUGGUUUCAUCGGCAUCUGCAACUGUUGUGAUAGUAUCUGGUGAGUCACGAAGACUCAGCAAUCCAAAACCCGCGAGAUCAAGACUAUUUAAGCUUAUGGGAAAGGAAGGGGUAAAGUGGUGAGGUUGCAGCAGCGACUAGCAUAUAUGGUGGCUAACAUACGCAAAUAAGAGCGAGAAGAGAAGCAAUGGAACGGUCGUGAACUAGCAAUGAUCAAGAAGUGAUGCUAAACUCCUACUUACGUCAAACAUAACCCAAAACCGUGUUCACUUCCCGGACUCCGCCGAGAAGAGACCAUCACGGCUACUCACGCUGUUGAUGCGUUUUGAUUCGUAUCUGGUGUCAAGUUAUCUACAACCGGACAUUAACAAAUUCCCAUCUACAUAUAACCGCAUGCACGGCUUUUGAAAGAUUAUACCCUGCAGGGGUGUCCCAACUUAGCCCAUGAUAAGCUCUCACGAUCAACGAAGGAAUAGACCUUCUCCCAGGAAGACCCGAUCAGACUCGGAAUCCCGGUUUACAAGACAUUUCGACAAUGGUAAAACAAGACCAGCAAAGCCUCCCACUGUGCCGACAAAUCCCGAUAGGAGCUGCACAUAUCUCGUUCUCAGGGCACACCGGAUUGUCCAAACUUCCGGUAGGCCNNNNNNNNNNNNNNNNNNNNNNNNNNNNNNNNNNNNNNNNNNNNNNNNNNNNNNNNNNNNNNNNNNNNNNNNNNNNNNNNNNNNNNNNNNNNNNNNNNNNNNNNNNNNNNNNNNNNNNNNNNNNNNNNNNNNNNNNNNNNNNNNNNNNNNNNNNNNNNNNNNNNNNNNNNNNNNNNNNNNNNNNNNNNNNNNNNNNNNNNNNNNNNNNNNNNNNNNNNNNNNNNNNNNNNNNNNNNNNNNNNNNNNNNNNNNNNNNNNNNNNNNNNNNNNNNNNNNNNNNNNNNNNNNNNNNNNNNNNNNNNNNNNNNNNNNNNNNNNNNNNNNNNNNNNNNNNNNNGGGGGGUAAAAUAAAGAUGACCCUUGAGUCUGCAGAACCCAAGGGAAAAAGGCUUAGGUAGGCAAAUGGUAAAACCAAGGUUGGGCCUUGCUGGAGGAGUUUUAUUCAAAGCAAACUGUCAAGGGGGUCCCAUAAAUCACCCAACCGCGUAAGGAACGCAAAAUCCGGGAACAUAACACCGGUAUGACGGAAACUAGGGCGGCAAGAGUGGAACAAAACACCAGGCAUAAGGCCGAAUCUUCCAUCCUUUACCAAGUAUAUAGAUGCAUUAAUUAAAUAAGAGAUAUUGUGAUAUCCCAACAUAAUCCUGUCCAUCAUGGAGCAAUCUUCAACUUCACCUGCAACUAGCAACGCUAUAAGAGGGCUGAGCAAAGCGGUAACAUAGACAAGAAAUGGUUUGCUAGGAAUGGUGAAAAGGUUAGAGGCUGACAUGGCAGGGAGGCAUGGUAAACAAGUGAUAGGUAGCGCAGCACAACGAUAGAACGAAGCAACUAGCAAGCAAAGAUAGAAGUGAUAUCAAGGGUAAUGGUCAUCUUGCCUGAAAUCCCGAUAGGAAGAAGAACGAGUCCAUGAAGAAGACAAACGAACGUAGUCGAACGAAUCCUCACAACUCCGGAACGAAACCGAAGCUAACGAAAGAAGCAAACCGGAAAGAAGCAAACAACAUGGUAAACACACACGCAUAAACAUGGCAUGAUGCACAAACAAGUAUGAUGCAUGUCCGGUUUAAUGAGGCAUGGCAUGGCAAAGUGCAACAAACAAUACUACAAGUUAAGUGGAGCUCAAUAUGCAACGAGUUGCAUAUUGACGAAACACCACAUCAAUUAUUUAGUUCUCUCUCGUUUAUGCUAACAAACAAUAUUUAAUGUUGUUAAACAUGGCAAGAGGUGAAACAUAAUUAAACUAACUAUUUAGGCAAGUUUAAAUGAGGCCGGAAACAACAAACAACAAUUCCGGUAAAUCCCCAUAUGUCAAUUAGCAAUUUUAAAGCAAACAACAAUUUUAACUAUUUUAAAUGUUGUUAUCAUGAUGCGGAUGACAUAUGCAAGUUUUCUGCAAUUUUAUGAAAAUGUUAACAUGAGCAUGUUAUGAAGCAUUUGGUCACCAUGGCGGAACGAAAAGGGUGCCACGGCAACGAUAACGAAAAUGGUGCCACGGCAACAUAUCCGAAAAUGAUGCCACGGCAACAUAUUGGUCCCGAUAACUCGAGUGAGAUACCGAUGCAAACGAGAAGUGUGACGUGAGCGAUUCAUGCAAGAUGGUGGGGUGAUCCCGGCUACCGGGUUCCCUCGGGUUAGUGGCAUGGCAAAGAGUGACAAUUCGGACGCGGUGCACACACAAGCAUCUCAUACAACACAUAUUCAUUCGGUCCACAGUUGAUCGUCCCGGGGCUUAUACCUUCGAAGCGUGUGUUUUCGGAGCGGUUCAAAAACGUCGAGGGAAGUAGUCGUUCACGGGUCGUAGGGGAAGUAGUCGUUCACGUUCGUCUCGGAGAGGUACUUGACGAAUCCAACAUCUUCGGGGCGACGGUAGUGGUUCACGGACGUCGUGGGAAGUAGUGGAAGUAGUUGUACACGGCGACGAUAGUUGUACACACGUUGUAGUCGAACUUGACGGUCUCGGUCCUGGCGAUCCAAAGGGCACUUGGCGGUCUUGAUCGAACCGUAGUGGUACUGGGCGAGAUACACAGCCACGGUAGUCUUCGGCCUUGAUUUUCCUGUACAUGACUCCACGGGUCCUGAGGGGACUCGGCGAUGGCCAUGGCAAAGAGGCGGCGAGGCGUUGGACGGACUAACAGGCAGAUGUGGUCGUGGUAGUACUAGCUCAUGGGGAUGGCGGUCUUGGGCGGAAAACCUGCCGUAUUGGUGCAGCAGCGGCUGCUGGAGAGGCCAUGGCUGCAAGGGUGGCGAGCUCGAGCAAAUCCAACGAGGACGGCCGGGAUGGCUGGUGUUGCGAGGGAGCAGAGGUCGGGCGGUCGUGGCAGACGGCGGAGAGCACCUCAGCCACGGGGAAGGUGGACGGCAGGCUUCGGAGCAAGGGGAGGCAGAUGCGGGCGAGCGGAGCACGGCGGGGACGCGUGGAUGAUAAUGGAGAUAGACUUUUUUAGUUCGCACUCGUGUUCGUGUUGGAGACGGACUGCUCCUUCGUGUGCGAGACGGACGACGACGUGUUUUUUUCCUCUUCCCGGUUGAUGAUGCCAAUAUGGAGUGCGGGUUGAUUUCAUAAAAGACGAGGGACUUGUUUGCAAAAACGCCGCGACGGUGAACCCGGAGACCCAAUCCGUGCUUUAUUAUUAGGGAGAGAUUAGGGAAAGAUAUAUAUAUAUAUAUAUUUCUAUCAUAGCUUACUAUGGAAAUAGCUAUCAGAACCGUCGGACUCUGCCUCAAGAUUCGAACCGAAGUGUUCCAGUUCCUUUUCUUGUUCUUUUGUUGAUUUUUGGAUGGUGUAACCCACAAAUAGAAACUCAAACGACAUCCACCCUGCUAGCCCAGGCUGCCGACCUGGAACCUAUCCCCUGAUCGAAGAAGCAGAAGAAGAACUCAUGCAAGCAAGCAUCGCUCUCGCAUCAUGAUCAUCGCAAAACCUGUACCUGCAACUGUUGUUGUAGUAAUCUGUGAGCCACGAGGACUCAGCAAUCCCAUUACAAUGGGUAUCAAGACUAGCAAAGCUUAAAGGGAAAGGAAGGGGUAAAGUGGUGAGGCUGCAGCAGCGACUAAGCAUAUAUGGUGGCUAACAUACGCAAAUAAGAGCGAGAAGAGAGCAAGCAGAACGGUCGUGAAGCUAGCAAUGAUCAAGAAGUGAUCCUGAACUCCUACUUACGUCAAACAUAACCCAGAAACCGUGUUCACUUCCCGGACUCCGCCGAGAAGAGACCAUCACGGCUACACAAGCGGUUGAUGCGUUUUAAUUCGGAUCUGGUGUCAAGUUAUCUACAACCGGACAUUAACAAAUUCCCAUCUGCCUAUAACCGCAGGCACGGCUUUCGAAAGAUUAUACCCUGCAGGGGUGUCCCAACUUAGCGCAUGACAAGCUCUCGCGAUCAACGAAGGAAUAGACCUUUUUCCAGGAAGACCCGAUCAGACUCGGAAUCCCGGUUUACAAGACAUUUCGACAAUGGUAAAACAAGACCAGCAAGACCGCCCGAUGCGCCGACAAUCCAGAUAGGAGCUGCACAUAUCUCGUUCUCAGGGCAACACCGGAUGAGCAAUCCGUACAACUAAAACCAGACCUCAAGUUUCCCUUAGGGGGCGCUGCAAAGGGCUCUAGUUCGGACCAACACUUAGACAAGCACUGGCCCCCCGGGGGGGGGGCUAAAAUAAAGAUGACCCUCGGGAUGCGCGACUCCCAAGGGAAAAAGGGGUAGGUGAGGCAAAUGGUAAAACCAAGGUUGGGCCUUGCUGGAGUAGUUUUAUUCAAAGCGAACUGUCAAGGGGGGUCCCAUAAAUCACCCGACCGCGUAAGGAACGCAAAAUCCGGGAACAUAACACCGGUAUGAAGGAAACUAGGGCGGCAAGAGUGGAACAAAACACCAGGCAAAAGGCCGAGACUUCCACCCUUUACCAAGUAUAUAGAUGCAUUAAUAAUAUAAGAGAUAUUGUGAUAUCCCAACCAAAAUCCUGUCCACCAUGGAGAAAUCUUCAACUUCACCUGCAACUAGCAAUGCUAUAAGAGGGGCUGAGCAAAAGCGGUAACUUAGCCAAACAACGGUUUGCAUAGGAAAGGUGUCAAAGUUUAGAGGUUCAUGGCAAUAAGGGAUGGCUGGAUAAACAGGUGAUAGGUAGCGCAGCAUAGCGAUAGAACGAAACAACUAGCAUAGCAAUGAUAGUAGUGAGAUCCAGGGUAGCGGUCAUCUUGCCUGAAAUCCUGCUAGGAAGAAUAACGAGUCCAUGAAGAAGACGAACGGAUGAAGCCGAACCAAGCGUAGACGAACGAAUCCUCACGAUCGCAACGAAAUAAGAACUAUCGAAAAGAAGCACACAACAUAGUAAACACACCACACAUGAACAUGACAUGAUGCACAACAAGCAUGAUGCAUGACAAAGCUACAUGAAGCUACGCAUGGCAAGAGAUGAUGCAAACAAGAACAACACAACAAGGCAAGUUUAAAUGAGGCCGGGAACAACAUAUAACAAUUCCGGUAAGUCCUCAUAUGCAUAUUUCGAAAUUGGUCCAGAUCUGAAUAAACCUUAUGUUCAAGUUGUUAAACAGCAAGUUAAGAUGCAACAAGAUGAUCUACAGGAGAUUCUAGUCAAGUUACAUAUAAAGUUCAUUUAGUUCGGAGCUACGGCCUAGGAGAUAUGAGCAAAACAAGUUAAACAUGGCAUUGAUGCAAAAUUAAUGCACCCAAACAUCAAGCAAACACACUAAAACAAGGAUGCAACAUGAUAAUAUGAAACUACAUGCAAAAUCAAGCAAGUUUCAUAUAGAGCACACUCAAAACGGAGCAACGGUUCAACACACUCACACUAAACAAGUCAUAGCAACAAUCUGUCCAAAACAGCAACUAGGCAUAUUGCAAGCAUCAAAACAACAUGCUACAGGACCUCAACAAGAAAACAAAAGGAAUGGGCAUGAUGUACAGGUAAAGCAUUACAAAACAUGAACACUGAGCUAUCUCCAGAAAUCACUAGAACAUGCUCAAACACACAUGUUAAGAUUGCAAAUUAUAACAAUUUCAGACUUUGCAGAAAAUAACAUCACGAUGCAAUGUUUAGAGCUAUCAAACAACAUGUUACAGGAACUUAUCAUGGCAAACAAAGGCAUGGCAUGAAUCUACUAAUUGCAUAGAUCAAAAGUCCCUUAGUGACCAUAAGCCAAAAAGGACCAGAAAAUAUAAUGGCACCCACGUAAAUAUGGCAAGUUAUUAUACAGAUUCAAACAUGGCAGAAACAGAAUUAUGAAGGCGUGUAGAUGAGCUUGUGCAACUCACUAUAGAUCAUUACAUGGCAUGGCAAGGCACCCAACAGUAAUAAGGCAUGUUUGUGAAGCUAAGCAUGGCAAUAGCAAGGUCAUAGGGUUCAUGGAACACUAGCAAAACACAUGGAAACAAGUGAACUUAAUGUUAACAGGCUGACAGCAACAUUAUGAAGCAACUUUGGAGCAAGAUAUGAACAAGCUACAGCAAGCUAUAAAUGCAACCAGGGCAUGGAUGGAUAUAGCAUGACAUGUAGAACAAAACACAUUUGUAGAAUAUCUCCAGAUUAUGCAUAGAAUGAUUUGUAGAAGCAUGUUUAUAUAGCAUCACGAAAUAACAGAUUCAGCCUAGCAAAACAGCAACAUCAUGUACCCUACUUAACAAGCUCGGUUCACUCACCACAAGUCAUUGCAUGACAAGAUAAGCAUAGCAUCAUCAAGAAGACAUGUUUGUGAAACAAACCAAGUCAAGAACAAGUCCAUAGCAUGCAAGGAUCAACUACACAACCUUGGCUAAAUUGAAUGACAAGUAAACAAUCUGCCAGGAAACAUUUUGAAGCAAAAGUAGAGCACUCAAAUGACAUGCUAGACUACUCCAUAAUUGCAACCAAGGGCAUGAAUGGAUAGACAAUAACCAUAUGUUCAAAACAUUCUUACUGAAGUAUCUCAAAAUAUGCAUGGAUCUCUCUGUAGCAUCAAGUUUACAUGGCAUCAAAAUAACAGCAGAACAGGGACUAAAAUCAGUAACAUCACGAUGCCUAGCUUGCAUGCUUGUGCUAGUCACCACAUUGAUCACAAAAGUACAUGGUAAGCACCUCUGUAAAGAAGACAUGGCAUAGAUCAAAACACAUGUAGACAUCAACCUCAUAGGACGCACACAUCAAUCAUGGCAAAAAUGACAAAAGAGCUCGUUCUGAUAACAGACAGCAGAAAACAUUAUGAAGCACUCUUACAACGAUGAUUCAGGCAUCAAGAUGACCUCAAAUGAAUAUGAUGCAAUGUAAUGAAAUGAUUUACUCAUCGAGACGAACAAUUUGACAUAUUACACGCACGAAAUGGAGCUACGGAUGCAGAGAUACACCAGGUCAAACAUGGCAUGAAAAUUACACAGAUUCGGGGACUUGGGCAAAAUUAUACCUCGCGAAAAGUCAACCCGGGACGAGGACAUUCUAGGACGAAGGGAUCCAGGACGGGGGCGCCGUUUGGUUGGUGGGCCUGGUGGAUCUCAUCCACUCGUGGCGGAUCUGGCCGGAGGAGAGCUCCGGCGAGCUCUCCGGCGAGGCACGGUCGACGAGGGGCGCGGGGCCGGCGAGGUGGGACGGCGGGGAUCCGCGGCGGAGGCGCGCAGGGGCUCGGGAUCCGGAGGGGCGAGGUCGGCGGGGGAGCUCGGGUCCCGGCGAGGCUCCGAGGCUCGCGGCGGCACGAGGCGCGCCGGUCGGAGGAGCUUCUCCGGCGACGGGCGAAGACGUCGGCCGGGCGGANNNNNNNNNNNNNNNNNNNNNNNNNNNNNNNNNNNNNNNNNNNNNNNNNNNNNNNNNNNNNNNNNNNNNNNNNNNNNNNNNNNNNNNNNNNNNNNNNNNNNNNNNNNNNNNNNNNNNNNNNNNNNNNNNNNNNNNNNNNNNNNNNNNNNNNNNNCGCGGUGGCUGGCGGCGGAGAGGCCACGUGGCGCCUCCUAAUUGGCUGCAAGCGGCGGCGGACGCGUCCGGCGACGAGAUGGACAUGUCCGGCGCGGCGCGGAGGGGAAAAACUAGGGUUAGGGUGGAUUUGAUCCGCGAAUUUCGGGGGGAGGGGCUUAUAUAGUUUCUGGGAGCUAGGAGAGUCCAAAUGAGGAGCGGUUGAAAUAAUUUACAAAAGACUGAAGAGGUUCCGCACGAAUGAGAUAGAUGGUCGAGAGAGAGUCAGACUCCGGGAAGAAAAGGGUGGGAGGGCAGGAAAACAAAGGCAACUUGGAAGGGGGAACGACGAAUAUCUUGAAGAGAAAACUCCGGUUGAAAUCAUUGCGGAAAGAAAGCAAAGACUUCGCACGAGUAGGAUGGAUACUCGAUUACGGACUCCGGCUUCGAGAAGAAAAGGGGAGGGCGGGUGGGAAAAGAAAACAACUGAGGAUUGAACUUGCAAAGAUGAAGAGGGUCAAGUCAACUUGACGAGAAAUGCACCGGAUGAAAAGAGCUGAGGAACAANNNNNNNNNNUGAGAUAGAUGGUCGAGAGAGGGAAACCAAACGGUGGGAGGGCAGGAAACCAAAGGCAACUUGGAAGGGGGAACGACGAAUAUCUUGAAGAGAAAACUCCGGUUGAAAUCAUUGCGGAAAGAAAGCAAAGACUUCGCACGAGUAGGAUGGAUAGUCGAUUACGGACUCCGGCUUCGAGAAGAAAAGGGGAGGGCGGGUGGGAAAAGAAAACAACUGAGGAUUGAACUUGCAAAGAUGAAGAGGGUCAAGUCAACUUGACGAGAAAUGCACUGGAUGAAAAGAGCUGAGGAACAACAAUCGGAAAACCAACUGUGUGAUCCUAAAGAAAAAUUUGAAGGGGAAGAGGAGUAAUUGAAAACACCUACGUCAAGAUUCCUCACCAGAGCGACGAAGGGGCUGAGGAGUAAAAAGAAUUCCUACUCUCUGAUAUAACUAGACUCCGAAAACAGUUUUAUUCUAGACUCAACAUCGGCCAAACUACACGAUCAAUCAAGGGGGCUCCUAGGGUCGGUCGAGGCUCUGAUACCAACUUGUCACGCCCAAUAUGCGACCCUAUCCAAAAGGAACUCGAAGGUCCCACCAAAGAUAGGCCCGCAUAUUGAAACGCUUUUGCAAGGUGGAUAUCAUUACAUCAACAUUACAUAAUAUAUGGGGAAACAGACAUAAGGCAUACAAUGCCACAUGAAUACAACAUCACAAUACAUCAAAGCAUCAUCCUACUACGGAUGAAACACAAACAGAAACUCAAACGACAUCCACCCAGCUAGCCCAGGCUGGCGACCUGGAACCUAUCCCUGAUCGAAGAAGAAGCAGAAGAAGAACUCCAAAACAAGCAACAUCGCUCUCGCGUCAUGAUCAUCGCACCACCUGUACCUGCAACUGUUGUUGUAGUAAUCUGUGAGCCACGAGGACUCAGCAAUCCCAUUACCAUGGGUAUCAAGACUAGCAAAGCUUAAAGGGAAAGGAAGGGGUAAAGUGGUGAGGCUGCAGCAGCGGCUAAGCAUGAUAUGGUGGCUAACAUACGCAAAUAAGAGCGAGAAGAGAGCAAGCAGAACGGUCGUGAAACUAGCAAUGAUCAAGAAGUGAUCCUGAACUCCUACUUACAUCAAACAUAACCCAAAAACCGUGUUCACUUCCCGGACUCCGCCGAGAAGAGACCAUCACGGCUACACACGCGGUUGAUGCGUUUUAAUUCGGAUCUGGUGUCAAGUUAUCUACAACCGGACAUUAACAAAUUCCCAUCUGCCUAUAACCGCAGGUACGGCUUUCGAAAGAUUAUACCCUGCAGGGGUGUCCCAACUUAGCCGAUGACAAGCUCUCGCGAUCAACGAAGGAAUAGACCUUCUCCCAGGAAGACCCGAUCAGACUCGGAAUCCCGGUUUACAAGACAUUUCGACGAUGGUAAAACAAGACCAGCAAGACCGCCCGAUGCGCCGACAAUCCCGAUAGGAGCUGCACAUAUCUCGUUCUCAGGGCACACCGGAUUGUCCAAACUUCCGGUAGGCCUGCCCAGAGUUGCCCCUGGUGGCCACCGGCGGUUGACAGGUUGGACCAACACUCACGACGAGCACUGGCCCGGGGGGGGGGGAUAUAAUAAAGAUGACCCUCGAGAGCGCGACUCCCAAGGGAAAAAGGGCUAGGUGAGGCAAAUGGUAAAACCAAGGUUGGGCCUUGCUGGAGGAGUUUUAUUCAAAGCGAACUGUCAAGGGGGUCCCAUAAAUCACCCGACCUCGCCGGCGAUCCUCGAAAUCCGUGCACGAGUUGACUUUCUCACCCUCGAGGUUGAAUUUUCUGCUAAGUCCCUAUAUUUUGUUAUUUUCAUGCCAUGUUCGUCAUGCUGUAUGUCCGCAUCCGUUGCUCCGUUUCGUGCGUGUAAUAUGUCAAAUUGUUCGUCUCAACGUGUACAUCAUUUCAUUCCAUUGCAUCAUAUUCAUUUGAGGUCAUCUUGAUGCCUGAAUCAUUGUUGUAAGAGUGCUUCAUGAUGUUUUCUGCUGUCUGUUAUCAGAACGAGCUCUUUUGUCAUUUUUGCCAUGAUUGAUGUGUGCAUCUUAUGAGGUUGAUGUCUACAUGUGUUUUGAACUAUGCCAUGUGUUCUUUAUAGAGGUGAUUACCAUGUAUUUUUGUGAUCAAUAUGGUGACUAGCACAAGCAUGCAAACUAGGCAUCGUGAUGUUACUGAUUUUGGUCCCUGUUCUGCUGUUAUUUUGAUGCCAUGUAAACUUGAUGCUACAGAAAGAUCCAUGCAUAUUUUGAGACACUUCAGUAAGGGUGUUUUGAACAUGUGGUUAUUGUCUAUCCAUUCAUGCCCUUGGUUGCAAUUAUGGAGUAGUCUAGCAUGUCAUUUUCGUGCUCUACUUUUGCUUCAAAAUGUUUCCUGGCAGAUUGUUUACAUGUUAUUCAAUUUGGCCAAGGUUGCUAUAGUUGAUUCUUGCAUGCUAUGGACUUGUUCUUGACUUGGUUUGUUUCACAAACAUGUCUUCUUGAUGAUGCUAUGCUUAUCUUGUCAUGCAAUGACUUGUGGUGAGUGAAUCGAGCUUGUUAAGUAGGGUACUUGAUGUUGCUGUUUUGCUAGGCUGAAUCUGUUAUUUCGUGAUGCUAUAUAAACCUGCUGCUACUAAUCAUUCCAUGCAUAAUCUGAAGAUGUUCUAUAAACAUGUUUUGAUCUACAUGUUAUCCUAUAUCCAUCCAUGCCCCUGGUUGCAUUUAUAGCUUGCUGUAGAUUGUUAAUAUCUUGCUCCAAAGUUGCUUCAUAAUGUUGUUGUCAGCCUGUUAACAUUAAGUUCAGUUGUUGACAUGAUUGUUGCUAGUGUUCCAUACAUCCUAUGACCUUGCUGUUGCCAUGCUUAGCUUCACAAACAUGUCUUCUUACUGUUGGUUGCCUUGCCAUGCCACGUUUUGCUCUGUAGUCAGUUACACAAGCUCAUCUACAUGCCUUCAUAAUUCUGUUUCUGCCAUGUUUCAAUCUGUAAUAUAACUUGCCAUGUUUACAUGGGUGCCAUCAUAUUUUCUGAUCCUUUUUGGCUUAUGGUCAGUAAAGAACUUUUGAUCUAUGCAAUUAGUAGAUUCAUUCCAUGCCUUUGUUUGCCAUGAUAAGUUCGUGUAACAUGUUGUUUGAUAGCUCUAAACAUUGCAUCGUGAUGUUAUUUUCUGCAAAGUCUGAAAUUGUUAUAACUUGCAAUCUUACCAUAUGUGUUUGAGCAUGUUCUAGUGAUUUCUGGAGAUAGCUCAGUGUUCAUGUUUUGUUGUGCUUUACCUGUAAAUCAUGCCCAUGCAUUUUGUUUUCAUAUUGUGGUGCUGUAGCAUAUUGUUUUGAUGCUUGCAAUAUGCCUAGUUGCUGUUUUGGAUAGAUUGUUGCUUUAACUUGUAUAUGGUGUGUGUGCUGAACCGUUGCUCCGUUUUGAGUGUGCUCUAUAUGAAACUUGCUUGUUUUUGCAUAUAGUUUCAUAUUAUCAUGUUGCAUCCAUGUUUUGAGGUGUUUGCUUGAUGUUUGAGUGCAUUUUGCAUCAAUGCCAUGUUUAACUUGUUUUGCUCAUAUCUUCUAGGCCGUAGCUCCGAACUAAAUGAACUUUAUAUGUAACUUGACUAGAAUCUCGUGUAGAUCAUCUUGGUGCAUUUUAACUUGCUGUUUAACAACUUGAACAUAAGGUUUAUUCAGAUCUGGACCAACUUCGAAAUAUGCAUAUGAGGACUUAUCAGAAUUGUUAUAUGUUGUUCCCGGCCUCAUUUAAACUUGCCUUGAUGUGUUGUUCUUGUUUGCAUCAUCUCUGGCCAUGAGUAGCCUCAUCUAGAUUUGUCAUGCAUCAUGCUUGUUAUGCAUCAUGUCAUGUUCAUGUGUGGUGUGUUUACUAUGUUGUGUGCUUCUUUUCGAUAGUUCCCGUUUCGUUGCGAUCGUGAGGAUUCGUUCGUCUACGUUUGGUUCUUCUUCGUGGCUUCAUCUUCUUCAUGGACUCGUUCUUCUUCCUUGCGGGAUUUCAGGCAAGAUGACCGCUACCCUAGAUCUCACUACUAUCAUUGCUAUGCUAGUUGCUUCGUUCUAUCGCUAUGCUGUGUUACCUAUCUUCUGCUCAUCAAGCCUCCCAUAUUGCCAUGAACCUCUAACCUUUGACACCUUUCCUAUGCAAACCGUUGUUUGGCUAUGUUACCGCUUUUACCCAGCCCCUCUUAUAGCGUUGCUAGUUGCAGGUGAAGUUGAAGAUUUCUCCAUGGUGGACAGGAUUUUGGUUGGAUAUCACAAUAUCUCUUAUAUUAUUAAUGCAUCUAUAUACUUGGUAAAGGAUGGAAGACUCGGCCUUAUGCCUGGUGUUUUGUUCCACUCUUGCCACCCUAGUUUCCGUCAUACCGGUGUUAUAUUCCCGAAUUUUGCGUUCCUUACGCGGUCGGGUGAUUUAUGGGACCCCCUAGACAGUUCGCUUUGAAUAAAACUCCUCCAGCAAGGCCCAACCUUGGUUUUACCAUUUGCCUCACCACCACCUAUUUUUUCCUUGGGAGUCGCUCUCUCGAGGGUCAUCUUUAUUAUAGCCCCCCCGGGCCAGUGCUUGUCUAAGUGUUGGUCCGAACUAGAGCACUUUGCAGCGGCCCCUCAAGGAAACUUAAGGUCUGGUUUUAGUUGUACGGAUUGCUCAUCCGGUGUUGCCCUGACAACGAGAUAUGUGCAGCUCCUAUCAGGAUUGUCGGCGCAUCGGGCGGUCUUGCUGGUCUUGUUUUACCAUUGUCGAAAUGUCUUGUAAACCGGGAUUUCGAGUCUGAUCGGGUCUUAGCUUACUAUGGAAAUAGCUAUCAGAACCGUCGGACUCUGCCUCAAGAUUCGAACCGAAGUGUGGUCCGGUUCCUUUUCUUGUUCUUUUGUUGAUUUUUGGAUGGUGUAACCCGGCCCACGUGCUGACAACUUUACAGAUGGAGUAAAGACAGGGCCUGCCCCAUGUGGUUCUGGCUCGUUCUUGGACUAACUCGUCGGUCACGGACGUGUGCAAUGGAGGUUCCACGCCGUCCAUUGAACAUUUUUUUUAGCAUCAGUAGGCGCCUCGUCGUCGACGGGAACGUCUCCUCCCACUGAAAGCGCAUCGCCGGAAAUUCUGAAAUAAAUCCAGAAAUAAUGCGAGCACCAGGAUUUGAACCCUGAUGGGUUGGGGAUAUCAUUGUCCACCUAACCAACUCAACCACAGGUUGAUUCGCUCACCGUCCAUUGAACUUGCAUACCGGUUCCUGCUGCUCGUGAGCCUCGUUACGGCCAGUUCCUUCGUCGCAUGACACCUUUUUUUUCCAGUUGCCACGUCGCGUUCCUUUUCCAUGUCUUUGGCGAAUUUUGUGCUGAUAAAAGCCUGUGUUGACUCAGUACAGCACAAGUUCGGAGGUUCCACGCCCUCAUAAAAUGAAUGUGUAGGUUCUGUCGUAUAUAAUACUACCAUAGUACAUGAUUUUCCCUACAUAUACGUAGCCGGUGUGCAGGAGUGUCAGAACCUUCAAUGCAUGCACUGUAUCAGUGUCAUACACAUGCAAUAGGACAAAUUUUUUUAGCACAAAAGGAUGGAUAGUUUAAUGCAACCCCUCAUAUGGACAUACAGGCAGCUUAAUUCGUGCCGUGCUCCUACAGGUAAAUAUACUACCUGUAAUCGCAAUUGAAUAUGAAAAAAAAACAGUCGAUUCAACGUUUCAUGAAGACUCGUUUGGCACCACUCUUGGAUUUGAUGAUACUUCGUGGCAACCAACUCCCUCCUGUCGGUUCUUUUGUGAAGACUCGUUCGACACCGCCCUUGAAUUUGACGGUUCUUCGGGGUGACCAACUCCCUCCUAUCAGUUCUUUUGUGAAGACUCGUUCGGCAUCAUCCUUGAAUUUGACAUUUCUUCGAGGCGACCAACUCGCUCCUAUCGGUUCUUUCGUGAGACUCGUUCGGUACCACCCUUGGGUUUGACGGUUCUUCGUGGCGACCAACUCCCUCUUAACUGUUCUUUUCUGAAGACUUGUUCGGCACCACCAUUGGGUUUGGCGGUUCUUUGUGGCGACCAACUCCCUCUUAUCGGUUCUUUUGUGAUGACUCGUUCGGUACCACCCUCUGAUUUGACGGUUCUCCAUGGUGACCAACUCUCUCCCAUCGGUUCUUUGGUGAAGACUCGUUCGGCACCACCCUUUGAUUUGACGGUUCUUCAUGGUGAAUAACUUCCUCCUACCGGUUCUUGAUGGCGAUGUCGGCUCUUCACAAAUUCGAUUCCAGUUCCAAGUAUAGUUUUGACGGCUCUACGGAGGUGGAACCCGGUUCUUUGCAAAUUGUAUUCUGGUUCCAAGUAUAAUUUUGAUGGUACUGUGGAGGUGAGACAUCGGCCCUAGCGUAUUACCUUCUCACAAAAAAAGAACUUGUAUUACCUAGCGUAGUGGACACAAGCUAGUACAUACAGUUGUUUUAUACCUGAUGAAUAAUUAACUUAGCCAACACUAAUCAACUGUCUUGACAAGAUUACCUAACACGGUAGUCCCCCGUACAAGCCACGGGUCACAGCUAGGGAAGCAGGGAACGGAGACAGUGACCUCGAGGUACGGCAGUGCAUAUAUCGAAGCAUUGGCGCAUGCACAAGUGCACGCAUCUGCAGCAGUAGGGACAUACUCAUAUUAUAAUUUUCUGUGCAGCUCUAGCACCUAGUGCCCCAGCUCUGCACCAAGUCCUGAGGCCUGGAGUGUCAAUAGCUGCUUAGCCAAAAGAUCUCCUAAUGGAACGCAAAGUACAUUUCUGAUUUGUGCCAGCAUAUCCUUGCUUAGAAAAAAUCAUGCACCAAAAGCAGCCAGAAAAUCACACGGCAAGUAAACAAAUCAAGAGCCCUAGGGACACAAGUAAAUACAGGAACAAAAAUCAAGAGCAGAGUUAGAGAUCCACAAGUAAAUACUGGAAGAGAUUUUUUUAGUAACUCACUUAAAGUUAUUUUAAGAUUGUGGUGCGAACUAGGGUCCCAUUUUGAUUAAAAGGCCCUGUGCUUGUCACGUGGUUCAUUCCCAACGCUCGUCGGAAUGGCACUGCCUCUACGUGUUUGCGACCUCUGUUCUCCGUUUCAGUCUAAAAGGUUCCAUCAGUCUCAAAGUGUUGGUCAUAUGCGUCUCUGGUCCAUUCUCCAACCUAAACUCAUCAGAUGGACCACUGGUGGCCGUAGCCCGGGCGCAGCUUUUUCCUGUCAAACAGGCCACUAAAACUCCGAGAACUCCCUCCACAAUUUCUCCCCCUCCCGUGCUGCACGAAUCACAAAGUUUGGGGCAAUGACUUAGAUAGCUAUGUCUGGAGCAACCUAUGGUAGACAUAAUUUUGCACAUAUNNNNNNNNNNNNNNNNNNNNNNNNNNNNNNNNNNNNNNNNNNNNNNUGGAGAUGGAGUUAUGGUGGAGGGGGCAUUAAUGGGGAGAGGACGAGAGGUAGGAGAAAGAGAGAUGUGAGAGAGGCCAUUUAUGGAGAAGAGUUAUGGUGGAGGGGGACAUUAAUGAGGAGAGAAGAGAGGUAGUAGGAAGAGAGAAGAAGAGCAACAAUGGUGGAGAGUGGAGAGGGGAAAGGAGGGGGAGAGAGGGCAAAGUGGGGGAGAGGAGGGGGAGGGGGUGAAAAGGUGGCACCAGCCGCAACUAGCAGUAGCGCUGCUUACCAAAACGCGAUGCUGCUACCGUACUUAGUAGCAGUGCUUUCUUGGAGAAGCGCUACUACUAAGUGGGGCCCAUUAGCAGUAGCGGCGCAGUAAAAUAAAGCGCUACUACUAAACUGUUAGUAGUAGUGUUGGAUUCUGCACGACGCUGGUACUACAUCUAUCGUCGGUGGCCUCGUCUGGUCCCACGUAGUAGUACCGUGUUUUUGGUUUCCAGCGCUACUGCUAUAGACAGAAUAGUAGCACUUUCCUGGAUCAGCGCUACUGCUAACUAGUAGCAGCGUUGACUAUUUUCCAGCGCUACUGCUAACUAGUAGCUGCUAACUUGUAUAAGCAUUUCCCUAGUAGUGUUAAUUUUAUUGACAGAUUGCACUUCUAGUUUCUACAGCUAGUGCUAACCGAUGAUUGAAAAAUAUAUCUACCUUAACUCUAGACAACUACAUCACAUUGUCACUGCCUAGCAGUGAUGAACCCUAGCGAUACAAAUAAAAAAAUUACAAUGGCAGUGACCUACAGCAAAAGAGGGAGGGAUGAUAUGCUCACCUGGGUUGGAGCCGAGGGUUGCCUACAGUCUACUCUGUCGCCGUCAUCGUCUCCUGUGGUAGAUGGGAGUGGGAGGCUCAGAUGCAAAACACACCUCUAAAUUAAAAAAAAUUCCAAAUGGACUAGAUGAGAGUGGGAGCACAGAUGUGUACCACAAGACCGGAGAACGACGACAAUCGUUGGAAUCGGCCAAAAUCAAAGCGGCACGACCAGCGGCGAGAGAGGGAGAGAAAAGGGAACGAAACAGAGCAGUGGGUCACAGAGUGAGAGUGGGUUGAGGGGGUCGUUGCCCCCAUUGGUUUUGACCCCCACGGCAUUCUAAUACUAUUUGUGCUUGCCCAAUAAGAAAAAAGAUGACCACCUAGAAAUUGUCAUCUCAAAACUAUAUAUUUCAAGUCUUAAACUAAAAAGGAAAAAAAGUAAAUUUAACAAAAGUAAACUAUAAUAUACUGUUAAAAAGAUCACAGAAUAAAAAACUAAAAAAAUUUGGAAGUGUCAAAAUACAUAUUUGACGGCUCAAAACUAUAUAUUUCAAGUCUUAAACUAAAAAGGAAAAAAAAUUAAAGCCUCAAAGUACAUAUUAAAAAAAUGUCAUUAUUUCCAUUUAAAAUAAUAUAAAUUUAAUAAAAGUAAACUAUAAUAUACUAUAAAAAAUAUCACCACACAAAAAACUAAAAAGAAACAAAUUUUGAAGUGUCAAACUACAUAUUUGAAGGCUCAAUACUAUAUAUUUUAAGUCUUAAACUAAAAAGGAAACAAUAUUAAAGUCUCAAAAUACACAUUUUAAAAAAUGUCAUUAUGUCGAUUUAAAAUAAUAAAAUUUUAGUACAAGUAAACUAUAAUAGAAUAUAAAAAAGUUCACCACAAAAACCUAAAAAGGAAAAAAAUGGAACUGUGAAACUACAUAUUGGAAGGCUCAAAACUAUAUAUUUCNNNNNNNNNNNNNNNNNNNNNNNNNNNNNNNNNNNNNNNNNNNNNNNNNNNNNNNNNNNNNNNNNNNNNNNNNNNNNNNNNNNNNNNNNNNNNNNNNNNNNNNNNNNNNNNNNNNNNNNNNNNNNNNNNNNNNNNNNNNNNNNNNNNNNNNNNNNNNNNNNNNNNNNNNNNNNNNNNNNNNNNNNNNNNNNNNNNNNNNNNNNNNNNNNNNNNNNNNNNNNNNNNNNNNNNNNNNNNNNNNNNNNNNNNNNNNNNNNNNNNNNNNNNNNNNNNNNNNNNNNNNNNNNNNNNNNNNNNNNNNNNNNNNNNNNNNNNNNNNNNNNNNNNNNNNNNNNNNNNNNNNNNNNNNNNNNNNNNNNNNNNNNNNNNNNNNNNNNNNNNNNNNNNNNNNNNNNNNNNNNNNNNNNNNNNNNNNNAUAUCACCACAUAAAAAACUAAAAACUAAAAAUUUUUGAAGUGUGAAACUACAUAUUUGAAGGCUCAAAACUAUAUAUUUCAAGUACUAACUAAAAAGGAAAAAAGUAAACUUAAAAUCUUAAGUACAUAUUUUUAAAAAUGUCAAUAUUUCUAUUUAAAAUAAUUGAAAAUUAAUAAAAGUAAACAAUAAUAUACUAUAAAAAAAUAUACCAAAAAAAAUAGUAAUGUAAGAAUGUUGGCAUUGACAAAAUAACAAUACCGGCGUCGGUUAUAACAGCACGCCACAACUAAAUAUAAUAGUGUUGGCGUUCCAUGCUAUUCCACGACAGCAAUAUAUUACGCCUGGUACAAAUUGUUGAUCUCAUAUAUUUCUCACACUGCCUUGUUUUCGAACGCCACUACUAUUCGUACCAAAUCAGCCAACGCCAUCACUAUUUGAAAAAAAAUAGUGAUGGCGUUGGUUGUAAAUGGAGCGCCACCAACGAAAGUUGUGGCUAACCCUUUAUCCACUAGUGAAGAUUGAGGGAGGUUGUUAGAUAAUGUUUAUACGUAGCUUUCGUGUAGACACUUUAUAAUGAGAUAGCCACACCCGUAUUGGGUGUCGUUCAGUUUCCCACGAACAUAACGUUUUACAAUCCUGAGAGGCCAUCCAAGGGAGUCUGUUGUAGGCUGAUGCCGUUUUUACCCUCUCUAACUAAACCUAAAGUGGCGAAGUUACUAGCAUGUCGCCAUGUCCUUGCACUAGAGAAGGAAGUUGGGGUCUAGACGAUCGUCUUGGAGAUGGACUGAAAGAUGGUUGUGAGCAAGCUCAACUCUGAAGGGAAGGACGGAGGGAAUAGUAAGUGUAUAUUUGUUUCUAAAUAUGAAAAUAUUACUAUUAAAUACUAAUAUACCAAAGAUAUAAGAAUAUUAAAUACUAGUAUACCAAAGAUAUACCUAAAUAUAAGAAUAUUUAAUAGUAGUAUACCGAAGAUAUUCUACAGUUAAAUUCUAAUAACUCUGUUCCAAAAUAUAAGAAUAUUACUAUAAAAUACUAUUAGCUGUUUUCAAAUAAUUAGUAAUAGAGAUAAUAUUCUUUUGUNNNNNNNNNNNNNNNNNNNNNNNNNNNNNNNNNNNNNNNNNNNNNNNNNNNNNNNNNNNNNNNNNNNNNNNNNNNNNNNNNNNNNNNNNNNNNNNNNNNNNNNNNNNNNNNNNNNNNNNNNNNNNNNNNNNNNNNNNNNNNNNNNNNNNNNNNNNNNNNNNNNNNNNNNNNNNNNNNNNNNNNNNNNNNNNNNNNNNNNNNNNNNNNNNNNNNNNNNNNNNNNNNNNNNNNNNNNNNNNNNNNNNNNNNNNNNNNNNNNNNNNNNNNNNNNNNNNNNNNNNNNNNNNNNNNNNNNNNNNNNNNNNNNNNNNNNNNNNNNNNNNNNNNNNNNNNNNNNNNNNNNNNNNNNNNNNNNNNNNNNNNNNNNNNNNNNNNNNNNNNNNNNNNNNNNNNNNNNNNNNNNNNNNNNNNNNNNNNNNNNNNNNNNNNNNNNNNNNNNNNNNNNNNNNNNNNNNNNNNNNNNNNNNNNNNNNNNNNNNNNNNNNNNNNNNNNNNNNNNNNNNNNNNNNNNNNNNNNNNNNNNNNNNNNNNNNNNNNNNNNNNNNNNNNNNNNNNNNNNNNNNNNNNNNNNNNNNNNNNNNNNNNNNNNNNNNNNNNNNNNNNNNNNNNNNNNNNNNNNNNNNNNNNNNNNNNNNNNNNNNNNNNNNNNNNNNNNNNUCUAGAUGUAUUUUAGUUAUAGAUACAUCCCUUUCUAUUUGUUUUGAUCACAAGUAUUUUCGGAUGGAGGGAGUAUUAAAUACUGUCACAACUAUUCUUAUAUUUAGUAACAGAGAUAAUAGUAUUUAAUAGUAGUAUAUCAUUUUUCCUAAAUACUCCCUCCGUCCCAAAAUUCUUGUCUUAUAUUUAUCUAGAUACGGAUGUAUCUGACACUAAAAUGUAACUAGAUACAUCCGUAUUUAGACAAAUCAAAGACAAAAAUUUUGGGAUGGUGGGAGUAUAAGAAUAUUACUAUUAAAUACUAGUAUACAAAUAUAUAUUUAAUAGUAUACCAAAAUAUAAGAAUAUUUAAUAGAAAUAUACCAAAGAUAUGCUACUAUUAAUUGCUGGUAUUAAAUAAAUAAAUCUGUAGAUUAACACGCGGUCCCCACCUUGGCCUGUGCCUUCCGUUUCAGUUCAUAAAAGGCAACACAUGCUUCUCCUCCUCGCUCACAUUCUUCUCAUGCCGCUCUCCUCAACCAACUCCGCGCGUCUGCUCGACCGAUCCACCGCGAUGUCUAGCUCCGACGUCAGUGCCAUGCCCGCAGCCAACCACGAGGGGCACAGCCUGGCGGGCCCCGCCCCGCCCCCUGCGCCGGUGGUUCACAAGCGCAAGCCCGGGAGACCCCAGGAGAAAAGCCCGCCCCCAGCGGCCACCAGAGAGGAGCUGGAAUCCAAGGAGUCCCGGGAAGGUCCCUUGAAGGUGCUUGCGCUCCCGGCGCCAGGGGCCCGGCGUGCUUAUGUUGUCUCAGAUGACAAGAUGGUGAGCCGCGCUCGCGCCCCCACACGGCGUGCAAGCGCGGUAUCCGACGACAAGAUGGUGAGCCGCGCUCGCUCCCCCCCCCUCUGCUACUAGUGAUUUGAAGUUAACCGGUGCCUAAUGAGCUGGAGUUAUUGACAAUCUUUAAUCUAGUCAUGUGAAUUAGUGCUAGUGCUUAAUGAACUACCUGAUGUGUAUGUGCAAGAAUUACGUGCUGGGUAUAUGUCCUUGGACUUUCUAAUCGCUGCGAUCUCAUCUGGCAGAUGGACAGGAACGAGAUAACGCCGGUGGUUCGCAGGCGCAAGCCCGGGAGACCCCAGGAGAAAAGCCCGCCCCCAGCGGCCACCAGAGAGGAGCUGGAAUCCCGGGAGUCCCGGGAAGGCCCCUUGAAGGUGCUUUCACUCCCGGCGCCAGGGGCCCCGCGUACUCACGCUGUCUCCGGCGACAAGAUGAUGAGACGCGCUCGCGCCCCCACCCGGCAUGCAAACACUGUCUCCGACGACAAGAUGGUGAGCCGCGCUCGCGCCCCCACCCUGCAUGCAAACCAUGUCUCCGAUGACAAGAUGGUGAGCCGCACUCGCUUCCCCCUCUCCUACUAGUGAUUUGAAGUUAACCGGUGCCUAAUGAUUUGAAGUUACUGACAAUCUUUAAUCUAGUCAUGUGAAUUGUACUGUAGCUUACUGAAUUACCUGACGUGUAUGUGCAUGAACUACGUGGUGUGUAUAUGUCCUUGGAUUUUCUAAUCGCUGCGGUCUCGUCUGGCAGAUGGACAAGAACGAGAUGGCGCCGGUCCAGGGGGUGCCGCGCAUGCGAGGGAGCAUCGCGUCGUCAAGUGCGGUUGGUAAGUAUACUUUAUGCUGCUUUUUUUGUCAACAUCGUCUCCGUGCAGGCUACACUGGCAAACAAGCUGCUUAACUCUUGUGCAUGCUGGUUUUUCGUCAUCACUAGUAUACUGGUAUUGGACUGAAGCUUGUUAGCUCUGUCCAUGCUGGGUCUUUUUUUUUCAUGAUUAGUAUUGUUAUAUAUUAGCAGAAGCUGCACAUGUUUUCUUUCCAUUGACGUUGGUGCGGGCGGUGCUACGCGUCAGUCGGCCGAGGGAUGGACGCCUUACUCACCUGAUUUUAAUCAAGUCCCACCUAGGUGUAGUUCGUUUUGUCACUAGCUGUGUAUACAUAGGCGAGCUCCAGCACUAUGUUGCAGCGUGGAAAACAUAUGAACUGUAAUAAGAAACAUGCAAUGGCUAGAAAUAUCUCCACAUAUUUUUUCAGCAUGUUUUAGGUGUCAACGAAAUUAGUCGGAUCGCCAGCCAUCGAAUUGACAUAUGGAGCAUUGGAUCACACUACACGGCAGCAGAGAGAAUGGAAACCGUGUUCCUCCAUAGCCUCCACAAUACAUGUGUAUCCACCACCCCUCCCACAUCGUCGCAACAGACAAUUACGUCGGCCCCUUGCAACACCUGGCUUUGGUACCCUAGAGAUCCUUGAUAUCGCUUGGAUAUCCUGCAAGUAUUAUUACAGUGCGCCUACGAGGCGUCGUCCUUGCAACAUUGUCUUACAGACAAUGUAGUUGAUGCCACCACCACCAUCACCCAUUUACACAUGGGCCGUGGCAUGUGGCACUGUUCGUGGGAUAAAACACACCCCGCGAGAAUAUGCGGUUGCACCACUAUGAUCUGUGCAUCUUAGGAAUUGUUGUGACUGCCCCUGCAAAACUAGCGAUGAUACGACCAUCGCCCUGCAACAUCGGCCAUAGUUGUAGCACAUAUGAGAAGACGGAUGCCGCACCUAACAACACAUUAUGUGUUUUUUGCACCAUAUGAAAGCACUGCCUUGCAACAUCGGCUAUCAGGGUGCUGCACCGACAAACACACUCACGACCUUGAGAUGUCGUAUGCCUUGGCCGAUGUAGCAUAGUGCUCCUCUUUCAGCAUAUAGCGAUGGCUUGUAGAAUUGAUGGUCGGAGAGUCGCAACAUCAUUGAGUGGCAGUGCUAGCCCAACUCAUUGUCAUAGAGAAAGGGGAAUAAAGGAUGGGUGUGCACGUGGUGGAAAUAAAGUGAAUGGAUAUGGUGAAGAGAGAGGAAGACUAACAGGGGCAUCUGGCGCUAGAGCGAUCUGACUGAUUUACCCCUGAAACCAGCCUGUUGAAUAUAAUUCAAUUUUCUUUUGAGAGACCUCAUAUAAAAACGUCGCAACAUGCGAGCAUGUCUAUACAAAAAAUUGUAGAUAUACAACGCAUACUCAUUAGCUUCAACAAAUAAGUGAAAAAACACAAUGUAUAUAGGCCUGAACCGAUGGAUCAUCAGCAUGCAUCUACCAGAUCUUCCUAGGUUACGCCCAACCGUGAGUCGUUCAAUUGGGUCACACAUCACUACCCAAUCAACCACCAACUUAGUUGUUCCUCUCGUCUCCUCUACCCACCCUUCGCAACAUACACCCAUGAUUCUCAGCAAUAGACCAACAUGGAGGCGACAAUGGUGUCCAUGAUAGGCUAGUCAAAAGCACACUGGUGAUCAACCUUACAACACUAAACAGAACAUUGCAACAUGAGGUAACCCCAACUUUGUAGCACUGGUGCACCAUUUUCAACCACCUUGUAGCAAUGAAAAGUUCACUUACCAAUAGCAUUGUUAUACCAAGUUACCGGCUUCCAGCACUGAACACACGGGCUUGCAGCACCGCGAUGAUCAAUGGUCGGCCUUUCAACAAUAUUAGUUAACAUUGCACACCUCGUCUCCAUUUUUAUGUACAUACACAUGAGUGAGAUUGGAACAUCAGUAACGUAUCAACAUUACCAAACAUGAAGACAAUAAAUUUGUUUCUCCAAGCAUAGACGUUACUGAAUAAGCGUGCAACUGCACAUCCACCACAUGAGCCAUAAUUUUUUAGCUCUGUGACAACAGCUUAUAGUUGCAAAAGAGCUGAAGAUGAUGGUUUAGAAUGUAUAUGAUCAAAAUAGAUUAAAUGGAGGGGAGGAUGGACUACAUAUGUUGAAUCGGACUAGCCGCAAGGUCACAAGUGCCUUGUCUAAAUAGCCAAAAAGACAAAAGGAGGCCUCCUGGAUUCUCCAUCCUGAAGCUAAGCAUAACUCCAACUCCAGACACGCUAGGGGGCUACUAAAGGUGCAAUACACUAGGGAUGUCUUCUGGGUGGGAAGCCCGGUAGCAGGCUUGCCUUAGGGCCCAAGAGGCCAACUGGAGGAUCGGUGCAGUAGGGCAGCUCAGGAGCCUAGAUAAGGACUGUGGGAGCAUCUUGGCAGGCAAGCUAAGAUGGCAGUGGUAUGAGAUCUGAUGGAUUCCUUGUAAACCUAGCCCGCGCCACCUAUAUAAGGAGGGGCUCGGGGUUGUCAUUCACAUAUACUCUCAUAGACUAUACUCUCUGUAGCAUUAUACUUCAUCUCCACUCUAAACCCCUCGCACAAGGUGCUCCAACAUGAAUAAAAAUCAGAUACAGGAUGUUGGGCAUUACCUCUCACCGAGGGCCCGAACCUAGGUAAAAACCUUUGUGCAGACUACCUUGUCGUGUAUCCCUACAAGUUCACCACCCUACUAUGGGUACUCACAGUUUUCCAUACUAUCACAUAGUUAAGUUCUAACACAUUUUCUCUGGGGAGUUGAAGCAACUCAUGGUGUAAGUAGGUGUUGCUUGAAGCACUGAUUCUACUAGCACCUCCUUUCCCUCCUUUGAGAUACCUUGUCCUUCCAAUCCAACCACUUUGCCAUUUGAGCUUUCUUUAAUAUGUUUAAAAUUUCCUUCCUUUGACCUACCCACCACGGUUGGGAGCCCCAAAUAAUGCUCGCUCAAUGCCUUAGGAUCUGUGCAAAGAUAUUAACAACAACUUACUCCUCCUAUUUGCCUCACUUCCCAAAGAAUGUUGAAGCUUUUAGAAAAUUUCCCAUUUGUCCCGAGGCCCACUAGUAGUCAAAUAGGAUAUAUUUAAGGUUACAAAGUUGCCAUUUGACGGUUGAAGAAAUACUAUACUAUCAUCUGCAGAAAUAAGAUGGGCUACAUGGGGGUUAGUGCUCCCAAAAGAUAUACCAUUGAUCUCUUUAUCUUUGAGCACUCAUGAGAAAGGCCAAAAAACUCGCAACAUAGAAAAUAAGAAAAUAGGGAGACCAUCGGUCUCCUUGCCAGAGCCCUCUUCAUAGUAUAAAAAAUACAUAACACACUCCUUUCAAUUUGAUAGAAAACCUGGCCGGGGUACCACACAUCAUAAUCAUCAAGAUCAACCUAUCUGAGAAACCAAGUGCCCUCAUCAUCAGAUCGAGGAAAAUCCAAACCACCCUCUUAUAGGCCUUCAUCAUGUAUAGUUUAAUUGCGAACAUUGGAUUUUUCUAUUUCUUGAACGAACAUACUUUGCUCCUGCGUGAUCAUUAUGGAUAUGACAACCUUCAAUCUCUUUGCUAGGCCUUUGAAGCAAUCUGACUGAGCGUGUUCAAUAAGUUGAUUGAUCCCAUUUGAGGAAGUAUCUCCAUUGAGGUAAUUUUGGGGAUUAGGACUAGAACCAUAUCACUAAAGUUUGGUCAAAUAACUCCAUUAAAAGAAUCACCUAUUACUAUGCGUACAUCAUUUUUUAGAAAUAACUAGUGAAAUUGGUAAACAUAAGUGAGAGGUUGUCUAGCCCCUGCGCUCUUGCCAGUCAAAUUUAGAAUAGUGCAUUCUCAAUUUCUUCAUCCAUCACGUCCGUGUUCACCCUCUCCUCCAUAUCACUAGUCAGACAGGGUCGGAUGUGAGCUAAGAUGUUGUCAGCAUCAACAGAGGCUUCUGAAGAAAACAACUAAGCAUAGAAAUCGGCCGAAAUCUUCCCCAUCUCAUUGUCAAUAGUACAACUCGUGCCAUCUGCCCUCAUGUUUUGAUCGUCUUCCUUGAGAAAUUCCAGUUGGGAACAUUGCAUACACAUUAUUUGUUCCUGUGGACGAACCACAUGAAGCUAUGCUUCAAUCUCGCUGGUCUUCAGCAAGGAUGUCUGGAUCCCAAUGCGCUACCCUUUCCAUCGAAGCUGGACCUUGUGCCUAGUAAUCUCACAACAUACAAGACAAAAUACAGAGCCACUUCAAUGUUUCAUAUCAUUGGUGACAUUGUUACGCUUCCUGUAGAGCUCACUCUGGCCGAAAUUGUUAUCACAUGCACACUAUCAUGCCUACAUGGGCAUCCACCUCUCCUCAAACUUAAUGCCCUCUUCUUACUUUUGGUAAUGACUAGGUUUUCUAGCGAUCUAUUAACGAGAAAACCAUGGUCUGGUCCUCCAUGACAACAUGUUCAAUGGGUGUAUCCUACAAUGAAUGCACGAAUUCAUCAUUGCAUGGACCCCUGUCCACAUGUACAUAAACGAUCUCAUCCCGCUCCCUCUUAUUGUCCCAAGUGUACAUGUUGCUACUAAAACAAAGUUUUGAAACACUAUUAUUGGCUACACUCUCCCUAAUGCGCUCCAUUUGUGUGAAACUCCUCAAGUAAUCUCCUAGUUGUUGUGAUUAAAAGAAUUCUUUGUUGAGGUAUCAUUGUAACAGAUAAAUGUAUUAUUAGGAUCCAAUCUCUCGGAGCCUCCCUUAGCUACACAAAUUUUCAUCAAUCUCUCUUCCUAUCCAGUAGCUUUAGGUGAUAAUCAUUGUGACGCCUUUGGUGGUCACCAUCACGUUGCCUUGUCUUAUGAACAAAAGUGCCUCGUCUGCGUUGCUCUGAGGUAGAUGGGUCAUCUUUCCCAAUGGCCUUGCACCCUUUCCCAUAUAGAUUUUUUUAUGUCUUGCUUACUUUCAUGCUCCUUCCUCAGGUCCCACUUCCUUUUUAGAUUUAAAUCAUCCCUUAGUUCACAAUCAUGUCACAUUUCUUGCCUGCAUUGGUCCUCCCUACACUUCAUCUUAGGCAGUUACCCUGUACAAGACCAUCUCGAGGAUCCUCGCUAGAGAGAGAGUCCACAGAGGGUGUAUAAUCAGUGUAUGACCUGCACGUAAAUGGACGGGCAUGCAACGCUACAUGACCCCUGCGCCCAUAGACGCCCUUGCUUGACCUAGUGCUCCCAAAACUAAAGUUCCUGCUUUCUUUCACCGGCCUCUACUUAGUUUUUGUCUAUGAGGAGCCAUGUCCAAGUGAUGCCCUCAACCAUUCACCCAACUGGGGUCAGGAAUCAUUUUGUGGUUCAAAUCAUCUGUCAACAUGUGCUAGUCUGUCGUAGUCAAUCCAAAAGAGAGGUAUCUUCUCAAAUUGAAAAUCAAACAAGGUCCCCUCAUCUUUUGCUGAAGAGUGGAGAAAGAAGCCUUAGACUAGUGAAAGAAAUAUGAAAAAUCUAUCUCUAAAUCUGAGAUGGUUCCCCCAUAAAUCCAUCCUUCUUAACAUCACUCUUUACCACGCCACCAAGACAAUUCCCAAGAGCAUUCCCAAAAGUAUAUGAUCAUUUAUAUAGGGGAGGAUCUGUAAUUAUCACCCAUGGCUCCGUCAUACAAAACAUUAUCUUCGAUGACCUAGUUUUUUCAUCAUAAUCCUUCAAAACUAUCACAUUAAAACCAAAUUGCCACAUUCAAUUAUAUAGAGCGUGCUUCUAAACUCCUUUGUUAUGGAAUCUAAAGAAGAAGAUACUAUUUCUAAUGUGACUUACUUGGAUUUCCUAAUAGUGUCACAUGUAUGUUGCGUAGCCCUAGCAAACACGUUGAUCUUGAUUUGCUGGAGUGAGCAUGCCUUUCCAACCACUGACCACCGAGUAGGCCUCGGUCGGUCUGGAAUCCUGAUUCUCAAGCAUGAGAUCUAUUAGUUCCUUUUGUUGUUAACUUCAGGGCUCCUUGUUAAUUUGGUUGAGAGAUUAGUUGCCUCCCCUGAAGCAUUUCCAUCUGUCAGGGACUUUGAAGGUUCUCAUCUUAAUGAUCCUUGGUCGCCCUGUUCACUUGAGCUGUCGAUUUACGCCACGCCUUCUCUCCCAUCGUCGCGCAAAGGAGUGGAAGCACCAAGACCAAUCAAUGUAGGAGUAUAGAGUGUCAUCACCUCAUAGAUGAAUAGAAACCUAACCCUAGCACUACUUGUCGGUCGCCUAUAAUCGCCCUUAGCAUUUCUUUUCAUGUUGGGCCCGCCAUAAGGUAUUUAUACGUUCGCUUCCAUUGGUACUUUUUUUGCACUGGAGCCUUUCUGCUACAUUUGCCUUUCUACGAAGGAUGUCUUAUCCAAAUCAUAUAGUCUCCUCUAUCUAUAGGAAGCGAGGACAUUAGCUCUUCUUUUUUUCAAGGCAAAUACACUUGCUAGUGUUCAAGCGACAUCGAAAGAAGUCUUGUCACAUGUGAAGACGACGCUAAGAGUGUGACAAAUAUAGGUGCCAACUUGAAGAAUAAUGCAAAUUUCAGUAAAUAUGAAUAGCUCCUGGGGGAACGAGUGCAUAAAGGAAUCAGCCACCAUAAAUGGAUCAUCCAAAGAAACAAAGUCACAAAGAGAGAGACAAGACAUUAGCUUCUUUAUGGGGAACACAUAUAUUUAAAUGUUGCCUUGCUCUCUGAUUAUUAACAAGAAAUAAUUUUUACUAAUAUAUUAUGUGUAAAUCUUGAUAGAUAUGGAAUGUAUUUUGGUCAGUAUGUUUUAAGGAAUCAUAUUAGUUUUUGGUAUGUAGAAAUUAAAAGAAGUUCAUGUGCCUUCAAGGCAUGUCAAGGUGUGUUGUUCCACCUCAAAAUUGGUUCAUACUAAAUGGUUAUUCUCCCUACAUAUAGCCCCAAUUCUCAUGCUCUCUCUAUCUCUCUCUCUCUAUUUUAUAUUCCAGACUACUCCAUAAAGCCUAACUAGUGAAGGUCCAGAAACACCCAGCAGUGACGGGUUCAACUCCCAUUAGUAGUCUAUACUUAGUGGAGGAGAAACAAGCCACUUACAGGCACGAGCCCGCCAAUGGUGAAUAAAUCAGAAAAGAAAAUCAGGCCAUGGCCAGUCCAAAUCCAGCACCUGCCAACAAUGUGUAGUCUCCACUACGCGAACCUACUUUUCCUCAGUGCGUGACAUCAUGUGAUGUUUGGAGAAUCCAUAGAGUUGGGGAUCCGAAUAUAAAAAACAACAAUGGGGAGUGUCUUGAAGAAUAGGUGCCAAGAAGCCGGACGGAGAAGGCCUCCACCAUGCUGCACCAUUGGCCGAUACUGACCCGUAUGGUGCAAGGACAAAGGCAGAACUGAACACCGUCAUCAUCUAGGUUGCAAAGGAAGUUGGACCACUGUGUUGCUUCUCUCGGACAAACUCAAUGAUUUCAUGCAGUUGGCACCCGUGCCACAUUCCAUAGAGAUAACAACAUUGAGGAGGAGGAGGGACAACGCAAGGUUUCUUCCUCAUAGGAAUUAGUUUCGAGGAAGUGGGGGGACGAUAUGGCAUGAUGAGCAGUUAACAAGGGAAGUUUGCAUGACUGUGGAGGACAAAGCAUUAAGACAAGUGUGCUAGUAGCUAGAUAAGGGAUGAAUGAUAGUAGGAAGGAAUAAUGAGCUUACUGGGUGAGGCUACUAUUUUUUAAGUUGCGACCUACUGAUCAUAACAACAAUUGAUCGUAACAACGUACCAUUGAUGAUUUAGGGUAUUGAUUUAGUAACUGUCAGGAUGUGACUACAGCUUGUAAGUGGUGGGUUGUAUAUUACUAACAAGUAGCAUGUUUAGCCUCAAUAUUGUCCUCUGUCACUCGUAACAACGUGCCAUUGACGGACCACAUAUUGGGCCCGUCACUACUACCUUUUUCAAACAAAAAUAUAAUUUUAGUUAUAGUCAGAUUCACAACAAUCCCACCGGCCAUUAGUGUUAAGUAGCAUUGCUGACCGGUUUUUUGAACCACCACUUUUGAUCGAUAACUAGGCGAGAACUCUAGUGUAGUGCACAUUUGUUUGAUUGAGAAUUUUUAGUGUUUUUAUGUGCACAAAGACAUAUCGUUCAACCCUAACAUGUUCUCUUUAGGUGGGGUCGAGAGUGAAGGACUGGGGAGCUUGGAAGCAGGGGAAAUGGCACCUCGAGGGGUUCAGGUCUCCAUGAUCAAUAACCACAAUUUUGAUCUGAUGAGCUGCCGACUGAGCAUGAGUAGCUCAAGAAGGAGUAGUCACCCGUGGAGCAAGAGUAGCCGCCUAUGGCACAACAUGAGCUUUAAUAUUCACAAUGGUUGGAGGCUACUCAAAUCCCGCUUGUGUGAGCAAAAAUAACUCUUGGCCCAAAGUAUAGCCCUGUCAGAAAUUAUCGAAACAAUAUCCUUAUCCCAAGGACGAUUGUAAAGCUUAUGUGGAACUUUUCAAUUUCUUGCUUCCUAUUUUUUGGUGAUUGACUGACGCUAUUGCUAAACUUGAGGGAAGGACUUGGUAUACUGCCUCAUGAUCAACGUGUCACCUGGAAUGGCUUUUCUAUUCAUUUCCCAUGAUGGUUUUGAUAUGUAGAUUGUUUGAACAAGCAUUUAUUCAUUCGGUAAAGCUUUGUGAAACAUCAACGGUGGAGCUAGGUCUCUCGUCAUGUGAAAUGACAGUAGGUCAAGAAGUGUGUUGGAUCAUGAGAUAACAUAUUUUCUAAGUUGUUAAUCAUGUGUGUUAACACCAUGGGUAGUAUGAGAGAAGGUCAACAUGCAUGUU
rnacentral:lncRNA from 1 species